rnacentral:lncRNA from 1 species
UUUUUUUUUUUUUUUUUUUUUUUUAUCAAGGGGAAGACCCCUUUCUCUUUACUACUUAUCCCUUUUAAUAAAAAUUCUUCCACAUUUUUCCACUUUAUUUUGCCAACAUUCUUUCAACCCCUUUUGCACAAAAAUGCCAAAGAUAGUAUUAGGAUAACCUUUUACAACCAUUGCUAACUUUUGACACAAGUUGCUAAAAAUUGUUGAAGAUUUGCUUUUAAUGUCAGGUAGGAUAGCAGAUUGGUUCUAAUUGAAGGUCAUUUCUUGUGGAGGACCUUACUUAUAAGUGAGAUGAUUGUUCCUAUCUUCAUGGUUUUAUGUUGUAUAGUUAUAGAGACUUUUUAGAGGCUAUCAGCUUUAGAGCAAAUUUAUGUUGUUUGUUAGGGAUUAAGUAUUUUAUUCAAAUUGGGUGAAUGGUACUACCUCUUUACUUGAGAUGGCUUUGAGAUUGGGUGGUUGAAUAGUAGUACUUUGGAAUGGUCUAGUUUUUGUUCGCUUUAGCUAUCAUUUUCUUAUGCUGUGUCUAUAGACGAGUGGAGACGUCAUUUGGAAAUUGGUCAAAUUGCCCGUGAAAUUGAUCAAAUUGUCAAGUUGUCAUCCUAAAAUUGACUAAACCUAGUUUGUAAAAAUGAGAAACGACCGUCACUAGCGACUAACAUCUUCUCAAGCUAAGUAUUAAUAGAUCCAAUCUGAGCAUAAAGGGCAUCUUAAUGUUGCAGGUUCAAUGCUCAUGAAGCAUAAUAUUUUGGAUACUUGGUGUGAGACACCUCAGCAUAAGUCUAAUCCAUAAGGAUAGUCUCCUCAGGAGGUUGAGAUGUGGGCAAUUGAAUGGUGGCAUCCAUGCCCUUGGUUUGCAUCUCCUGUUGAACAUCCUCACCCCCUAAUCCUUUAUGGUCACCCUCAGUCUCUAUCUAUAGAAUCUCUGCCUCUUACUCAACCCGGUCUUCAUUCAUAGCAGGACCCUUUCUUUUUCUUUCCAAUGAUCCAUUAGGCAAUUUCUCAAACAGCAUUCGGUCUGGAUUUUACGUUAUAGGUAUCAUAGGAUGAGGCCUGAAUGUUUUUUUCUCUUCUUAUGUCCACAUUGAAUGCUUUCAGGAUUUUUGUGAUCAGUCUUCUUCCGUUGGCCACUACUUUAGAAUUGCUUUUACAACAGUUUUUCAUGUGUUGAAAGAUGAUAAGGAAACCUUAGAAUGGAUCGGAGUCAAUAGAAAAUGCUACAUAAUAGGACACCUUGUCUCUAUGUCCACCCUUAGGUAGAAAAAUAUGUUUGAUCAUGUGGUGGUGCACCCUAGAGAUAAUGCUCAAGGCAUGGGCAUGGAGCUUUGAAGUCACUGUGUCGAUGGGUAAGUUACAUAUCCUCUAGAAAGCCCUACCUAGGUUAAAACUAGACACUAUAGGCCAUCCCUUCGUCUCAAAUAAACAAAGUCCCCCACAAAGGAUCUCCAAAAUAUCACAAAGCAUAUCAAUAUUUAGUUUAAUUCAACUCCUCUAACAAAUGUGCUAAUUGGCCUUCAUAUAUUUUAGGUUCAAGUAAAAUACCUGAACAAGGUUGGGGUAUGUAGGCUCUCUUGAUGAGAUGGUAUUGGUGAGUAUUUUUUUUUCUUCAAUACAAAACUAUUACAACACUUGGUUUUUUUUUUUUCUAAAAAAAAAAGAAAAAUAAAAAUAGUUUUAUAUUAUACUUAGUUUCAAGAAAAAUAAUAAUCAAAGCAAAAUGAAAAAAAAAUUCUCAUAUUGGUUUCUCGUGAAAAAUAUAAAAGCAAAUAAAAUACAAUUAAAAUUAAUUAAAAUCUUAUGUAUUUUUAAAUUAUUAAUUUUUAUAUAAAAAAUGAAAAAUAGUAUAAUGAAUUUAGAAGAAUAUAUAAAAAUAAUGUAUUAACUUUAAAUCUUUUUUUCUUUAUAUAUAUAUUUUCCCUUCAAUUUUCUAAUACCAACACAUAAUAAGGUUAAUGUCUUCUAGCCAACCAAUUGUAAGUCAAUUUUCAUAGAGCUUUUUUUUUUUUUUUUUUUUACAUGCCACCAAGUAGUUAUAUAAGCAUUUUUGCAUGUUAUUGUUAUCCAACAUACAAUAACUAUAACAUCCAAUUAUUAUGAACAUGAACAAUAAAAUUAGAUGCAACUAACUAUUUAGUGUAUAACAAGAAGUUGGUGAAGUAAUUCAUCCUAACAUGAUUCAACAAUUUUUGUUUAUUUUUCAAGAUUAAUUAUAACAUACCCAUUCUAUUAAAGUUGUUGAGAUAUUUGAGCAAAACUAAAAAUCAACAUUAAUUCAUUUUAUACCCACAAGAGAAAUAAGAUUUGUUUUUUUGUUUGAUAAUAAAGUAGUUGUAGUUAUUAAUGAUAAUUUUGAUCCUAAUUUAAUAGGUAUCCAAAAAAAAAGGAAAAAUGCAAGUAAACCAAUUCUUAUCUAACACAAUUAUUACCACCUUAAAAUCCUGAGGGGUAGCUCAGUUGAUCAGUUCGAGUCCCUUUAGGACCAUGAAAAGCUUACCCGAUGGUUCACCUUAAGAAAAGCAAAGCAUUUAUAUAAUUCAACUGGUAGUUGAUAAGUCUUAGAAAGGGUUUUGCCAUCAUUGGCUUCUCAGUAAAGGGCAAAUUUGGGUUGUGGCUGACAAUUAUUGAAUUUGUGAAGAAAUAUGUGAAGAAAGGAAACAAAAAGAGUUGAGGACAGAAUUCUUCAAUUAAAAAAUGGUUAGCCCAUGAACCCAUUCUUCAAACAGUAAGCCAAUGAGCCAAUGAGCCAAAAAGAAAGAAGAACAGCUGGUUUCAUCUUUUUAUCUUAAUGACUUUGACAACCCAUCUUUCUUUUAAAUACUUGUGACUUUGGAAUAUAAUUAAAAUGAAACUUUGGAAUGCCCACAUCUGAUUCACGGCCUUUUUACCUGUUUUCUUGUUUAACAUUUUUUUAAAUAUUAUAACAGAUGGAAAAACAUGAUUCUAACAGGCUGGAAAAUAGUGGAAGUUGGAACACCAACCAUAACCAAACUAUACCUUCCAUCUUUCUCCAACACUCGGAAUUAUUGAUACAAGUUGGUGGUUUUAUGAUUGUUUCUAUUGAGGGGACCCCUCUCCAUUUCCAAUUUCAAUGGAAAGGUUCUUCUUUCCCUACUUUUUUUUUUUGUUUUUCAAAUUCUUGUAGUUUUGUCUGUCUCUCUCAACAAAGCAAACUGCAAUCACUAAUUCAAAGAAAAGGAAUCCUAAAUGAAAAGAAAAGAAAGGAAAGGAAUGGUAAUUUAGGCUAUGAUGAUGCUCCUAUAUAAUGGCUGUAAGUCAAUAACAACACACUGGACCCGCCUCCUAUCUCAAAAGAUCACAAACCCAAAUAUCAUAUACUUCCAAAUUUCAAUUUGGUUCCCUGUUUAUAUCACAAUCUGUCCUAUAUCCUCUUAAUACAUCUAAAAUCUCUCUAUAUCAUAAAAAUAAUGAUGGAAAAAAAAAUUAAAAAGAAAGAAGGAAAAAAUGACAAAAAAAAAAAAACCUUGGUGCUGCUAUGGGUCCAUAGGAAUUGGCAGGACUGCACUUCUGGAUCCCCUUCCAUGGCCAAAAGAAAAGAAUGAUCUUCGGAAUCUGCUGCUGCAACCUUCACUAGGGCUGAAGUCACUGACAGGCCUGUUCUGUUGCAAAAUCUCUUGAAUUGCUAAAUACAGCUGCCUGUCGUUGGAUGAGUCCAUUGAAAAAGACCUCCUGAUGGGUUGGAUUGAGAACUGAUCAUCUUUGCCUCUAGUGUCAAUGCACUCAUCACCCAUGCUUGCAACAUGAUGAAACUUCCUUGCCUUUUUAGGCACAAUUCUCUGCUCUAGCUUCCUAGGUGAUGGACUAAUUGAUGGCGCAGAUAACUCUCUGGAAUUCAGUCUUUCUGGUGGCCUAAGCAGUGAUGAAUCAGCAGAACUAUCAUUUCCCAAUUCAAUUACUACAAAAUCUUCAUCCCCUCCUAUGUAAUUAUUGGCGUAGGGGCUUGGAUCUUGGGGGGAAGAGCUAGGAGCAAUGAUUUGGUGAACAGGAAACCGGGGUGUGGUUGAAAUGCUUGUUCUGCAAAGUGGGCAAUUAGCAUUGCUUUGAAGCCACACGUCUAUGCAAUCUAUAUGAAAUAUGUGACUGCAGUUUGGUAUGAUUCUUAGCUUCUCUUCUUCUUGAAACUCAUUCAAGCAAACCGCACACUCGCAAUGGCUUCUUUCUCCAAACUCUCUGCCACCUCCUUUCCUGAACUGGAAUAUUGGGAUUGAUCUGAUGACUGACUCGUCCAGGCCUCGACUCUCGAUUGCUGGGGAGUACACCAUUAAAGGGUCUUCCGGGUGCCGACUCCUUGAGAAAGAAAAUCGUCUCAGCAGAUCAAUCCGGUGCCAAUUGAGGCAGCAUUUGAUUACAAAGAUGUAGUAGCUCACCAGCAAGAAAGCAGUGGCCAGGAUUCCUAUUACGGCAAUGGCUAUAAUGGGGAAACUGGUGUCCGAGGAAUGAGAGGGAGAAGGAAGCACUGAGCUCGCCUGGCUUUUGAUGGGAGAAAAGGCUUGUGAUCCAUGGAUGGAGGAGUCUGUGCUCACAAGAUCCAUGAGAGAGGCUAUGAAAAACAUUUAGAAAUGAGUCUAUUCGGAUCUUCAAUUCACAGAAACAUGCAAAUGCUAGAAUAAAAUCGACAGACACUCAGAUAUAGACCCUACAGUUGUAAUGCAGCAUACCAUAAAUGUGAUUGAGUGAGUGAGGCUGAAACAGCAAAUGGGUCACUUCAAGAUCUCAACAAGACAGAAAACCCAUGUUGAAUUCACCAGGAGAGUAUUGAAAAGGGAAAAAUUAAGGACAUAUAGCUGUAUUGAAAGUUGAAACAAAUGCAGAAACAUAGAGAAGAGAGAGAGAGGGAGAAAACCCAGGAGGGUUGAAUGAGAGCGCUGCUGGGGAAGACAUCAAAACGCUUCAAAUUCAAUGAGAAUCUGUUGGGGACCUCUUUAAGAGGACUGCACAAAGCCUGAGCGUAGGGUACGUGGUUGGUUGGUGAAUUUCUCGGCUUCCAAAAGAGAAAUUUGGUGAGAAAAUUUUCAAGUCUCUUGAUUAUAGUAACGUAGCGUUUAUUUUAAUUUUAUGUAACCGAAACUAAUGGGCUGGUUCAAAAAAAUAAAAAAUAAAAAAAGGAACUUUCUAGGAUAGGCCAGCAGUCCACCGUUGGUCAUGUGGUUUCUUUUGCAUGUCCACAUCUUCCAACUAGUGGAGGUCCCUGUCACAACAGUAAGAAAACACCCAAUUGAAUAAAAGUAUGAACUUUUGGCUCCCAAUAUUACUUAUGCCCUCAUUCAAUACCUCAAAUAAAGCAGAGAUUUUGUGUCCCAACUUUUAUGAUUUCAUUUCAUCUUACUUCAAAUGCUAAUGACAAAAGUCCAAGUAUAUUCUGUAAUCACCCACACCCCAAUAGUUUUGAAUCACACUUGAAAUAGUUCCCAUGCUUUCUUAAUAAUUUAGAUAAUUAUUUACAGAAAAAAAAAUUCAGAACAGGAUGAUAAUCAUUUUGUGAUAGCAUGGAAGAAACUUUACUAGCCACUUUGGCCCCAUGAAGUUGAGUACUUGAUGCCAAUUAAUGGCAGGGUGGAAAAUAGAGAAAAGGGAUCAUAGUCAAAUCUAGAGUACAAGGCAUUGAAUCUUUGUUAAUAAUUAACAAAUGGGUAAAGCAUGGGUCACAGGGUCUACAGUUUGGAUUGCAAAAACCUCAGGCUUCUAUAAAAAGCUCAUCCAUUAUCAAUCAUCAAUCUGAAAGCCAGAAAGUCCAAGGCACAUGCAACCCACGACAGGGGUAAGAUUUCUGCAUCAUGUCCCUGAGUUGCAUUCACAUCAUAUGUUUCCCUCCGGGCCGUUCCAAUUUGAAAUCUCAUGGAAAUCUUCAAGAGCAAGGCUACAGAGUUUAAGAUAAUACUAGGGGUGGGUCCUGAUGGGAAAAGAGGUAGUGUAGGAUAGUCAAUAAAGGGCAUGUGUCUCUGGUGUGAAGUCAAAUCCAGUGUACCAUCCUCAAUGGAAAAUUUAGAAAUAGAACCGACACUCUACAGACUGCCGUGUUGACAGAUUAGAGAAAGACAAACCCACUUACACUUGCCUCAAAACCCAGUCCUGCCAUUUCAAAGGCAAAAAAAAAGGGUUUCUUUUUAUAGUCAAAGGUUGAGGCCUGGCCUGGCCUAGCAAAGAAACUUCACCUACUCUUUUCUUAUUUUUCAAAUUAAGGCCAUUCAACUUUUCCUGUUUGCAGGCUUGCUGCCAUAUCUUACUCCAAAAAAGGUGAAAACCCAAAAGAAAAAGAGUGUUUGCUUCAAUGGAAAACUCAUGUUUAAUAAAUUCACCGCACGAGUUUUGUUCCAGCUUUUCCUAUGAAAGCUGUGAUGCGUUUGGUAUGAAGUUGAUUUUGUUCCUAAAAAUUUUGAUCUUGGCGUGGAAGGCAACUUUUUCCUUUUCCCCCUUUUUCUUUUUGAAAAGUUCGGCAUUAGUUACCAAAUGUCCUUUUACUUGCAUGUAGGACAGCGGAAGCAUUACACAUCGCAGCAAAAUCCCAUUUACCCGAAUUUUCCACUAACUCUUUUUAUUUUUUACCAUCAUUUUUUAAUAGAAGUGAUGCACUCUUCAAAUUACAUGAAGCUUUUAAGAAGGUAAUAACCCGUUUCAAAGCGAACUUAACCUACAGAGUAUGUUUUAAAAAUAUUUAGGUAUUUGAUAAAAUUUAAAAAAUAUUUUUUAAAAUCUUUAAAAUGAUUUGUAAUAUUGAAAAUUUAUUUAUACUUUUUUUAAUAAAAAAACAUUUUAUAGGUAAUUUUUCUAAAAUACUUUUAGAGAAAAUGUCUUCCCUUCACUAUAAAUAUUAUAUACUAUCAAAUACACUUUAAAAAUCUGUUUAACAAUAAUUUUAUAAAGUGUUUUUAAUUUUAAAAAUAUUUUUAAAAACAAAUUAAAUUUUUGAUAAAAUUUAAAAAAUCUUUUUAAAAAUUUUGAAAAAUAUCUCGUAAUAUUAAAAAAUAUAUAUAUUUAUAAUGUUUUUUAUAUAAAUACUCAAAAUUCAUUUAAUAGUGAUUUUAGGAAAUGUUUUUAAUAUUUCUAAUACUUGAAAAUUUUUUAUCAUUUAAGUAUUAAAAAUAUUAAAAACACUUUAUAAAAUCACUUUCAAAUGGACUCUUAAUGAUUUUACUAAAAACACUUUUCAUAGAAAACAUUUAUAAAAAAUAAUUAUGAAAUACACUCUAAAUUAAGUAAAAGUUGUUUUUAACAUUACCACUAUUUAUUAAUAGUGCAUUUGUUUAAAAUAUUUAUAUGAAAAAUUCAUUAGGGUGGGAUAUAAAUAUAGAAGUGUUUUUCUUUAUAUAUUUUUUAUAAUAAAAAAUGAUUUUUGAAAUUAUAAAAUUUGAAUUUAAGAAUCAUUUGAUAAUAAUUUUUGUUAAAGCACCUUUAAUACGUGGUGCUUCUAUUGAUAGCGCUUUCAUUUCUAUGAAUGGCUAUAAAUUAUAUUUGAAUAAAUUUUUUAUAAUGUAUUAUAUAAUAAAAAAAAAGUCAUUUUUAAAAAAAUUAUACAUUAAAUGAUUAUUCAAAUAGUAUUUCCUAAAUUUUAUUAAACAUUUUUUUCAAAAAAAAAAAAAAAGUUUUCAAAUACUAGAAAACGUUUUUAAUCUCUCACACGAUCACAUCCAAACAAGUCCUAAUGCUACUCCUAGAAACACUCCAAAACAAAAGUCUUCCUCUAUUAAUGUUCAUAAAAUCCACAUAUAUUCUUCCAUCGUUUUUUCAAAAUUCAAAAUCAUUUCUAAAACAUCAAAUCAUGUUCUUUGGAUUGGCUGACUUGUUUUUUGAAAAUAGAAGGCUCAUUAUUGACGUCCGUUGACUUCAUAACCCAGUCUUGAUCUCUUGAUGGAGGGCAUAAAUGUAAAUUGGACGAAACCCUAGGGUGCGCUAGAGUGUAGAGGAUGAAAGGUUGGAAAAAGGAUGAGGUGGGGGUGUAAUAAAGAGGAGGGUUGGGAGAAUGGGACAUGUGUAGGUGAAGCAUUAAAUUCAAGACUAUGCUUACCAACAACAUAUAAAUAAAUAAAUAAAUAAAUAUAGGAACAGCACAUGGGGUGAGUAGGAGACAUCAGAAGAUGUGAACAACCCCUUGUCAGUCCAAUUUGCGUCUUUUAUCUACUCUAUUAUCUAUAUCGAUUUUCGUAUUUAUUUAUUUAUUUAUUUAUUUUUACCAUUUGAUUUUGCAUGGAUGUCGAAGGGUUUAUUGGCUGCCACGUGUAGGGUUAUGGUCAAGAUCACGUGGGGUGCCUACAUGGGAGUCACGUGAGUGCAUGAGGCAGGCUUGAAUUGCAGGAGGAGCAGGAGCAGAGCAGUGGCUGUUGUCUUAAGACUUUGCUCUCUUGGUGGAACUGCAGCUUAAGCAGCAUCCACGUGUUGUCACGUGCAAUGCGAGCCAUCCACACCACCAGUUUCUUUUUAGUGAUUUUCUAAAGUCAGUUAAGGUUGCAGUCAAUACCUUCAAAUGUUGACAGAGUUAGGGAUCUUUGUUAAAUGGAUUUUAUUAAGAUAUUAGUAAGUUAAUUAAUUGAGGGUCAACAUAACAGAUGGGUCGGGUUGGGUUGAAUCUGAAUUUAAAACGAUUUAAUUUAUGUUUAAUCAAAUUUAACAUUUAACUCGAAGCACUCAACUUAAGUUUAAUUGAAUCUUAGUUUUCAAAACAUUAUUUAAAUUUGGGUCAUUUGGAUUAAAGUCAAAUGGGUUAGAUUAAUCGGGUUAUAUGGUUCAAAAUCCACUUACCUUAUUUUUUAUACAUUAAUAUUAAAAUUUAAAUAAAAAAUAUUAGAAGAAAUUUCAAACUUGGGAUUAGUUGAUUGUAGCCAUGCAUUUGGAUGUUGGUAUUCUUGUUUCUUGUCUUGUUUCCAAAUACCCUUUCAAAUCGCUUUGUUAUUCAAUAGCAUCCUCCCGAUCAUUUAAAAAUUUAAAGAGCAUUGGUAUGAUGGAGGAAUUCAGAAAUUUUAGUUGAAUAAGUAAAAUUUUUCUCUCAUAAAACCAAAUAGCCUCUAUAGCUCAGUGGUAGAGCGUCAGUCUUGUAAACUGAAGGUCUGUAGUUCGAUCCUGCAUGGAGGCAACUUUUUAUAUUUCAUGAUCCAUUAUGCUCUAGUGAUUUAGUUUUCAUUAUAAUUUUAGAUUAAAAAAUUACAUCAACAUUUGAUAAGUUGGUUAUGACUUUGAUAUAAGGAUGAAACUAUCAAUAAUAUAUAUAAAUAUUUUGACACAAAAUAUCUAAUAUAUUAAAAAAUUAAAAAAAAACUCUAAAAAACAUUAUAAAAUUAUAUAUAUAAUUUAUCAUAUUUAAUAAUAAUAUCUUCUACCCUAAUAAAAAAUAUAAAUUUUAUAAGCAUACAUUUAUUAUUACAUUGUAUUAUAUAUUAUUUUACAAGAAUAUUAUGAUAACAUGUCUAAUUUUAAAAUAUAUUUAAUAUUAAAAUUAUCAUCAAUUUUAAUUUAAAUGUAUUUAAUGAUAUCAAAUAAUAUAUAUAUAUAUAAUUUUUUAAUAUUUAUAUAUUUUUAUAUUUAAUAAAUAUAUAAAUUAUGUAAAAAAAAAAGACCUAUUAAGAAGAUUAUGUUUUUAUAUUUGGAUCAAAAUUAAGUUUUUCCGAUAAAAUAUAUGAAACUAUUGAUAAAUUAUUGAUUGAAACGUGAAAAAAAAAAUUCAAAAAAUAGAUGAGAUAUUAGUAAAAUAUCCGAAAAUAUUGAUUGAUGAAUAUAUCAUUUCAAAUUUUGCAUCAACAUCCACAUAUGUUGGAUAUAUUGGCCAAAUAUAUUUAAACCUUGUUUCCAUGAGAAGUCUUUCCUUCAACAAUUUCAAAAGGUUAAUGAGGUGGUUUCCAAGAGAUGUGUGUAGGGGUCUCCAACGGGCGGGCCGGGCCAGCGGGCUUUUUGAAAUAAGCCAAAAUGGCUUUCAAAAAAGGGAAGGGAGAGGAUUUAAACCCCUUCCUUCAUGCUUAAAUUUCAAGGUUCUAACCAAUUGAACUACAUUCCUUUAAUGUUUAUUAAUUGAGUUAGUUAUAUAUAUAUAUAAAAAUAAAGUAUAUUAUUUUUUAAAGGGGCGGGCCUACGGGCUGGGCCGGGCCGAAAGCGGGCCACGGGCCACGGGCUUUUUGGAGACCCUUGGAUGUGUGCAAUCACAUUUGGUAUUAUAGGUGACAAAGUUUGAUAAAUGAGUAAUUAUUAGGUUAACUUAUAAAAUCCGAAUUUGAUUUAAAUUGAUUCAUUUAAUAAUCCCAUUUAUUUACCCAAUUAAAACUUUAAAUUAUUUAACUUAUAUUUAAUUUAAUUAAAAUUUGUUUUUAAAUAAAUAGAUCAAUUAAAACAUAAACAUAUUUGAUUGAAACAUUAAUAAUAUAGAUUUAAAUAAGACCUAAUUCAACCUAACGAUCAAAUAGAAAUAUCUAAUUAUUAAAUAAAUUAAACAUGUUACUUGCUUAAUAAUUAUGUGACAUUUGAAUUUAUGCUUUUGAUAUAAUUAUUAUUUAUAUCAGGUUUAUAUAAUGAAAUAUCUAGACUUUGACACCAGUCAACAUUGUCCACCAAUACAGAUUGCAACUCUUAUAUGCUACAUCACAUCAUGUUGAAGGAAGAGGAUGACGUUCAUUGGCAGCAGAGCCUCCAAUCAUAAGGAGCUUGAGCAAAUUCAAUCUCAACACUGAAAUUCACUAGAAAAAAAGUUUAUUAUUGAUACUUCAUUUGUGUAAAAGCAUUAUAUUUCUUGCAUCAAUCGUAAAGCAUGACAUUCCAGUAGGUACGGAAGAGAAAAUUUGUUAUGAAUUGAAAAAUCUGUCAAGCUUAAUUUGGAGGGCCCAAAAUUGACACGUUUAAGAGCUCUAUCAUUAGCCCAAUGAUAAGAGUCCAUUUCUUGAGUUUCAAGGAAGGCCCAAGUUUAACUUAGAGGGCCCAAUCUUGGUACCUUCUAAAAGGUGCAAACUUUGGCCCAAUUAUAAAAGCUUAUCCUUGCUUCCUAAGCAUCAAUGAUAUAUUUGAUCGAAGUAUUCACAUAACUAUCACGAAAUGAAAUGAAAUGAAAAUGUAUAAGUAAAUGAUGAUUUUGAGUUAUUUACUGACAAUAAAGAAUUAGGUGGUGUUUGUUUUUUUUUUUUUGGCUUUUUACUAAAAGCAAUUUGUUUUCAGAAUUUAGGUUAUUUAUUUUUCUAUUUUUUCAUGACUUAUUAUAAACUUUUUACUAAAUAAGAAAAUCCAAAAUAUAUAGUUUUUUCUAAAUAGAAAAAAUAACAUAUUGGUUUUCUUUUUUUUUUACUUUUUAAUAUUUAAUAGAAAUAAAAUAUUAUAAAAACAAACAACCUAAUAUUUAACACUAUUAAGUAUUAAGGUUUUAUUUAGAAUUAAGUAAAAAAACAAACACUACCUUAAAAUGAAAAGUAUGUAUAAUGACCUUAUACAAAAAAAGUCUCAUUAUUUUCUUCCAAAGAACUCAUACUUUUGUUUUUCAACUAUUACUUUGUUUUUAUUUUUUAAAUAAUAUUUCAAGUUUUUUUUAAUAAUACCUUUCUCUUUAUUAGAUAAUUUUAAUGACUUUAAAAGUAUUUUAAUAUAUUAAUUUAUUAUAUAAUUUUAAUGAUUUAAAAAUAUUUAAAUGUUGAAAUAUUUAUUUUCAAGUCUAAUUUUAAUUAUUUAUUUUUUGAAGUAUUUAAAUAUAUAAUAAAUGUGGGAUUAUGUAAAUCUAGUUGUAAUUAUUUAUUUCAUUCUAUUCAUGUUUUUAGUUGAAUUUGCUCAAAAUUUACACCUCUUUAUUUAAAGAUCAUGGAUUAGUUAGGUGUCUUGAGAUUUUUUUUCUCUCAAGACACUACUUGUUACACUAGAAAAUAAUUUGUGGCUAUAUUUUUUAGGCAAAAAGAAUUAUAUGUUAAAACUUCCUUUAUUGACUAGUUUAUCAUAGGGUGUAGAGGAAAGUUUGUGAUGUCUUUUUAUGUCAACUUUGGGAGAAAAAUAUCACUUUAGCAUUUUCCUUAGAAAAUUUUCAUACAUAAUUGAUUUUGGAACUAUGGAGGAGCAUAAGUAGGGAUAGAUAAUUCGAUUUUGGAAAAAUUAUAAUAGCUUUUCAACUUGGUGUUAAUGAUAUAUUGUUUAUUUCUUAUUUUUUUUCCAUUUUAAUAUAUAAUUGGGGAUUUUAAACUUGUAGAACAAGGCUUUUUCAAUUGAAUUGACACGUACAUAUGAAAGUUCUCUUUGGUUGCUAAUCACAUUUUUUUUUCUUUUGCUUUUUGUUUUUAUCAUAAUGAAUAUUGAACUCGAAAUUCAGUUUUUAAAAUCUUAUGAUGUUUUAAAGUUUAUAAAUAUUAUUGAUUUUUAUAAAUGAUGUUAUUCAUAUCUUGGUAAAGACAAUAUUUUCAUAUCGGUCAAGAUGAUUAAUAACAUAUAAGUUCAUAAAGAAAAACCUAUUGAUUAAUGGAUAUUUAAUGAUUUUUAUUAGGAAUGUUUUUUAAUUAGUUUCAAUACUCAUCUUUUAGAGCAUACAUAUAGGGUUUUAGAUGCUACAUUGGUUUUCAGCUUGUGAUUUAAAUUAUUGAAGCAAAAAAUGAGGGUUUUGCUUUAUGGAACUAUCUAAAGGGAGGUGAAUUAGGCGGUCUUCCUUUUUAAAAUCCAAAAAUUAGAUUUUUAAUACUUAUAUUAGUUAUACAUGUGUUCAAUAAUUAAAACAAAGAACAAGUCCAUAAUUUACAUGUGAUGUGCAUGGAAAAACACCUACAAAUUCUCUCAAAUACUUUACAAAUGAAAAAAAAAUCAAGGAUCGAUCAAUCACAGAGCAACUUCACUAAAUAUGAAAACAUGACUAUACAAUUUUACUUGGAUGAGGUGCUACCUUCUCUUAAGGGUUUUUACACUAGCCAACAAUUACACUCACCUUCACUCUCACCAUGCACCUCUAUUGUGCUCCAUAGUAAACACUUUAAUGACUGUAGCAAGAUUGCGAUAAAUUACUGCGAUUAAUUUGAGAGUGUUGAUAAUGAACAAAAAAUAAUGAUAAUUAACUAGAGAGCAUAUGAUUUUGUAAAAACACCAAAAAGAGGCAUAGUUAUAAGUGAAAACUUUAAUGGAUUGGAUUGAAUAUAUAAUUGAAGUAUGAAUGAAAAAUUACCAAAACAAUGUUCAAAACCGUGCUAAUCAAAGCACAAUCACUUGAGUACUCUCAUGGGGCACUUGAAUGCUCCUUUUAAUCACCGUAAUGCUGAAAUUAAUAAUUUGUCUCAAAUUGUUUUUCCAAAACAUAAAGCAAAAUAUUAUAAAUUUAUAUAAUCAAACCCAAUUUCAUCUUAAAGCUAGCCUACUUAGUCUUAAUUCAUGUCCAAAAAUACUCAUACUUGUCAAAGAAUGAAUAUGGUAUAAACAAAUUCUUUAUUUUCAAUUAUAUUCAAUUAUUGAAAGAAUAAAUCGGUUUACAUACAUUUUGAACAAAGGUAUAUACACAUAGACUAAAUCAAGGAAAUGAGGAAAUCAAUCACAAUCAAAUCAAAAUCAAAUGAUAGGUUGAUAUCUAGGAGAAGGUUAAGUUAGAACCAACUCAUGUAUUCAAUAUUCCCCCUUAAGAUGGCAUAUGGAGAUCAUGAAUAUCAAACCUAGAAAGUAAGGGAUAUGAAAUAUCUAUACCAAGGGAUUUUAUGAAAUAUCAACCAAUUGUUGUUGUGAUUAAACAAAUUGAAUAAGAAUAAUUUCAUUUCGAAUCUUUUCAUAGAUCAAGUGACAAUCAAUUUCAACGUGUUUAUUCUGUUCAUGGAAAAUUAGAUUAAUAGCAAUGUAUAGAGUUGUAUUAUUGUCACAAUAUAGAUGCAUUGACCAAGGAUGAUGAACUCCAAAAUCUAUAAGUAAAUAUUGCAACCAAUGCAAGUAGUAAUCAUUAAAUAAUAUUUCACUUUUCUUCAUGAGUGUUAUAUCAUUGAUUGCUUUUUAGAUCUUCAAGAGAUUGAUAGGCCACCAAGUAAAAUACAAUACCCUAUAAUUGAACAUCAAGAUUAUGCACAAUAGGCAUGGAGGAAGGCAAAAGAAUUCCUUGACCUAGACGAUUUUUUAAAUAGUAUAACACUCAUGUACUUGUGAGAUAAUUGAGACUACAUUGGCUUGUCAAGAAUUUGAACAUAAUUAGCAAUAUUAAGCCCUAUCAUUAUGAGUCAAAGUAACUUCCCAAUCAAAUGCCUAUAAUAAGAAGCAUCCAACAAAGGUUCUCUAUCUAAUUUACUCAAUUCCAAAUUUUGUUUCCUAGGAGUUUUUAAAGUUACAUGUUCCAAGAAAACCAAAAUCUUUUAGUACUUCUAGAGCAUGUUUUCAAUAACUUAAAUAAAUCUCAUUCUUAAAAUAUGUCAUUUCAAUGAUGAUGAAGUACUUUAAUUUUCCAAUCUCUUAGUUAGUUUGAAAAUGCUAUAUAGGUUUUCCUUGACCACCUUAAUUCCUUUAAGAUCAUUCAUUGUAAUAAUUAUAUCAUAAAUGUAAACAAGAAUGAUUGUGAAAUAGUUAUUUGAGGCUUGAGCAAAUAAGAAGUAAUAUGUACGUCUUGGCUUGCUUGUAAACCAUAAACAUCAAUGUGAUAGAUAAUUUGGCAAACCAUCAACGUGAAGCUUGCUCAAGGCCAUAAAGGGAUUUUUUAACUUUGCAAAUCAUAUUUUUGGUUCUAGAUUUCCUACAAACUUGGUGGAAGCUGCAUGUAUACCUCUUUAUCUAAGUCUUCAUAAAGAAAAACAUCGUUGAUGUCAAGUUGGUGAAGAUGUCAAAUUCUAAUUAUACAAUAAUUAGGGGUGACAAUGUGUCUUAUCGUGUUGAGGUGAGAAAUAGUGAAAAUUUACUUAAUCCGACUAUGACCCGUUUGAUAAUCGUGUCAAAAUAACCUAACAUGAAUACAAUUAGUUUAUUUCAUGUAACAUGACCCUUUUAACAUGUUUAAUAAAUAUAUUAACUUGGAUUAUGUAUUAAUUGACAUGAAUAACUCAUUAACUUGAUUUCAACCCCUUAAACUCAUUAACACAAUUCCAACCCAAUAAACUCGUUAAUAUGAUUUAACUCAUUAAACUUGUUAAUAGGAUUAUAACCUCUUUAACCUAUUUAAAAUUUUAAAUUUAUAAAUAAUAAAAUACUUCUAGAAAGUUUAAUUUUUAAAAUUUGAACUAUAAUACAUGUAUGCACCAAUUUCAUGAAGUCCUGAAAAAUUAGCAAAAUUAUAGAAAAAUAAUAUAAACAAAAAUUUGUAUUAAAAUUAAUAAGUAUGGGCUACAAUAUUAGUCAUAGUACUGCUUAUUUCUGAAUGACUUUAUUAAAAAGCGAAGAAUACAUGUGUAGUUCUUAUGUGAUUUCUUAAACUUGUAAGGCGAUUUUAUAAAGUUUUUUUUUUCUUUGUGAAACCUCUUUUUCUAUGUGAAAUUGUUUUGCCGAUUUGAAAUCUUCAUUAAAGGAAGUUACUAUUAUUUAUAAUUGAAAUUAGAGAAUGAAAUGUGGAAUCCCCAUGAUUUAGUUGCUUAAUUCAAGGAAUUUGAUUAAUUGAUUUUGGUAACUUGUCUCAUAAAAUUUUCUAACAAGAAUAUUUAUUUUUAAUCUCUUUUAUUUCAAUUGGAAUAUUUGUUUCCUUUGUAAAUUUGUCAAUAGAAUAUUUAUUUAUUUAUUUAAUUCUCUUUUGACUACAAUGAGAAGAUUUGAUUUUGUUUGUAAGACUAAAUUUUAUAACCUUUCAAAUUUGGCCAAGUGACACCUUUUGAAUAUAUGUCACAUGUCAAAUGUGUGUGACUCAUUAGUUGUUGAACCUAAAUUUUCUUGAAUUAGAAAGCUAUACUUUUGAAGACUAAUUUAGUGAUAAUUUAAUUCAUUAAAUUUUUUUGGUGUCUACAGUAUAUUUAUAAUAUGAAAAGUAAAUUAAAAUUUUAAUUUUUUUACUUGUUUAUUAUUUUAUUUAUUAUUUAAUGAUAAAUAUUUUUAUUCUUUAUUGAAAUAUAUAAAAUUUUAAUUAAUAUUUUAAUUUUUUUAAUUUCUAUAUAUAAAAUAUAUAGAUUUAUAUGGUCUAAUUGAGUCAUUAAAAUAAAUAGGGUAAAUAACUCACACAUAAGUGAUGGAUCAUUCUAACAUGAUUAAAUUAACAAGUUAGAUGAAUUGAGUAGUCAAAUACAAACAUGAUUUGUUUAUUAAAUAAGUUAUAUGAAUUGAUACGAUUAUGACAUCAACUCAAUUAAACUUAACUCAAAUAAGCUUUGUCUUUUAUUUUAAGUUGUCUAGUUGUUCACACAAAUUUUCUCAAAAUAAAGAAAUUAUAUAUAAAAUUGUAAAUUUGAUUAUUUGAGGGGACCAUUUUCAAUACUCUUUUUUAAGUAAUCUGGUGUUUAAUUUUGAAUCAAAGGGGCUUUCAUUAACAAAUAAUAGACUGUAGUUUUCAUAUAAGAAGAAAUCUCAAGCCUUUUUUUCUUGAAGGAAUCUUUAAAUUUUCUUUGAUACUUUAAAAAAUCAAUCUUCUUUGAUUUUUUAAGAAAUCUUUGAAUUUUCUUAAAGUCUUCAAAAAAAAAAAAAAAAAAAAAACUGAGUUUAAGGAAUUUUUUUAAUAACUCUCCAAAUUUCUUUGAUAUUCCAAAGUGUCCUUUAGAAGGGGACAAAUCCUCUAUUUACAGGAUUGAGAGUUUUAUUUUAAUAUUAUCUCUUAAUUUUUAAGAAAUAACUCUCUUAUUUAUGAUAAUUACUAUUUAUUUUAUUUAUCAUAAUUAGUUGCCUAUGAUAAUUAUCAUAAUUAAUUUUUCUAGAGAUAAAUAAUUAUAUAUAUUUAAUUAAUCAUGAUAACUAUAAUAUUUAUUUAAUUUUUUAUUAAAUUAUUUUACAUAACAUAUCAAUAUAUAUUAUUAGUCAAUUAUUAACACCGAAAAUUAAUGAGUUGGCAUAAAAUUUAUCUCUCUAUAAUAGUAUCAAAGCGAGCCUUAAUAAUAACAUUGCUUAUAGUCAAUUUCACAUGCCAACUUUUUACUGGGCAUUGGCGAUUUCAAUUUUGAUAGUCCGGUUAGAAAAAGUAGGUAAAGAUUAUUUGAUGUGGUAGGUCAUUUCUUUCAUAAAGACGAUGGCGGUGAAUUCAUGAGACAGGUGAUAAAGGAGAGAUUCUUUCUUUUGGCUUUGGAAUUUUAAUGAGGUCCUCGAUCCUCAUCCAAAAUACACCUCUCCAAUUAUAAAAAUCUUAUUAAAAAAAAAAAGAUUUGACAUGUGCCUUUCGAACUGCUGGUUUUCUGUUCCAAAAAUGAGAAUGGUUUCAAGUGGAUGAAGGAAGGUGAAGAACCCUUGGUUUUGUUAAGCGAAAAGCCACAUGAUUAAAUAAACAUAAGGCGGCAAAGGCUGAAAAUUUAAAAUUAUACUAAGGAACCCACCCCACAGGGCGACUACACUUUUGGUGAAGCCACGAGAAUGAAAGAUAUCGAAGGUGACACCAAGACAUUAAGCAGCACCAAGGUUUCGAUAUAUUAUAAGAUGGGAUCUUAUGAAAGACGAUCUCUAAUCUCUCUCCAAUCUCUUCUUUAACCUUUUCUUACUUAAAUCCAUUUCCAUGGUAGGGCACAUGUCCAGCUGACCCUACCCCCUCACCUACCUAUACUGCUAUACCCUUUUGUAUAAUUUGAUAUGGAUUGGAAGCCACCCCAACAUCUUUCUAAUUGCUCGUAAAUGUUGAGGUGCCUUUCCAUUUUGAGGCUGCCCUAAUGUGUGGCUGAAGUACGUAGGAAAAAAAAAUUGUGAUACAUGCACUGACGAAUCAAAUCCCAAUGUCAAAUUAUUAGACUCACCUGGUUCUUAAAUUAUUGUGAAUGCCGCUGGCCAUGGAUAAAUGGAAUUAGUGCGUGGCUUAAUGAAAAUUUAUUUUGAAAGGGAUAUUAAUUUGAGAGAAUUUUGGCUGAUACUUGGAGUUGAACGUAAGCAUAUAUGACCUCAUUUCGGGUGUGAUAUUGUGCUUAUAACGAACCUUUCGUUCUUUCCAAUUCCAGUGGGUAUUAAAUAAUUAAAGAAUUCAUGGUUCGAAGGCGAAAGGUAGAAGACCAAAAAGGGAUUACAAAGCCAUCGGCUUGACCAUCCAGAUGCAAUGGAUACAAACUUUGGACUCUAUCGAAAGUUCUUUGGGCACGUGCCCAAGUGUCCUACCCAUAUGAUAAGUUACACGUGGCUAAUUGCGGACCGGUUGCUCGUGCUAAACAGGGUACUUUUUCUACGCAUAUAAGAUGUUUCACUAGUGGGGCUUCACCAUGCAAACUCAUGGAUGAAGACCCUGAGGCCAAGAUGAAGGAACAGAAAGAAGGCGGAGGAGAGGUUCGGUAUCGAGGCGUUCGGAGGCGGCCAUGGGGGAAGUUUGCUGCGGAGAUACGUGACUCGACUAGGCAUGGAGCGCGCGUCUGGCUCGGGACUUUCAAUUCUGCGGAGGAGGCUGCAAGAGCAUAUGACCGAGCUGCUUAUGCCAUGAGGGGUUCCUUGGCGAUUCUCAACUUCCCUAAUGAGUAUCAUACACCCGGCACGGCUAGCUCUUCAGCUUCAUCCUCAAUGCCCGAAGGUGAUCAGCAGGGAAAACAAGUCAUUGAAUUGGAGUACUUGGAUGAUAAGCUGCUAGAGGAUCUUCUCGACUCUGAAGACAAAAAGAACAAGAAAACCUGAAGUUUCUGCUGCCUCGAAUCCCCUGAAAUCUAGUGCUUCAUCGAAAAAAAAUCCCCUCGCUCCUGAUUAACAACAUUUUUAUUUUAGUCAAUGAAUGUGUUCUCGGAUCAUUAUAAGUAUUUCUGCCGAAGUCCAUUGAUUUUUGGAGACUGAAAAAUGUCAGAAAAAUUGGUGCGAACAGGUUUACUCCUUUCUAAAUUAUGCAAUUGAAGUAUUUGGAUUAGUGCGCAGUGUAAACAUCAAGGAAAGCAUGAUCCACUAUUUUAAGGAGCCUAAGUGCUUUCCCCUUUACUCUUUUAGGAUGUCUUUUCAGUGAAGAAAGUUGGGAGACCACCACUUACCCUUUUGAUUGGUAUAUAACUGCCAACUAAUAACUGGACUAACAUUUGGCCCGUCUGGCCCUACUUCUUUGACUUUGUUGUUAAUUUAUAACUUUAUGUGAAGUGGGGGCUGUUUGGGAAUGUGUGAAGCAAGGAUUUGAGCCGACUUCGCCUAAUCUGAUUCUCCAUAAGUGACUUCAUUUUAUCAUAUUGGUGUUUUUUUUCUUCUUCUUUUUAAAUGGCUGGGGAGGAGGGGAUUUGGGAGGGAUGCAAUGCCAUGGUUGCAUGCUGGAUUAUCCUUCCAAAUGAAACAUCCAUUUGGUUUCUAGUAACUAAUUGCAAACAAUUAAAGAGAAUAAAAUUUUAAGAUGAUUAAACAAUAAGUACCUAUGUCCAUGAAAAGGAGAGAAGUUCACUCAUGGGUGUUCAUGAAAGACAUCACAAAGAACCAUCAAUAUGAGAAGAAUCCUGAUACAAUUAACUUUCAUGCAUAAGAAAAGACGCUCAAAAAAGAAUAAUGCUUACAAGGAAAGAAUCUCACUACGAUCAACUGAAAAAAUAUUCCAAUUUAAUUGGAAAUCCUUACAUGGGAAGAAUAUCAAUAAAAUCAACUAAAAAAAUAUUUUAAUUUUAUAUCAAAAUAUUUGUGAUUUAACCCGUAUCAUUUCAUCAUGACUUCUUAUAAAUUUUGUUCCUUUUUAUCAACACCACCCCUUGAGUUGGAGCAUAAAUAUUUAUUAAGCUAACUUGAACAAGAUCUUGAGAAAUUUUGUCGCAGGAUUUGUUUGCACUUUUUUUUUUCAAAUAAAGUCAUAAUUAACUUUAAUAUGUUUAAUCAUUUCAUGAAAUACUAGAUUUUAAGCAAUGUUGAUAGCAUACUUAUGCCUGAAAGCUUUAUCCCAAAUCACAUGAGUACAUGAAGUGAUUGCAUCAUUAAUGGUAGUAUUAUUACUUUAUAUUCAACUUCUCCACUUGAUAGGAUGCAUGAAAGCAUUGUGCUUUCUUCUGUUUCAAGUAAUAAAGAUUAUCACCAAGAAAGGUGCAAUUAAUACCUAGUAACAGAGUACCUAGUGGUAGCAUGCACCUAUCCACUGAACUUGUACUCGACUCUAUGAGUGUACGUUACAUAGUCCUUUUUUCGAAGUCUAAAUGUCCCUUGAUAAAACCUUCUAAUAUUUGAGGUUUUGGUAACAUUCAUGUAUCAAUGAACAAAUUAAUUUACUAGCUAAACUUUAAAAUUAGGCAAUGUUUUUCAAUGGGUGAUCAAGAUCUUGGAAUUUUCAAUGUUGUUUGAAUAGCUUCCACACACAAGCAUAUUUUCUCCUAUUUAGGAAUAAUCCCUUUUUUGAAGGUGUGAUCUUUAUGCUCAAAAAAUAAAGAUACUCAAAAAUUUAAUAUUGACCUUCUCGUGAAGGAAAAGCUUUAUAACUAAUUUUUUUUGUGCAUUAUAUAUAUCCUCAAUAUAGACUUUAAAAAAAAAAGAAGUAACUCCCUCUACAAAGAGUGAAGAGUCAAUUAAACUUUUUUUUUUUUAAAAAAAAGGAACCAAUUACUCGUAAAAGUAAUGAUUAUUUUUACAUACCAAACUUGAGGAGAUUACUUAAGAUCACAAAAGUUUUUAUUAAAUUGCAAGCUAGAUGCAUUUGAAACGAUCGUUGAUGUCUUAGCAACACCUUAUGUAACUCAUCAAUCUUUAUGUAAAAAUGCAUUUUUAACACCCAUAUAAAAUAAUGAUCAAUCCUAAUUUAAUAGAAACAAAUGGUAAUACAUGAAUAUCAUUCAUAUUAAUGAGAAAAGUAAAUAUUGAUUUAUAAUCAACUUCUUAAGUUUGUGUCAAUGCCUUAAUCAUUAGUUUAACUUUGUCAUUCAAUGAUACCAUCAUUACGACAUUUAAUUAACUUAGAUUUGCGUAAAUCCCUUAAUCACUAGUCUAGCUUUAUGUCAUUCAAUGGUACCAUCAUUAUGGUAUUUAAUUGAUCUUAUACCCCCAAUUUGUAUACCCCAUGUUUUUCUUAAUUUACCAUACAUCACUUAACAAUGUUCCAUGCAUGGAUUUUGUUAAGUGCCUUAAGUUCCUUUUGCAUAGCCUUUCUCCAAAUUGGAUGAGGAUUGGCUUCAUUAAUGUCAUUAGACUCAUGAUAUAUGGAACUCAAACAAUUGUUAAGUGAUUUUGUAUAUAUAUAAAAAAAAAAUUGUAAUUAAUGUGGUAGGCAUAAAAAUCUCACAAAUGAGGAUUGAUUAAUUGUUAUAAUUGAGCAACAUGCUUGAGGCUUAGUCACAAUACUAGAACUUGAAGUCAGACAUUCUCUUCAAAUAAGGACGUAUAUACAUUAUAUUGGAUCUCCAUUAAACAAGUAAAGAACUAUUUAGUAGACAAUGAAACCUCAUUGAUCAAUGGUGGUAGAGAGACACAUGAUGACCAGACUAUUCCCCUGGAAAUGAGAAUAAAAAAUAUCAUUAGCCGCAAAAAUCUCAAAAAAAUUUAGAUAAUGGGAUAUAAAGAGUUUAUGAAUUUUACAAUCAUAACUCUUAUACUGGUUUAAGUGGUAGAGUAAUCAAGAACACAAAACGAGUUUGAUGAGUGGUUGAGAUAUGAACAAAGCAAAGAUUUCCAAAGACACCAAAAUCAGAAAUCUCAAUUUUUGGGCUAAGGAUUUCAAGAAGAAAUUUAAAAUUAACUACAUGACUAGAAAAUUUGUUCAUCAAGGAAAUAGAAGUAACGAUAUCAUAACAUCAUAAUUAAUCAAUAUUUUUAAUAACAUGCAUUUGGAACAUGAUAUACCGGCUUUCUAAUAAUCAAUGAUUUUUGGUUCAACCACACCAUUUUGUUUUGGGAUGCCAAUACAACAAGUUUAACGAANNNNNNNNNNNNNNNNNNNNNNNNNNNNNNNNNNNNNNNNNNNNNNNNNNNNNNNNNNNNNNNNNNNNNNNNNNNNNNNNNNNNNNNNNNNNNNNNNNNNAUGUAAGUGCCAAAUUAGGUAGUGUCGACAAUGAAAUGGAAAUUUUGGAAUAUAGAAACAACCUCAUUUUUAUGUUCUAAUAAGUAAACCUAUGUAGCAUAAGAAUAGUCAUUAAAAAAAAAGGUAACAAAAUGUUGAUUUCCAUCCUAUGGAUCAAUUAGGACACAACCCCAAGGUAAACUAAUUUGAAAGUUGCAACAAAAAUGGAAAGAGAUGAAAAAAUAAUAGAGGAAUUUAAGGUUGUUUCAAAAUUUCAAGACAUGCUAAGAAACACAUGAGAUUAUAGAUGAUUAGGUAACAACCUUGGUUAAGUAUAUUCAACAUAUAUAUCCCACGAGGAUAAAUAUCUUCACUAAACUUUUCCUAUUAUUCAAUCCCCUAAUACCAUACAAGUGAAAAAUUAAUGUCACGGUCAAAAAUUUUAAUAAGCUUCCAAAGAGAUAAUAAUUUUGGGGAAAAAAACAACCUAAGAAACCUAUGAAUUGAGAUAAUUUAGGAAAAAACUAAAUGUUCGUUAGCUCUAGAAGGGAAUUGAAGCUCAUCAUCAAUAAAGAUUGUUGCUAUCUCGAAUAAUAUCAAGUAAACCAUUAAGAUCGCUAUUAAUGGUAUGAUUAGCAGCACCAAUUAUCGACAAAAAAAUUAUUAAAAAUAUAAGAAAUGAGAGCUUUAAGAUUAUCUAAUUGAUUUGUAAACCUAGGUAAGUGAAUCAGUAUUACGUUUUGUUAAGGAAGCUUAGAUCCAAUUGGUAUCAUUCACCAAGUUAUUGGAUUAAAUUACACUAUCAAACUUUGGCUUUAAAUGAGAAUGAAGAAUCUAACCACAAUCCUUAUUGGGAUUAGAUAUGUUAUUGCAAUAAUGUUUACAAUCGGAUGAGUGCUAAUUUCUAUUGAAAUCAUGAAGCAAUCUCUGAUCAUUGGUCUUCUUUGUAGAAACAUGAGCAUUGAAUUUAAAAUUAAUAAUUGUUACUUGGGAUUCAACCUUCAUAAUCAUUGCCUGGGUUUCCUAAUCACUUUCAAGAAUUACUUAUAUAGUGAAGGCACUCGAAACUAAUCAAAUUUGUCCUCUUAUAAAGUUGUCAUAUUCAAGCUUCAGAAUAGCCAAUAAUUGAAAAACUUAUCAUACUCCGCAAUUUGUUGAAGAAUAUUUGGGUCUAUUGAAGGGGACAAUAUAGGGAAUAUUUGUCCCAUAUGCUCAAAAUGUUCAAUUAACAAAGUGUUCUGUAUGUUUAGGGAUUUGUUAGCUUUAAUUACACAAAACAUUAGCAGUUUUAGAGAAAAUUAAUUUUUUUUUGCAAUCUUAGGUUCCAUGAAAUUAAAAAGCCAAUAACAAGUCAAUAUGGCUUGAGACCCAGUCAUCAUAUUCAAAGUCAUCCAACUUAGAAGCAUUCAUUUUGCCACUAACAUGUGCUAAUUUCCAUUUUCUAUCUUUCAAGAGAAAAAGACUGCUCUUAACCAUGGCAAAUAAUUGAACCCAUUAAGAAGAUUGAGGAAAGUAUCAUAUGAGGGUUGUCAUUUUCCUCCAUGACAAAGAAAAAGCAACAGAGAAAAACUCAUAAUAUUAGAAAGAGAAUGAAAGAAAUUGAGUCAUAGAUACACACAGAAGAAUCCAAAAAUAAAGCAAUAAUACAACCACAAAUAUGAGAAGAAGCUCAAUUACAAAGAAAGGAACUCAAUACAAUCAACUAAAAAGCGUUCCGAAGUUCAUACGAAAAUAUUCAUAAUGUGAAGAUCAUUUCAUGAUUCCUACAAUUUCUUCCUUCUACCAGUCCACUCCAUACAAGGUUUGAUCAACAACUUCUUCAUUGAUUUUCUGGUCUCUCUCCGGUGUAUCAUAGAGCAUUUUUGACAUGUUUCUGCAAGAUACACUUGUUAACUUUAAGCGACAUAAGUGCAAAAAAAUAAGAUCAUGUUGUAUUGCCUGUGCUUCCACUCUGCCUUGUUUAGUACUAUUAUGGAGCAGUACUUCCAUAUAGAACCAGUGAUCUCCAGUUCAUUAUGUUGCCUUCUUUAAACUAACUUUAAUUAUCUAUACAUAUAAAACAAAGUGGUCCCAUCAAGGGGCUAAAUCAAGAAUCAAGUGGGGCGAACAGGAAACAGUGGCAUCAAUUUUUAAGUCCAUAAGCUUUAAUAAAAGGAAUAAAACCAAGGAUAUGAAUAUGUUAUUUUUUCAUUUGUUCAUGCACUGGAAGAUCUUUCCUCUUCAAGCAUUGAACCAGCAUCCUUCUGUGCAAGUUGCUGUCGGAACCUUCUAUAAUUGUCAGAAGUCUGUUUCUGAAAUAUACAGAUAAAACUUUUAGCAAGUCUUGACAUUGCUCAUCACUAGGACAUUGUACUAGGAUACCAAUUCAUCUAAUUAGGGUUAAGUUGGCAUCUCGUACACUAUUUUUUAUUUUUCCUUCAUCUUUUGUUCCCAUUUGCAGUGGAAGUGGCACUUAGAAUAUCUGAUCAUGAAGAAUUAGCUUUCGGUGAGAUGAUACUAGGUCAAUUGCCAUUAUCUUUUUGAGUUACUGUGCGAGCAAUCUUGAAAAUAUUUUGGGAUAAAUAGAAUUUGUGCUUAUCAUAAACAUGCUAAACAUCCAAAUCAAGUGCUUUUACUAUUGAUAUCAAAUCAGUAAUUGAUUUUAACCUUUAUGCUUAUCUUUCAGAUUCUCAAUUAUGUAUCUUGAAUAAUGAUAUUAAGCAGAAAUCAUGAAUUGAAUUGCUUUAAUUAACUGUGCCUUAUCAAGCUUGUCAGCAGUGCUAUUGCUACCGCGAAUCAAAUUCGCUGUGCUUCCCGCCUUCUCCAAAUAAGCCACAAGCCCAAUUAUAUCCGCCCUCCUCCCAUCUCCAAGGGAUCAAAAAAUAAAAUGACUUCAAUCAAUUUUCAAGUUUUCCAUCUUGAUCAGUAGACCACCCGGCAUGAAUGUUACCCUCAGUUUAGGAAUAGGAAUUCCUUUUACUAAUCAUUUGGCACUAAAAACUAUGACCCCUAGCAAUUCAUUCCCUCCAUUAGAUAUCUGGGGGCAUCUUGGCUCAGCCAAAAAUGAUAAGUCAUUGCAUUUCACAUUGCAUUCAUUUGUAUUAAUGAGCUAAUUUUUUUUCACAGAAUGUGAUGUGAAUCGAAUUACUUCCAACCAUGUGUCUCUAUAAGGGUUUAACAAAUGUAAUUUGCAUUGUCUGUACACUUUUUUUUCGGUUUCUUUUCUUUUUUAUGCAUGAUUCAUUAGUCCACGGAUCUUCUAUGCAAAGUGUGCAGGCCAAACACCUCCUUCAAUGCAUUAUUCUAGAAGUUAAGACUCAGUUUACUCCUUAAUUGAUCUGUUCCAUUUACUUCAAAUCAUUUGAUUACAUUAAAUGAAUCUUGAAAUUCAAAAAUGCAUCAAAGUUAAAAGACCUUCCAAUGCAUUAAGAAAUCAUCUGAUACAAAUAUAUGUGAACCUGCAACAACAAUAAUGUCAAAAUGGAAAACUUAGGUAGAAAAUAUUAGAACGGAAACUUACGACGAACUCAAUUUUUGGCGCCUUUCUUCUUCUCAUCUUCUGAUCCAAGAAGCUCUUCCAACACCGUGUCAUCCAAACACUCGAACUCAAUGACUUGCUUUUCUUGCCCAGAAGAGGAACCUCCCAUCUCUAAACUCCUACAAGGCCCAGAAGAUGACGAGGAAGACGAUGAGGAUGGUGAUGGUGGGGGGCGAUGGGAGCCCAUGAUUUCAGAAUAGUACUCAUUAGGAAAGUUAAGAAUGGCAAGAUGACCCCUUAAGUUAAAGGCCGCUCGAUCAUAGGCGCGAGCUGCAUCCUCCGCCCUGUCAAAUGUGCCUAGCCAUAGACGAGCACCUUGCCUAGACGGAUCCCUAAUCUCGGCUGCAAACUUCCCCCAUGGCCUCCUCCUCACCCCUCGGUAUCGAACUUCUUCCUUUUCCUUCCCUUCCUGCUCCUGCUUCUCAUUCCCUUUCGAAUGAUCUUCCAUGCUAAACGUGUCGAUUUGCUAGGCGCAAUUUUUUUGGUUUCAAAUGUGCUGGUUUACGAGAGGCAUGGAUGCUUAUGUAUAUAUAUGGUUGCCACAGUCAGGUCUGACGUCACCGCUCAAUGUAUGUUCCACAGCGUGGGUUGACGAGCUUUCUGAGGGGGUUUCCUCGAAUUCAAAGCAAGUAUAAAAAUUCGAUUCUCCGACCUUUCCAAUGAGGAUCGAACAGGCCUUUUAUUAGAACCGUAUGAUAACUCCACACUGUUUUCAAAUAGUCAAUGUGAUCUAGAUUCUUCGUUAAUUUUUUCCACCUGACUGAUUGUUUACAAUUUUAUUUUUCACCGUCCCAAAUUUAAACCAUUUACGCGAUUCCCUGGAUUGCAUUUUUCUUUAAUGUUGACUUUACGAGGCAAUAGGACCCCCCAGCAACCCCACUAGGGCGACUUCAUGGGAACCAGAUUACUUUUGGAUCCAGAUAUGGUCCAGAAGAAAUAAGACAAAUCAAUUAAUGUCCACUAAAGUUUUGAUGGAACCCUUAGUCCGUGUUUCCUGUGGAUGUAUGUAUUGUAUGCACCUCAAUUUUCACCAAUCCCUGCUACGAGUCCCUUUAAUUUUGACGUUAUAAAUGUUUUUCCUGACAUUAGCAGAGUGUUUUUCUGCCGUCUUUGAGGACCUUCCACGGCCCAUAAACUAAUAAGGAUCGUCCAGUGAAUUUAGUCUUCCCCAGUUAAUUAUCCUGCGAGGGAAACUUGGGCAGUAAGUUGCCUACAUGAGUGGCUCCCGCCUACAUGAGUCAAGGGACCAUACGUCAGGACGACAACCAGUGUGGUCACACCAAAGUGGGUUGCCUGGACUCCAGGGUGGUCGCUUCAAAGUUGUCAAAUGAAGGCUAGCUUGGCAAGUUUUGGAAAACAAUUAUUGAAAAACAUUUUUCAUGAAUAACAGUUUCUAUGAACAGAUUUUAAGAAAGUUUAUUUUGUGAUUUUUAGGAAUAUUUUUAAUUUAAAUUUUUAUAUUUUUAAUUUUUUAUUAAUUUAUUGAUUAUUUAAUAUUAGCUUAAUUAAUGGAUUUUUCUUGGUCCCAAAUUAUUAAUUUAUCAAGAUUUAAUCGCAUCCAUAAUUAGUCUAAUUUCUUUUGGAGUGAGUGUGACAAAGUGCAAAUUUCUAGAGUUUUAUUAAUGUUAUUCAAUGUCAUAAUUUAACUAAUUAUAUUAAUUAUUUAUUAAUCAAAAUAAAUCAUUCACUUGAAAUAUGAUAAUUUAAAUUAAAAGUUUCAAUUAUUUAUUAAUUAGCAAAGUAUGAACUUUUCUUCUUGUUUUAUUAUUGUUAUUCCAUGUAUAUAAUUUAAUUAACUGUUUCCAAUAUUAAUCAAUAAAAAUAGAAUAUAAGCAUGAGAAGAAUUAGUAAAAUUCAUUGAUUUGGAAUUAGAUAGCUAGAGGAAGAACUUCAUCAUCUUCCCAUUACUUAAAUUUGUAUAAAUUCUAAAUAUUUAAACCCCCCCCCCCCCCCCCCCCCCCAAAAAAAAAAAAAAUGGUAAAGAAAGACUCCCCAAGCUUUCUUGGUUGGUGUUACCCUAAAAUUUGUACAAUAAGAUGAACCAUUUGGCUUAAAGCUUGGUGCGAAACCCCUUAUCAAUUGAAAAUAUCAAUGAAGUUGUUGAAUGGUUUUAGAGGACUAUUCUUAUGCAGAGUGGCAUAAGAAGCGAGGAGAUGAAGAGCGGAGAGACGUUAACAUCGGAUGCUGCUACGAAGGUGGGAAUACGGUUAAUUAAUUAGAUUUUGUGAUGGCUUUGAGUUUGAAGGAGUUAGUUUAAUGGGUAUUAUUAGUGAACUGAUAAUUGGAUUUGAUGUAAAGAAGGUUGGUCCAUUGGAUUAGCAAUUGGUUUGGCCUUUUGGGGGCCCCAUUUCCAAAUGCAUUGCCUUUUACAAGCAUUCAACAUCGCUGGACGUAACCAGGCUUGGUUCACCUAAAAGUAUCGCAUGGAUUGAAUUGACUAAGUUUUCAUUGUAGACUAGCCUUGAUUUUCCCUUGACCUGCCCACCAAAUCCUGAUGCCCACGCGAGGGAAUACCUCAAUUUUCUAAUAAUUUAUGCAGUUUCUCUUCAAAGCUCGUGUGAUCACUUGGGUCGGUAAAAUAAUGCAUUCCUCUACUUUUUCUCCCUUCCUAGAUGCAUGUUAUACCAUUAAUUCAAAUGUGAACAUGGGCUUGGCUUUGAAACUUGGUUCAAGGCCCAACAUGUUGACCCACAAUUGAGGUGUAAUUGAAUUUGUACACUUUUCGACUUUGAUACCAUUUGUCAUUACCAUUGACAUUGGGUCAUUGUUGAUUUUGAGUCCACAACUUUUAAGGUUGUUAUUACAAUUUUAAAUUGCGCCCACCCAAUUUAUAUGCAUUAUCCCUUAUAAAUACCGAUAACCUCUCUUUCUUCGAUAAUAUAAAAUGUCACAUAUAUUAUAUAUCUCAAUGUUUUCUUUUACUUUUUUUUUUUUUAUCGAUCGACAUUCUCUCUCAGAUGAUAUGAGAUGUCACAUAUAUUAUAUGUUUCAAUGUUUCUUUUACUUUUUCUCUUUUUCCUCAUGAUUGACAUUGUCUUUCUCAAAUGAUAUGAGUUGUCACAUAUAUUUUAUGUCUCAAUGUUUUCUUUAACUUUUUUUCUCUCUUCUUUAAUGAUCGACGUUCCUUUUCUCAGAUGAUAUGAAAUGUCAUAUAUAUUAUAUGGCUUAAUGUUUUCUUUUACUUAUUCUUUCUUUAUUAAUAAUCGACAUUUUAAGCAAUAUGUGAAUAUAAAGCAUUAAAAUUAUCUCCAUCGUUUUUGGAUGUGGUAUAAAUACACAAUUCUUAUUUUUGUUUUAAAUAUUUCUAUUGCUAUCUAUUGAAAUUUUAUGCAUGAAGCUACCAAGUUAAUUAUACAUAUAUCUUAAGAUUUUUUUUUUUUUUUUUUAUAGGAUAUAUUGUCCAUGAAUAUUUUCUGCAAUGGUAUCUUGUUUGAUUACUAUAAGAAAUAAUAUAUAUAUAUAUAUAUAUAUAUAUAUAUAUAUAUAUAUAUAUAUAUAUAUAUAUUAUAUUUCAAUGUUUCAUAUUUGCUUAAAAUAAAAAUUAUAUUUUAUCACAAUAUUUGGUAUUAAAAAAAAUGAAAUCUCUCUCAUUUAUUAUUACAAAAAAAUUAUAAUUUAUAAUUUUCUAAAUAAGUUUUAUUUAUUUGCUAACUAUAUUCAUGAUUAAAAGAUUUAAAAUUUAUAAAUAAAAAAUAUUAUGUCAUGUCAUUAAAUAAAUAAAAAUAUAUGUAUAUAUUAAAAUUAUGUUUUAUUGUAGCUUUUAAUAUUUUUUUUUUUAUUCUUUUCUUUUUUGAACUACAAUUUUAAUUUUUUUUAAUCAAAAUUUUUUAAUUUACAAAACGAGUAACAUAAAACUUGCCUUUGAACUUUAUUGGAAUGUUAUAUACUACCAUUUGGCUUUCAAGACAUUAGAAAAGGCAUAAGUGUCCCUUUUAUUUUUCCGAAAGGCAUAUUAGACUAUAGUAGGAAGUGUUGUAUAGAGGCAACUAAAAGUUGCCUUUAACUUUAUGAAGUCAUAUACUCCUCUUUGGCUUUGAUGACAUCAACUAGCAAAUUGGAUUUUGUUUCCUUUGCAACAUUUUUCCAUCCAUUAGCCAGUUUUUUUAUACUGUUUGGUGCUUGCCAACAUGGCACACACUAUGGUUCUUAAAAAGUAUUUUUUUUUUUAAGAUACUACGAAAUAAAAUACACGAUUGAAAGAUGAGUCACAAUAAUUUUCAAAACUAAAUUUUUUAAUAUUGUUAAGAAAAUUUGACCACCAAAUGAUUGAUUUUAAAUUACAAAUACUUUUGUUAGCUAAGAAAUUUGUUGUUCUAUUUGUUUCCCUAUAAAUAUGACAACAAUCAUAAAUAUUUUCAUUUUAAGAUAAUUUUCAAAUAUCUUCCAUUAAUAAUAUAAUAGAAUUAGGAAUUUUUUUUUUAGUUAUAACAAUCUAUAAUUAUUUAAGAGUCUUCCUCAAUCUCUAGGUUUAAGAACUUAUUGUUCUUAACAACUAACAUGUCAUCUCUUAAAAUAAUACAUUCUGCAAUAAUUAUUGAAAUAUGAUAUAAUAUAUAUAUCUACUUACAACCAUUUUUGUAGUACCAUUAGAAUUUUUAAUUACCCAUUCUAAAGUAUUUUUAUUCUCUAUUCUUAAACCAUCAAAAUUUAAUUUAAAUCUUUCAUUAAUUGGAUAAAUCCAAUGAAUCUAACAAGUUAAAGGAUUAUGAAUCCGACAAAACAGUUGAUAAUAAAUUAAUAAUGCCAUUAAUAUGAUUUUAAUGUGAAACACAAUUAUCACAUUUAAUACAGUUAGUCCUUGUAUGAUUAAUGUUUUGGAAGCUAAAAUCAAUCUUUUGACUAUAAUAAGAGUUUCUACUAUUUCUAUUUUUGGAUGAUUUUAUAUUUUUCUUAUUGUUUUAGUUUAAUACAAAAAAUAAAAAUAAAAUUACAUUAGUAGAAUUUUUUUAACUUACUCAAAAACCUAUUUUAGUUGAAUGAUUUUUUUAAAAAAAAUAUAAAUAUUUUGUUAAAAGGGAUAAAAUAACCUUACCUUGUGAAAAAGACCUCUUCACCCAAGAUUACUUGUUCAUAAUCCUUUUAAGACGAAAAUGCCCCCUUCCUAAAAAAUAUUUCAUCUUAAACUUAUUUUUCUUUUUAUUGCCCUUUGUUCCAUCCUUCCGGCUUGGGAGAGAAAUUCAUUCUUCUUUUGCGAAGAAAAAUUCCUAUUGCGAUUUUUCAUUUCAAGUGGAAAAAAAAAUUCUUAUUUCAUUUUAAAGAAAUUGUACAUUUUCAAUCUUUCUCUUUGUUCCUAGUUGAGGGUUUUUUUUGUAAUUUUAUCUUAACACUACAAAUUUAAAGGUGAGAUUAAAUCUUAAUGGUUAUUAGUUAAAUCACAUAUCUAACUUUGUUUUUGUCAGGACCUAUAAUAUGAUUGGAACCACCAUCCAAACUUCAUUAGGUGGGAUACUCCCCACCCUCCCCCUCCCCCCGCGAAAUCCUUGGAUUUUAGUUUUGACUUGGAUUUCAAUUGCCCGUAUCAAUUUUUCUUUAUUUAUUAAUUUAUUAAUUUUCAACUUUAACAAAAGCCUUGAAUCAUAUUUAAAUUCAAAUAACUUAAUCCUAAUUAAGUUCUUUUUAAAUAAAAAUUAAUCAUUGAAAAGUUCAUGUGACUAUUAUAAUUGAGAAUUUAUCCCAAGUUGGGUUUUUUGCAAAUAAAAUUUUAUUAUAGGACAUCAUGAUGCAACAUAACAUAAGGUUGUUACUUAAGUUUGUUUUGACCUUGUAAUAUGUUAAAAUGAAAAUGAAGCCAUUGUAACAGGAGAGAAUGAUGAAGCUGUGGAGAGAGCUUAACAAAGCUUGGGUUGGAGAGACUUCACAGGAAGAGAGAGAGAGAAAUAAAGGGUAAAAUUAUCAAAAGAGAAAAGAAAAAAAAAAAAAAAAAAGAAGGUUAUGUCUUCAAAUAAUCAAUAAGAGAUGUCAUUUUUCUAAUUUUCAAAGUUCUUUUGGUCCUUCUCUACAAAUAUCCCUAUAAAAAUAUUAUAAUAUCAAGUUAAUUUGUCAAUACCAAAAUUUAUAUUUUAUAUUAGGGCGACUAAAUAACAUAUAGAAAGAAUUUUAAAUGAGUAAAUCAAAUCAAUUUUGAAACCAAAACUUAAUAAUUACCAAACUUGUAAUCUUAGUCAUUAAAAGUGUACGAUGAAAUCUAAAUUAUUAAGCAAUGAAACAAAAAAUUAAGAUUAAAAUACAAAACGUUAAAAUCAAGAUACAAACUAUUAAAAUGUAAGUGGGAUAUGAGAUGAUAUUAUAAAAAAUAGUGUGAUCCAACAAAAAGUCUAGUACAUCAUUAUCUUCACUUCCAACCAUGUUUAAAAGGUCACAAGUUCUAGCGGUUUCCAAGGACAAUGUUAAAAAUAAUAAAAAUAAAUCCAAUUAAAUAUUAAUUAAUUUAUUUGAAUUUGAGUCCGACAAAAUAGUUGGUAAUAAGUUAAUAAUGCCAUUAAUAUGAUUUUAAUGUGAAACACAAUUAUCACAUUUAAUACCCGUUAGUCCUUGUAUGAUUAACUUUUUAGAAAUUAAUAUCAAUCUUUUGAUUAUAAUAAGAGUUUCUACUAUUUAUAUUUUUGGAUGAUUUUAUAUUUUUCUUAUUGUUUUAGUUUAAUACAAAAAAAUAAAAAUAAAAUUACAUUAGUAGAAUUUUUUUUAACUUAUUCAAAAAACCUAUUGUAAGGUGAAUGGUUUUUUUAUUUUUUUUUUAAAUAUAAAUAUUUUCUUAAAAGGGAUAAAAUAACCUUACCUUGUGAAAAAAGGCCUCUUCACCCAAAUUUACUUGUGCAUAAUCCUUUUCAGACGAAAAUGCCCCCUUCCUAAAAAAUAUUUCAUCUUAAACUUAUUUUUCAUUUUUAUAACCCUUUGUUCCAUCCUUAUGAUUUGGGAGAGGAAGUCAUUCUUCUCUUGUGAAGAAAAAAUUCCUACUGCCAUUUUUCAUUUCAAGUGAAGAAAAAUAUUUAUAUUUCAUUUUAAACAAAUUGUACAUUUUCAAUCUCUCUUUGUUCCUAGUUGAGGUUUUUUUUUUUUUUUUUUUUUUUUGUAAUUUUAUCUUAAUUGUACAAAUUCGAAGAUGAGAUUAAAUCUAUAAUGGUUAUUGGUUAAAUCACUUAUCUAACUUUGUUCUUGACAGAUCGUAUAAUAUGAUUGGAACCACCAUCCUAACUUUAUUAGGUGGGAUCCCUUUUUUUUUUUCCCCAAACCCUUGGAUUUUAGUUUUGACUUAUAUUUCAAUUGUCUGUAUCACUUUUUCUUUAUUUAUUAAUUUUCAACAAGUUCUUUAACAAAAGCCUUGAAUCAUAUUUAAAUUCAAAUAACUUAAUCCCCAUUAAGUUCUUUUUAAAUGAAACUUAAUCAUGUGAAAGUUCAUGUGACUAUUAUAAUUGAGAAUUUAUUCUUAGUUGGGUUUUUUGUAAAUAAAAUUUAGUUAUAGGACUGUGAUGAUCCGUUCUCAACCGUAUAAAUAUUGUUCGUUUUGAAUUCAAAAUAACUUUUACGGCUUUAAAACAUGUUUACAAGAUUAAGAGGAGUCCAUAUUUAUAUAGCUUCACGAACUUUCCCCCCUAUUCGAUGUGGGAUGUCACAAGGACAUCAUGAUGCAACGUAUAACAUAAGAUUGUUUCUUAAGUUUGUCUAACCUUGUAAUGUGUUAAAAUGAAGAUGAAGCCAUUAUAACAGAAGAGAAUGAUGAAGUUGUAGAGAGAGCUUAACAAAGCUUGGGUUGGAGAGACUUCAUAGGAAGAGAGAGAGAGAGAGAGAGAGAAAUAAAGGGUAAAAUUAUCAAAAAAGAAAAAAGAAAAAAAAGAGGGUGAUGUCUCCAAAUAAUCAAUAAGAGAUGUCAUUUUUCUAAUUUCAAAGUUCUUCUGGCCCUUCUCUACAAAUAUCCCUAUAAAAACAUUAUAAUAUCAAGUUAAUUUGUUGAUACCAAAAUUUAUAUAUUAUAUUAGGAUGACUAAAUAACAUAUAGAAAGAAUUUUAAAUGAGUAAAUCAAAUCAAUUUUGAAAUCAAAACUUAAUACCUACCAAACUUGUAAUCUUAGUCAUUUAAAGUGUUCCAUGAAAUCUAAAUUAUUAAGCAGUGAAACAAAAAAUAUAAGAUUAAAAUACAAAACGUUGAAAUCAAGAUUCAAACUAUUAAAACGUAAGUGGAGACGUAAGAUGAUGUCAUAAAAAAUAGUGGGAUCCAACAAAAAGUCUAUUAAUCAUUAUCUUCACUUCCAAUCAUGUUUAAAAGGUCACAAGUUCUAGCGGCUUUCAAGGACGAUGUUAAAAAUAAUAAAAAUAAAUCCAAUUAAAUAUUAAUUAAUUUAUUUGAACAAUAGAUAGGACCAAAAUAAUAUUCUAAAAGGAAUCAUAGGGAAGUCCUUGGACAACCUACGACAUUGAACAAAGGUACAGUGAGACAAUGCACUUAGCCCUUCCUUGUCAUUGCGAUGAAUAUAAAAAGACACCCUGAUUGAGGGUGCCCCACUAAGCCAAGAGUGAUUCUUUUGUAUUGUAUAACGUGAAUAUUUUUGAACUUUGAAUGACCCUUCCUAUAGUCAUCAUUGUCAAAACUAGAAAAUCAGAAAGAUGCGAUGUACGAAGGCACCAUUGAAUAAGAGGCUUAAUUCUCUUUGGCAAUUAGGAUAAAGUUUCAAAAUAGAAAAAUUAAACAAAUGUACAGUGUACGGACACUUGGGCAUUGCCUAUUUGUUUUGUUCUUCUAGAGUUGUAUAUGGUAAAGGUCAUAUUGGGUUGGUUCUAUUUGGUUAUUGAAGUCGGCUAGAAUAUUAGAUUUGGUUUCAAUCUAAUCCCAUAUGAUAUUAGAAUACCAGCCCAUACAGAAUUUUUGACCAAAUAUAAUAUUUCUUUUAAAUAUAAAUAUAGUAAUUAAUUUUAGUCUAAGAUUAAUUAUGUAGUUUCCUAAAGAGACCACUUCCUAAACGGUAGCUAUGUGGAAGUUGGGCCAGGUCCUGCCGAGAAGGUUUCCACGAGCUGAGCCCAAAACUGAGUAGCUGUGAUGGGAUCAUUCUAGCAUUCAGCCUGAAACUUGUAACAUAACGGAUCGAGAGGCCUGAACUCCAAGACCAUGGUUCGUCAGCCCAUUAACUUCAACAGCACGCAUUUUAGAGGACUGGGCUUGCAAGGGGUGAGGUUUCCGGGCCGCGACCCCAAAUAUGAACAGCCUCAGAAGUGAUAUUGCUUACUGGCACGUGAAGAGCGCAAGCGUAACUAGAAGAUUUGUAAUGCCGCUUUAAUUGUUUGAUUAUAGAAUCCCACGCAUUACGCAUGGAAAGUGUAAAAGAUAAAAGAUGUAGAAUUUUUUCUUAGAGAAAAGUUCGUUUGGAUAUAGUUAUUGUUUUUUUUUUAAAUAAUAAUUGUUUUUUUUAUAAAUUAUAGAUAAUCUUAGAAAUUUAUCUUUAAAAAAAUAGUUUUUAAAAAUAUUUAAGGAGAAUAAAAGUGAUAAAAAAAAACUUUACAAUUUCAAAUUUUUAAAAAAUGAAAAUUAUUUUUAAGAAUAUAAGUUAAUCUCCUGCAUUUAAAUCUUAGGUGGUUUUUGUUUUUUUUACUUUUCGCUGAAAACAAUUUGUUUUCAAAAUUUAGGUCAUUUGUUUUUUCUAUUUUUUCAUGAUUUAUUAUAAAUUUUUUACUAAAUAAAAAAAAUCAAAAUAUGUAACUUUUUCUAAAUAAAAAAAAUAACGUAUUGAUUUUUCUUUACUUUUUAAUACUUAAUAGAUAUAAAAUACUACAAAAACAAAAAAUCUAAUAUUUAACACUAUUAAGCAUUAAAGUUCUAUUUAGAAUUAAGUAAAAAAACAAACACCACCUUAUAUUUUAUAUAAAAGUUACUUAUAUUUUGGUUUUUGGAAAUAAAAAAUAUAAAGCAUAUCCAAACAUGAGCUUAGCUAUUUUAAAUCAUAUCAAAAUAAUAAUCCCAAUAAGGUAAAUGGACUUUUAUACGGAGAAUAAUCUUUAAGGUUUUCAUUUUUAUUGGAUUUUUUUUUUGUGGUGUUUUUUCAAUCCAUCUUCUCAAUUAAUUCCUUAAAAUUAUUUUACUGUUUUUUUUUUUUUCAGUUUCUAAAUAUUUGAUUUUUCCAAAAUGCUUAAAUGGAAGACACUAAUUUUUCAAGAUAUUUGGUAUUACAAUUUUCCCUGUUCUCCCUAUUAUCUAUCAGAUUCAUGGCCCUUUUGUUUUUUCAUUGGUUUUCAAUUUAAUUUUCCAAAUAUUACAUUGUUGUGUUUUGAAUUUGUGAAACCAAUUUUAUAUAUAUAUAUAGUAUGUAAGUCUACUUUGGGUAACAUGUACAGAGAGGUUUUCAUGUGUUUGAAACCUUUUACCUCAAAAAUUAAUUAUUUUUAAUUUUAUAAUAAAUCUUUUUUUAUUUUUUAUUUUAUUUAGGAAAGCCUAUAUUUAAACUACAUGUUUGCAACGCAACACCAUACAUACUCCUAGUGGAACUUACCUUAGUGCUUGAGGGGGAUGCAGAUCUUCUUCUAAACCUAACUAAUAAGCAUAAAAUUGUUCACUAAUUAGCAUAUCUAGUAAAUCAUACAAAUUGGCAAUAUUUCAUGUUUUUCAUGUUUUGUCAAUAAAAGGCGUCUUGACCAUUUUGUGAGUUUUGUAAUAAAUAAAAAAAAAAAAAAAAAAAGGGCAAAAGGUGACUAAAAUGAGGCACUUUGGAAAGGUUAAUAACCUAAAAGGAAGAUGAAUUAAUACCCCCUUAUUCCUCUUCAAAAACCAUUGAGAAAAUGCAAGAAAUGCUCUUAGUUGUAUGCUAGGCUAACAGCCUAGCAACCAUAAUACCCUUCUUUGCAAUUGUAAGCAUUUUUUUUUUUUUUUUGAAGGCCAAACAACGUUGCAAACUUCCCAAAUCCCUUCUUUAUUUUUUAUUUUUUUAUUUUUGUUUUUAGAAGGAGAAUGAAUUUGAUGACAAACUCCUUGUCAAUCUUAUCCAAACCACGAUCGAACAGAACUCCUUGUCAAUCUUAUCCAAACCGUGUUCCACCUCAAAAACAUGUGUAGGACUUAAGGCAGCAACUGGCAAGCAUGACUGAUAGGGCCAAGUGCCCUUGUCUCUACAAUCCAUUAAGUUAACCAAGGGCAGUGAACCAUCAUUCUUUUCAAAAGCUUCAUUCCGUGUUGAAAAUGUGAGACUGAAGCAUGGUGCCCCCAAAAAUAACGAUCUAUUUACUAGCAGCAUGCCUGGACCCAUUAAAAAUACUCUACUUUAGGAAUAGAAAAAAUUACAUCUUUAUCCAAUAAUUUUAUAACAAUUCAGACGUUUCAGUCUAUAAAUAAUUGUACAUAGUUGCCAACGUUUAGCUAGUUUCAAAUGAAUAGCCUAGGUUCAUGCACCAGUUUGGCUGGUGGAGGAAAGGGAUUCGAGACAUUGAACCCUCUUUUUAGUGUGCCAAAUAUUCCACAAAAAUCACUACCUUCUCUUUGUGUUUGUUCACUUUUAGUUUAUAUUUAAUAAAUCUAUGUUUUCGAGUAGAGGUUGGGUUCAGGUGCGACCCACGUCACCUCUCGGACGGUCUUGAAAAAGGAGACCGGACCACGUAAUUUCAAAUGUAGUGACCAUCUCACUUUUACCUCCAUCCUUGAAGAUGGUUUCCCAAAUCAAUAUUAAUCUUUUGUUUACGACAAUAUCGAUCACUUUAUGUCUAUAUCGUUGUUAAUUUACCUUUUUUUUUUAGCCACAUUAUUUGAAAAUUGAUGCAAACUUUACCAACAUCUUGGUACCAUUUUAAAAUAUUAGAGUUAUUUGAUUAAAAAAAUAAAAUAAUCUCGAUAACUUGUUUAUAAAAUAAAUAUCUUUUAACAUUUAGACUAUUCUCACGCAUGCUUUAAAAUUGUAAAGAUAUUCAUAAAGUGGAACUUUAGACUUAAUCAAUAUCGAUCACUUUAUGUCUCUAUUGUUGUUAUAUUUUUUUUUUACAACAUUAUUUGAAAAUUGAUGCAAACUUUACCAACAUCCUAAUACCAUUUUAAAAUAUUAGAGUUAUUUGAUUAAAAAAAUAAAAUAAUCCCGACAACUUGUUUAUAAAAUAAAUAUCUUUUAAUAUUUAGACUAUUUUCACCAUGCUUUAAAAUCAUAAAGAUAUUUAUAUUCAUAAAGUGGAACUUUAGACUUAAACAUGAUAAUAGUUUUUUUACAAUAUUAUAAUUAUUUUAUCGUUUUAAUUAAGCCCUUUAUCAUACAUAUAAAUGUAAAUUAAUGCUAAAUUUUUAAAGCAACGUAUAACCUUUUACAUCUUUUUUUAAGAUGGUGCGAAAAUCCUAUGAAAAAUAAUAAAAGUCGAUGCAUAAGAAGAUUGUUUUGAUAAUUCAAUAGAAAAAUUCUUUUAAAAUGAUAUUAAAAAAUACCCAUAGAGCCUUUAUUAAAAAAAUCAAUUAUUUUCAUAAUAAAAAUUAUAAUUUUUUAUUAUGUAUUAUUAUUUUUAAGUAUCUUUAUUACAAAUACUUUUUUUGAGUUUAUGAGAGGAAUCAACAGGUUGGUACAAGCUUAGGCGUCCUCGUACAUGUUCCCGCUGUGCAAGGUUUUUGUCUUGUUUCGAGCUAGUCGGAAUUUACGUGUUUGAUAACGUUUUGUCCUAUUUUUGUAACGCUUUAAAGGGCGGCCCACCGUUGGAACAGUUCAAGCCAUCCAAAUCAGCCCGGAGGGUUAUGGCGACGUGGCAUGACGCCUACCACCUUAGUUCACAUGAACCCUAUGAUCGUACUACCCUCACAUGACAUCUGUGAUUCUUCACCUCCAAACCCUCUUUAACUUGGUAAUGUAUUCAAAGCUUCAUCAAAUCAUAGCGAUUAGCGACCCUCUUCCACCCUAAUUUUAUAAUAAAAAAUAAAUCUUAGUGGACAUUAAAGUAGUAUUUUGUGGGGGGAAAGAAAAACUCUAUGGGCGUAUCCACUAAAUACGAGCCAAGUAUAAGAGUUAUCACCAUGGAAUCAAAUUAUGAAGCAUUGACAUUUUAAUUGUAUUCAGAUUUGAGGAGGGCACCGCGGCACCAGCUGGCCCAGUGUAGUCUGCUAGCCUACCCGCCAUAAUGACCAAAUUAAUAAAGUAAAAAGGAUUACAGGGAUAUUCCCAACUUUAUUCUGGGUCUGAGCUGGAACUUGGGAGUUAUCACGAUCAACGGGAAAGAUGGUGGGUAGGGGACGAGGAUUGAGGGCUCCAUAUUCACAUCAGUGAAAAACGAAAUGUAUUGAGACAAGUCUUCUAAGGAUUUUCUAGCGUAUUAUAUGGUUUAAAUGAUUAUAAAUCUGUAGUUACUGGUAAAGAGUAGAGAGUGAAGACGAAAGACGUUGAGUGAAAAGGAAGGAGGAGAGGGGAUGGGGCCAUCUUACCGUGUCGGGGAGGAUCCAUAAAAGGACUACGUUCCCUGAAUCUGUAGGCAUCAUGCCUCGCCUAACGGGUUAGUCAAAAUACAGUGAUGUGUGUGAGUUGGGGGCCUCACUCCUCAUUUCUUUCCUUCUUUUCACCCCCACCCCCACUUUUUUUUUUUUUUUUUCGAAUUUUUCUUUGUCCUUUUCUCUCACUUGCGCACGCGGGAGAAGGACCACAAACUAGACAAUUCCUCUGCUCACGUGACCCCGAGUUUUUAAAUAUUUGCCUAUUUGGAAAAUAGUCAUGAAUCAUGAUCGUUAACAAACAAUCUUCACUUUAUUUAUUUAAGAUCUAUUUUUUGGAGCUCUAGUUUAGUUUAUUAUUAUUAUUAUUAUUAUUAUUAUUAUUAUUAUUAUUAUUUAGUAACUCCUCUUAUAUUAAUGAAAAAGAGAGGAGGAAUCCAAACUUGUUUAUUCUUCCUCUUUUAAGGUGUUUGUUUUUUUUAUUUUAUUUUUAUGCUUCAUAUGUCUUCAAUUUCUUAGCAUUUGUCUUAUAUUUCUUCUUAUCCGAUUCAUUAUUGCAUCCUUGGUCAAUCUUUCACGAGGAGUGCCUACUUUUUUCCUUUUUAUUAUUUAAUUCACUUUAUCUUUAUAUUUUCCUUUUACACUUUAUUUCCAAUUCAAAACGUGUCAAAAAAAAAAAUUGGUAACAAAAAAAAAAAAAAAAAUCAAUUGUAAUGAUUCUUAUAUAAUUUUAUUUAAUUUUUAUUAAACAAUAAAGAAAUUAAAAAUAUAUAAAUUUUUAAAUAAUUAUUAUAGUCUUUCAUUUUUGUGUAUAAUUUCUUUUGCAAGAAAUAGUGUAGGCUUUCCACGGUCUAAAGGAAAUGGAAUAUCAAAUGAGAAGGUAAUAAUAAUAAAGUGAGUUAUAGAUACUAAUCAAACUAAUCCACUAAUGAAUUAUUUAUUUUUAUUUCACAUGGACAAAUCCUAAAAGUUGGAGUUCUAAUUUACUUUUAUGUUAAGCUUUUUUAAGUAAAAAUCUUUUAUUAUUAUAAUUUAUAGACAAAAAGAAACCCAUUAAUGUGAUGGAUAAAAAAUUUCAAUUUAAAAAAAAAAAAAUUAAAGUUGCUAAAUUUUUGUAUUUAUUAUUUCAAACUCAUUUAAAUAAUUUAAAAAUAUGUCUUCAAUUAAUUUUAAUGAAACAAAGCAUGAUUUUUUUUUAAUUUUUUUUUCUUUACCAAAUAAAGCAUUAUUAUAAUACGUUGAUUAAAUUUUCAUCAUGUCUCUCAAGAUUUGGAUUAAAUAUACUUAGUUGUCAUAAAUUUGAAAUUUUAUUUAAUGUAUUUUUUAUUUUAAAUUAAAAAGAUGAAUGCAAAUAAAAAAAAUAUGUAUAUUUUAUAAAAUUUUAAAUUAAACGAAGGAUACGUGUAUUUAACCAAGGUGAAUGAAAUUAAUCCAAAUACUUUUUGGUAACUUGCAAAAUAUCUUGACGAAAUCAUUAUGGCAGGCAUCGUACAAGCUCAACCCUUGUCGCCUUGCUAGAAAUAGAGAAACAAAAAGACCCCCAAAUUGGGUUGCAUCCUAAAUAUGAAGAAGUGGUAACAAAGGAAGAAAAAAUGCUGUGUUAUUGAAUAGUUAAUACAUUGAACAUGAUAUGUUACAUAGAGAGCCAGAUUAAUCCUAGUGGAAUUCCACUGUCACGAUGGUAACCUAGGGUUAUGUUUGGUUAUUGAAAAUACCAAGAAAAGAAAAAAAAAUAUAAAGGAAAAUAAUUUUUUCAUUUUUGAUUGUCUUAUAAAAGAUAUAAAAAAAAAACAAAUAUAAUUAAAACUAAUUAAAAAUUUAGGUAUUUUUAAAUUAUUUAAUUUUUAUAUUAAUGAGCGAAAAUAAAUAAAAUAAGUUUAAAAUAACAAAAAAAAUAAUUUACCGAUUUUUAAUCUAUAUUUUAUUUUACUUUUUCUUUGUAUUUUUUUUUUCUUAUAUUUUCCCUCAAAUUUUCUGAAUCAAACAUAGCAAAAAAGGAGCUACCCCUUUCGAAAGAAACUCCCAAGAAUUUCAAAGAAACCUGCUGAGAUAAUGAAUGAGGGAUCACUGUCGGUAAACAGUAUCCAUUCUUUUGGGAGGACUUUCAAACUGAGAAGUUGUUUUCAUGACUUGGAAACAAAAUUUUGAGCUCUAAGGGGGUCUGUAUUUGGGCCCUAAAAUUCAAUCCAUCAAUCUGAAAAAUGCUUAGGAUAAUGAUUUGAUUUAGCCACAAUCACUAAACAAAUUCCAGAGGAAAAUUUCGCUACUCAUAGGUGGCUGAUUCUCAUAAAAAGACAUCGUGGUAGGGUGUCUCAAGUGCAGGCUCACCAUCAACUUGCUGCCCUUUUUAGAUUAUUGUAAAAUGAUUUCACAUGAAGCCCAAUGCAAAACUUUGAAAGAAAAGGUUGGUGGAGACGUGAAGAAUAUGUAACCCAUAGGCCAUAACUAGUACCGAAGAUUAUUGAACAAACAUUCAAGGUUUUUGUAUAGACGAAACUGAAAAGAAUGUGUACCAGACUCAGGCGUUCAGAUCAGAUGAUGCCGUAAUGUGGAUUGUGGAGGAGCAUUGUGCAGACAGAUAAUGAGAUUCUGAAAGCGAGGCCACUGAUGGGCCCUUGGAAGGGGGGCGUGCCUUCAAAAUUAUAUAUAUAUAUAUAUAUAUGUCAUUGAAAAUUGGAAGCAACUUUUCUUCUUAAGUUAUUUUAAUCGAAGAAGAAACAAAAAGUUAAAAACAUACAUUAUUCUUCCUUCUUACGAGGUUUCCGGGUCUAAAUUACUAUGGUCUCUGCAACUGGCGUCGUUUUCUCUCCCCUCUCUCUAUUUUCCCUUUAUUUUUUCACUUUUAGAAAGAAGCAUCCCAUCAAGAAUCUACUACAACCCUACGCUUCCAUUUUGAUUUAGAAAGUUAAAAAUAAGUUUAAGUUAAAAAAAAAUAUUUUCUUAUAUAAUUAUUUAAACUUAUUUCUUUUCCUUUUUAUAUAAAGAAACAAAUAUUUUGCAAAUAAAUAAAUUUCUAAUUAUUUUCAUUAACAUAAUAAUAAUAUUUUUCAUAUGACUUUAAUCACAAUUUUUUUUACCACUUGUCCAAGGCGGUGAGAGGUGAUAAAAUGUAUUAAAAAAACGAUUAAAUUGCAUUAGGUAUAGAAGUUUUGUGCUUCAAUUAUCACUUAUAAAAAUAAAAUAAAAAUAGUCAAAUUUGAGUGUGCAAGUUGGUAUUCGUAUGUAGAAGGAAUUGGGGGAUUUGGGGGUCCUAACAAAUUUGAUAUGAUUGAUGGAAGGAAAUGAUUAUUAUAGGAUAAAGUCCGAAUGAAACGCUGACGAGGGGGGAAAAACAACAGUGGCAAUGCACUAUCCACAGAUCCAUGAUUGAUUUAUGUUAGCAAUAAUGAAUUAUUUUGACUUUGAUAACCUUGGUUAAGAGAAUUUGGUCUUGUUAUUAUCAUUUUUUCAAAAAAAAAAAGUGUAGGUAACUAGGUAGUUGAUUUAUUAGAAUUUAGAAAUGAGGAUCCCCUCCUCCUGCAAGAGCCGUGACAGACAUGCCUGCUUUCUUGCCAGAUUAUACCAAUGUGCCCAAAUAAUCCCCCAUCUAUCAUCUCUGCACCCUGGAACACGUCACUCCCUCCUUUGAGCAAUAAAAUAUCUCUUUUAUUUUCUUUUGAACCACUCUUCUAUUUCUUUGUACCAGACUGGACCCAUUUAAAUUCUUCGCUACGCUGUUCCCAAGGACUACGAGAAUCAAAAUAGCAAAAUUCUUGAAUCAUUUUAAUGGGUUCAGAAACCACAUGUUUCUCUAGAUCAUAAGAGGAAAAUCUUUUUGGAUGGUGUUUGUGUUGUGUUGUGUUCAAUAUUAAAUACUCAAUUAAAUAAGCUAAAUCAAAUAUCACAUGAAAAAUAAUCAAAUUAAAAAUAGGGAGAAUUAUGUUUUGAGGGUAGAUGGACCCCAAAUUAACAAAAGGUUCAUGUAACUCUUCAAAUUGAGCCCAGACCCAAUGAAAAUAUGGAAAUUGAGUUGAAGUAUAUCAUCAUUCAGUAUUUCCAAAAAUGUCCUUUGUUGAUUUUGAGAAAAAAAUUAAUAUUUUUGAAAAAUAUUUUUAUGUAAUUUAAUAUUUUUUUAAAUACUUUUAUUUAAUUUAAUAUUUUUAAAAAAUAAAUUUAUUUAAUUUAAUAUUUUAAAAAAUAUUUAAUUUAAUAUAUUUUUUAAAUACUUUAAUUUAAUUUAAUAUUUUUGAAAAAAAUUUUAAUUUAAUAUUUUUGAAAAAAAAAUUAUUUAAUUUAAUAUUUUUUAAAACUAUUUUUAUUUAAUUUAGUAUUUUUGAAAAAAAAUUAUUUAACUUAAUUUUAUAAAAUAUUUUAUAUGUGUUCUUAAAGGGUAUAUUUGUCCGUUACUAUUUCAUAUCCUUCAACUCAAUUUAAAGAGUUAUAUGGACCUUUUGUUAAUUUGGGGACCCAUCUACCCUCAAAAGAUAAUUCUCCCUUAAAAAUAUAAAUUUAAAUAUGACAUAAUUAUUAAAUAUGUUAGAUCUUGUAUGAGUUUAUAAGAUUUAUGUUUCAAAAUAACAUGUUUAUAAUUCAUCUAUUGAUUUAUAAUCAAAUUUUAAAUAAAUUAAAGUUAUUCAAGUUAAUAAAUAUGAUUUAUGUUAUAAAGACUAACUAAAAAAUAAUUUAUUAAUUAAACGGAUCCUGGUCAAUAAAAAUUUGAUUUAAAUACGAUCAUACUUAAUCAAAACUUAGGUCAAAUUGUAUUGAUAAAUUACAUCAAAACCUUGUUGUGUUCAAUAUUUUAUAUUAAACUAUUUUUUAAUAAAAUUAUUUUUAUAAAUAUAAUAUUACAUCAUUUGGAGAAACAAAAUAGUAUUAUAUUGAUUUUACAUAUAAAGCAACCAGUUAACCCCUCAUUAUUUUGAUCCAUUUCACAUCCAUAUCAUUCUCAUAAUUUUUUUAUAAUAUAUUAACAUGAUGGACGGUAAUUGAGGGUAGAAAAAAAAGAUGAGAAGAAUAAAAUAAUGUGAAUCCUCUCUAAAUGUUACAUCUUCUGACAAAUGAAGUCUAUAGAAAUGUGUAAAAAAAAAAAAAACACUUAAUUGUGAGGUUCACUUGAUUUAGCAAAAAAUUAAUAUUUUAUUUGUUGUGUGAUUUAAAAAUAAUAUUUUAUUUUUAAAAAUAAAAAAUUAUUUUUAAAGUUUUUUAACACUAUUUUACUAUUGUUCUUUGAAAUAAUUUUUAAAAUUAAAAUGAAAUAACUAAUAAUUUUUAGAUAAUAAAUUAAAGUUGUUUUUAUUAGAUUUUAAAAAUAAAAGAAAAAUAUAAAACCAUUUGAUCAAAUUUUUUUAAACUUAUUUUUAAAAGGUUUUUUUUUUUUUUUUUUUUUUUCUAUCCUAAGUUAAAAGAUAAAAAAUAAUUUUUAAAGAUAGGUUACGAGCAAAUGCCACAAACUUUUUUCUUCUCUUUCCCUUGUUCGGAUAGAAGUGAAAAAUAUCCUCCCAUGGAUCGACAUUACGUGAGCCAUCACCAUUCCCCAACUGCAAUUCAACCGCCAAAGCUGAGGUGUCAUUAUUAGUUUGAACAAAAGUCAGCAUUGUCCACGUGGUGACAAGCGGAACUGACCCAACUUGCAAGGCAAAAAAAUAAAUAAAAUAAAAUGAAAAAAUCAGAUCACCAUUAUGACGUCAGUCCAAUUGCUGACCUGGCCGCCGUCCCCCAUUUGACCCACGUGUUCAUUUAACCCAUUCGCCGUAUGCCGUGGCUCCCCACCCAUAUGGCCAUAUCUGCCAUUUAUUUUAUCCGUUGCCUCCAUUCGGUUUUUGGAUUUUACCCAUUCGCCCUCGUCUAUUCCCAUUUCCGUAUUUGCCCACCAAGGAAAUUCAAUUCCCAUGCUUUUGUUUUACAUUCAAAUCCUCCCCCCUCUAUAUAAAGGAGGGAGUAGGGCUUGAAAGUUUCUCAAGCCAACAUGGACUGUUGAGAGUGAAAGACAGAGGAGCCACAAACAAAUAUCACUCACUCAAACCAAAGCCAAAACCAAUACCGAAUUCAAUUCAAAUGACUUCUUUCUCUCUCAUCAAUUCCCUGAAUUCCGAUUCCGAUUUCAAUUUGUUAUCGGAUUCUUUUUCCUGGGAAAACUCCCUACCUUUCAAUGAAAACGACUCCCAGGAGAUGCUCCUCCUGGGCAUGCUGGCCAGCUCCACUCAGGAAACCUCAGAAACAGUUUCUUUGAAUCGAGUGAAGGAGGAAGAAGUGACUUCCCAGGAAAAUCCCGAGAAGGAGAAGUCAUACAGAGGCGUUAGGAGGCGGCCAUGGGGGAAAUUCGCAGCAGAAAUAAGGGACUCGACCAGGCAUGGCAUAAGGGUGUGGCUGGGAACAUUUGACAGUGCAGAGGCAGCUGCUCUGGCCUAUGAUCAAGCUGCUUUUGCGAUGCGGGGCCCUGCGGCAGUCCUCAAUUUCCCGGUGGAAAGAGUGAAGGAAUCGAUGCAGGAGAUCAAGUGCAUCUUGGAGGAGGGGGGCUCACCAGUGGUGGCCCUCAAGAAGAGGCACUCUAUGCGGAGAAAAAGUCCUUGCAAGAAACAUAAAAGUGAAGAGGUGAGGUUAGAAAAUGUGGUAGUGCUGGAGGAUUUGGGUACUGAAUACUUGGAACAGCUCCUCACUUUCUCUGAGACCUCUAGUCCUUGAUCAUCAUCAUCCAUCACCUGGAUAGCUUCUUCUCUUUGCUCUGUUUCUUACUUUUCUCUCUCUCUCUCUCUCUCUCUCUCUUUUUUUUUUAUGUAAUUUUUCUUAAUGUAUUUUUGGAGAUGGCGGGGGUGUAGUGGUGGCAAUUAUCCAUCUAGAAUUUUUCAAAAGAUAUGUUCUUUUGUUUCUUUGUAUAAAGUUGAAAAGUGGGGAUCAAUUGUGAUGGUGCUCUAUGUUCAUCCACCCAAUUUAUAUAAUCAAGGUGAUUAAUGUUUUUUGAUAUCAACAAUUUGUGAAUGACAUAGAGAGAGAGAGAGAGAGAGACCUUAUUUUCUACACUCAUUACGGUGGUUUCCAUUUGGGGAAGGAAAAGGAAAUGGCUAAGAAUGUUACCAAAAGAAGUGGGGUGGCUUUCAUAUGCGUGGUGGCAUACUUGCAUACAAACUUUUCAAUUGUGUUCUGCAUGCCACUCGGGUCAAUUUCAUUUCUUUUACUCCUAGUAGCCUAAUUGGAUUUCCUUUUUCUCAUGAGACAUCAAAUAAAUUUCAUUUUUUUAUAUUUAAAUAGUUAGGUAAGUUUGAUAGUGAGUUAUAUUUUAUACAUUAAUUCAUCUUUUAGAAUGUUGUCUACAAUAUAAACAGUGUAAUUAAUUUCAUCAUUACAGAACAGUCAUCUUAUAAAAUAACAUAAAAAUUAUUGGAUCACUUGUAUGGCACCACUGAUUUGGACUUGGUAUGGCUCUGUUUGGCUUCAUAGAAAAAAUUUGGACCCAAUUUGAAUGUCUUGCAUAAAAAGAGAUACGUCCCACUUUGAAUGAUAUUGAAGAAAAAAAUUUCUGAUGAAGAAUAUAUUGUUGGCAGGGUCAUGCAGGCCAAUAGGGAAACGAUAAAUUCAGAAGAAUGAGUCCAAACCAGUGGGCUUGAAAAUUAAGAAGAGAAUUGCUGUAUAAAACAAUCAUUUCUUAAUCGAGUUCACUUUCUGAAUAAUCGUCACUUUGAGAAUGCAUACUUAGGAAGAUGAUGAUCCUUAAUGGGAAUAAUCAAAGGCAUCAAAAAAUUGUUCUGGAACAAUUCUUGAUUGUCUCCAGUAAAAUUCAAAGUCAAAAGUCAAAAGUCCAGUCGGUCAACACCAAACCAGGCCAGUCCAAAAGACAUUAAUUUGCAAUCUAGAAUCUAUGAUGAGGUGGCGAAAUCAAACCUUGGCUUUUCACCAGGGAAUGGUACUCUGAAUUUGGUCAGUUCACUGUUUCGAGUGAAUAGGGUGUAGUAAUUAGUAAAUCAUAUUUUAGAUUUGUGUCACAAGUUACAAGGGAUAUGGGCUGACGUUCAAUUUUGGCGACAAUUUGUGGGCCCGUAUAUUUGUUGAGAUGUGGAAAUUGGGUGUGUGCUUUUUUCUGCUACCACAUAAAUAUAUUUCUUUGAAUUGAAGAGUGUUUCAGACCAUUUUUUUUCAAGUCACAAAUGGACAACUGAUUGAGAUUGUAUUGGUGAGAGUAGGAGUUUAUUUUGGGCUGGUUGAGCGAAGUUGAAAGUCGAGUUGGACCUAACCCUUGAAUUCAGCAGACUACAGUCCGAUCCUGUAUUUUGGAUUUAGGGAACCUUCUUUCCCAGAAGCUUCGUCUGGGUUUUAAAGUCUAAAUGUGGCUACUCUUAAACAUUGGAGAAAGGAUGAGCGUUCACAAGCAAAUGGGUAAUUGUGGAUGGUUCAAGGACCUGGCCAGCUGGUCUUCAAGUUUGGAUGCCGGUUUGGGCCUGAGAGAGUCUUUGCAAAGUGACUUCACUUCAGCCUAUGAGAUCAAGAUAUCAUGGUGAUGUCCGAUCACUUAGGUUUCAUUUUCACCUCGGAUUACCGUUACCAUGUUCAUGAAUAAAAAUAAAUAAAUAAAUGAAGCCUUAUAGAGAAAUUAAUGAAGUGAGCUAUACAAGCAACUGGGCCAGGAGCCUACAAGGCAGAAAUUCCCUGCCCUAGACUAGGCCGAAUAAAUUAGAUGAAUGAAUUGGGGAAACCUGGGCCAGCCACACAUCCUCCUGAAGGCUGAUGUCGAACUCGCUUACGAGGAAUGGACAUGGGAGAUUGGGCUGGGACCAAAUAACCAAUUGACAGCCCUAUCCUUGUGGCAAGACGUCAGUAAAAUGGUUCAUUCUGAUUUUACGCUGCCAUUCAAUUUAAUUUUAAUUUUUGUUUAAAGCGAUGUACAAAUUGAAUGGUGUCUAGUCACUUAAAGAGUGGUUCAUAAUACACUUAAUUUAAACAAAAAAGAAAUUAUUAGAUAGGGGAUUCUCCAAUAAAAACCACCCCAUCUUGUCAGCAAGUCCGGAAACUUCCUUCACUUAGGGCGUAUUUGUUUUUUUAACUUUAAUAUUAAAGAAAGUUGGUUAAACCUUAUGACACUUUUAUAUUAUUUUAUGAAUUUUUUUUAAUUUUUAUUUUAAUGGAAUUUUAACUUUAAUACAAGUUGGAGUAAUUCUUAUCUUAAAAACAAAUCAAAAUUACUUUAAUUUUAUAUAGAAAUAAACUUACAGUAAAUUUACCAUGAAAAUUUCUAAGUCAAAUACACCAUAAGUGCUAGUAUUUUAUAAUAUUUAGAAACAUGUUAAAUUAUUAUUAUUAUUUUUUAAAAUUAUUAGUUUUCAUAUUAGUUUUAGGGAAACUUGUGCUUUAGGUCUUUUAUUUGCAAAUAAUAUGGUUUUCAAAUCCUAAGAAUAGAAAAUAUGAGAAUCAACUGUUAAUGUGGAAAAUAAUAUCAAUUUUGUGCAAUCUCUAUUGACUCAUUUUUUUGUGCCUAGAUUGCCUUCACCCACUUCCAUGUCAACAACCACAUUAAUAGAUUGUUUUUUUUUUAUAAAACAAAUAAUUAUUAUGUUUAAAAUUUUGGGGAAACUCUCUAUCUCUCUUACUUCUUCACUACAUCCGAGACCCAUCUUCCUUAAACGUUUGCCUCUCAUUUUGCCCUAACCCCAAAUCUCAUAAAUUUCUCAUUUUCUUGCCUCAUUUGAAAUAUGAAGAUGACCGAUUCUCAAACAUCUCUGUCUCUCUCUUCACGUUUUGACCAGUCUAAUUGGAAACCCAUUUUCCAAAAACCUUCUUUCUUUCAUUUUGCCCUAACCCCACUAUCUCCCUCUUCAAGACCUAAUCACCCAAACUCGAUAUCUAUCUUCCCAAAACCUUCAAGCAAACUGAACUAGACCCAUAUCUUCUUUUUUCAUCAUCAAAGGUGAAAUUUUUUUAAGGCUUUUGGAAACCGAAUUGGAGCUUUCCCUUCUUCUGGGAUUAAUCAUUCGCAAGUGAGUUUUCCAUUUAAGGCUUUGUUUGGCUGUUGAAAUCUUGGGAUCAAAGGUCUUUUAUUUUCAGGUUUCUUGUAUUUUGCUUUAUUUUCUUGUAUAUAACAAUAAUCAUUGUAACAUAUGCUAGUAGUUACCCUUGGUGCAACUUUACAUUUCCAAAUACCCUAAAGUCCAAAGCUUUUAAUUCCCUUUUCAAAGCUUUCAACUUUGAAAGCAGACUAAACCAUAAGAACUAUGAAACUUAUAUCUCUAUCACCACUAAUUAAGCAUGUCUAUGAAUCCUUCCACUUUAAGUCACUUAUUCUCAAACCAAGAAGGGCUCCUCUCAUUCUCACCCCACCUCAUCUAAAUGAGGGAAAUGAUCAAUUGCAGCCAUGCUUUGCACCAAAUUAGAGAAGUGAUCCUCCCAAUCAUCCAUUACCAAAAAUUGAUCAUGCUGAUGAGAUCAUAAGAGUCUAUUCGGAACUCCCAGUUUACUUGCCUCUUAUCUCAGGAUCCUCCAUUACCCCCUGUCUUUCCAACAUCAAAUCAACUUGCAAACAAUUCCUUUGUAGAUAAAAUGUUUUUAAUAUUGCAAAAGGGGACUUAUCAUAAUGGUUGAAUCGAUUUAUUUGAUAUAAUCACUCAAAUUCAAGCUUAAAAUUGAUCAUAAUAAAAUGUUUUUAAUAUUGUUAAAAGGAGAUUAUAAUGGUUUUAUUUGAUAUCAUUACUAAAAUUCAAGCUUUCAAACAUGCUCUACAAAGAAGUUCUAAAAGACUACAAGAAAGAGUUUCCACUAAAGAAAAACAAUGAAACCAUUUCUACUAAAGACAAACAAUGAAACCACAGAUGCUUUGUGAAAUAUGUACCCGCACAAUCCAACAAACUUUAGAAAUUCACAAACACUACCUAGAAUUUUUGCUGACCAGCAAAAAAUUUAUGCAAUUUAAUUCUUAUUGUUAUUAUUAUUUUCAAUGUGAACAAAUAUGAUUGAAUUAUGAAGUAUUUGGCCAGAAGAGGAUCUUGCCUAAUUAUAGUCAUUAAACAACCAUUUAUACCAUAGCCUCUAGACUUUAAAAAGUUUAUAAAACUCAAGGGCUUCCACCCAAUUUCUAGAUAUCUCCAUAACAUUCUUCUGACUAUUAGAAAGCAAUUACCACUUUAAUUUUUCAUUUCAUGAGUGUUCAAUUCAGAAAAAGACCAGGAUCGAACUUGCGAUCAUGCAGUCGAAAAUCCACCUGUGCAUGAAACUAUUGCCUCACGAUUGCAAACUCAAGUUGGAGUCCAGUAACAACUCUAGGUUUGCUGAUGUGCUCCAUUUGAAAUAAAGGAACUAAAGAAUACUUUAUAAAGAUUAAUUACCUUCAUAUUUUAGGUUGGGGUUAAGGCAAAAUGUGAUAGAUUGAGAGGAAGAAAAUAUAUCUUGUUCAGGAAGCCAAUAUUUUGGAGUUCACCUUUCCAUUCGAGUCCACUCUGCUAUAGCAAAAUCAGAGUCACAACUAUGCCUCUUUAAGCUAUCCUUUAAUUGGAUGAAUUGCAGAUUUGGUUGCUGAGAAAGUGGAUAAGAAAGAAAAAUGCAUACUGUAGCUUGAGAUUAAGAGUUUGUUUUCUAAAAUGAGAGAAAGGGAAAGAGAAAAAAUGCAUAUUGUAGCUUGAGAUUAAGGGUUUGUUUUCUAAAAUGAGAGAAAGGGGAAGAGAAAUGUUCGACAACUUUGAGAUGACAAAUUUUUAGAUUUGGAAAAUUUGAGAUGAGUCUCAGGUUUUUUUUUUUUUUUUUUUGUCUUUGUCUUUGUUUUUUUUUUUUUUUUUUGUUUUUUUCCCAAAAACAACCUGUUAAUGUGGUUGUUGACAUAGAAGUGGGUGAGGGCAAAAUGGGCAUAGAAAAAAGAGUCAACACAAAGUGCACAAAACCCAUAUUAUUUUCCACAUUAAUGACUGAUUCUCAUAUUUCUUGUUCUUGGGAUUUGAAAACCAUAUUAUUUGCAAAUGGACCUCCCAAAGCACAGGUUUCCCUUAGUUUUAUGUCUCCAUCUACAUUUUACAUAUAAAUAGAUUAUUUUAUAAAAUUUGUUUUGUAGAUAUAUUAGUUAAUAAUUAUAUAAUUAAUGAUAUAGAAAACAUAUAAAAAUCAUAUUUAAAAAAGAUAAUUACAUAUUCCUCAACAAUCCAUCCCAAGAAUUCGAGGUUGAGUUGAAAACAUGUAGAGUCUUUGAUGUUAUUAUAAUCAUAUCCAACACAUAUGAUUAUUGUUUAUGAGAUAUUAUUAGAAAGUUUGUCUUAAAAUAAUUGAUUUAUUACCCACCUUUAGCAAAUGCCCAUUUUUGCGUCUUUCAAAAUUUUCAUUUUUUUUUUGUUUAAAAGAAGUAUUGUAAAGAAUGAUGAAAUAAGAAAUUUGUUGAGAAAGUGUGAGUAAAUAAUUUUACAUAAAAAGAGAUUUAAUACUUGAUAAAUAAAAUAAUAAAAUCAUGAUUUCUAGUUGUAUAGGGCCGGGUGGAUGGAGUGGCUAAGAUGUAAUUCUUGAAAUAGAGGAGACAACAUCAAUGUAUAAAAGUUUAACAGAGAAGGAAAGUGUGUUUGAAUGACUUUAUUUUCUUCAUUUAAAGUUUUGACGAUGAGUGUUUAUACAAGAUAAAUUUUCAAAUGAUAGGACUCCUAUUUACAUGGAGUUUGUGAUAUACUAUGAUUAUACAAAUUUAAAAUUCAAACAGAUUCAUGAGUUGAUAGGAGUCUGCUCAAUACGCCCCUUCAAAAUGGUGGGAGAUAGCACACCAAUCUUGACUCGAAGGGCCUAAACUCGUGCAGAAGAUGAGGGCUUUGUUAGAGCAUCGACAAGUUGAUCCGUGGUUGACAUAUGGGACACCUUGAGCUCACCUGAUUAAACCUUGUUUCAAACAAAAUGAAAAUCAAUCGCCGAUGUGUUUCAUGGAGAGUGAAACAUGGGAUUUGCACAAAGAUAUGUUGCACCCACGUUAUCACAAGAGAUAGGAGGUGGUGAUAAAUUUGAAACACUAAGUUUUGAGAGAAGAGAAUUAACCCAAAGAACCUUUGAGGCUGUAGAGGCCACGACGUGAUAUUUCGCUUCAGUGGAAGAGCGUGCUAUGAACUUUUGUUUCCUCGAUGACCAAUACACAAGAUUGUGACCAAGAAAAACAAUGGGAGCAUUGGUGGAGGAUCUGACAUAAGGAUUCCUUGCCCAUUCAACAUUCGAAUAUGCAUGUAGAUUGAUGGGCGAUUUCUUAUGCAAGAACAGACCAUGCACCAUUGUGCCGACUAAGUAUCUAAGCAAUCUUUUAACACAAGACCAAUGUGUUGAUGUUGGAUGGUGCAUAAAUUGAGAUAAUUUAUUCAUCAAGAAGGUGAUGUCAGGGCUAGUAAGAGAGAAGUAUUGAAGGCUUCCAACAAUUGACAUAUAUUUAGUGGGACCAGGAAAAGAGGUGUCAUCACACAGAUUUGGAACAUUGUUGAGGAACAUCAAUGAUUGAACUGGUUUGGUAGCCACCAUUUGUGUUUUCUUAAGAAGCUCUCGAAUGUACUUGAGAUAAAAAUAAUCCUUUGGAAGUAUGUAUCAUUUCAACACCAAGAAUAAAAGAUGAAGUCCUGAGAUCCUUAAUGGAGAAUUUGACUGCUAAUUGAGAGAUCACGCGAGCACGAAAAACAUUAUUGUUACUUGUUAAAAUAAGAUCAUCAAUAUAAAUAAGUAGGUAAACAAUGAGACCACUCUUUUUAAAAAUGAAGAGGGAUGUCUCGGUUUAGGAGUUGACGAAGGCUAUUGAGAGGAGAAAUUGGCAAAGUUCAUGAUACCAUGAUCGUGGAGCUUGUUUAAAGCCAUAAAAAGCCUUACAAAGUUGGCAAAUGUGAUGAUGUGUGUAUUCGUGAACCCAGGAGGUUGAAUCAUGUAAACAUCUUCAUGAAGUGUCCUAUGCUAGAAUGCAUUAUUAAUGUCCAAUUCAUGAGUUGAUAGGAGUCUGCUCAAUACAAUGUGGGAGUGUGAUUUCAAAAUUAGGGUAAUUUCGAAAUGGAUUUUGUAUUCACAAGUUGAAUUUCAAAAUUAUUUUGAAAUGGUCUUUUAACUUUAAGCAGUUGUGUUCAAAAGGUCAUAACUUCUUCGUUUCAAUUUUGAUUUACACAUUGUUUAAAACAUUGGACUCUUUACUUCCCGAGCUUCAAAACGAUAUAUAGUAUGCUCAAAAAUGACAUCAGGAUUGGUUCAAAUUUCAUCUUGAUAUUAGAGUACAUGUUGUGAUUAGAUUUUGAGUUCCAAAUUUCCAUGUAAACUUGAUUGCAUUUGCUUCAAACCUCCUUCAUUAUGGUUGCUUGCCCUCUAUCUCACUUUGCAACAUUUGUUACUAGUAUUUUAUGUCCAUGACUUACUCAUUUCAACCUUUCUUGGAUUCUUCAUGGUUCACAAAUUAUGGAUUCUUCAUGGUUCACAAAUUGAGUCUUUCAAUUAUGCAUGUUUAACUCCUAUUUCCUUGGUUGAUAAUGACUUUUACACUUAUCAUUUUCUUUUAUUCUUUAAACCUGAAUUUAGACUUACAAAAAAAAGUUAGAUCCAUAACUAGGGUCUUAGCAUCAAUUUGAGUUAAGUUGGAUGAUUUGAAAAUUUUAUAUUACAUAAAUCAUAUCAUACAUGUGCCAUUGGAGUGCACAUUUUGGCUCUAAUCAUGUUCCAACCCAUUGUUUUACUCUUGCAUGAAGUAUGUGGCCAUUGAUUUUAAUUUUAUUUGCGAUUAGGUUCAAAAUGGUGCUUUUGUGUUGCUCAUGUGUCAUCAGAAGAUCAACUAAUGGAUUCUCUAACAAAACUACUACAUCAUAGUCAUUUUUUUUUUUCUUAAGACCAAGAUUGAGAUCUCCAAUCGGAGCCAACUCCAUCUUGGGGGCAUGUUAGUGAAAGAUAAAAUUUAUCUUUAAUUUAAAUAUUAAUAUUUAUCAGUUAUUAGUUUUAAUUAGAGUAAAAGAUAGAGUUUAAAUUGGAGUAGGAGAUAAACUUGUGUUUGAACUAGAAUAGAAGAUAAAGUAUAAAGAUUUAUGUUUGAAUUAGAAUAAAAUAUAAAGUUUGAAUUAGAGUAGAAGAUAAACUUGUUCUUUAUUUGUAUAUAAAUAUUCAUCAAUUCUUGAGAAGAAGAUUAUUUCAUAGUUUUUCUAUCUUCUUUUUUCUUCAUACAUAUCUGCAAGAAAUUGAAGAUUUCAAGUAAAAUAUUUUCUGUUUUAAAUAGUGAAAAAAGCUAGAAAUUCACUUUGUUAUCUCUUGGGGUAAAUUGACAAGGUUUAACGUUAAGAAGGUGAAUUAUUUUUUCAGAAAAACUGAAGUAGCUAGGAUAUCUGGCCAGUUGUGAUCGAUAAAAAAGUUGUAAAAUCUCUCAUAUACUAAACAGGUUUUGGAUGUUGGUAUGGUAAAUCCAUCUGCAGUCAUUCGUCAUCUCAUCUAGUGAGAUGUUUGGGAGGUGGUGACCGCCGGAUUGGGUUUCAUUUGGUUAAAUCUGUCAGUGGGUUGGCUACUACCCGAGCCUCUUGCUUUGGGGGAGGUGGGUUCUAGAUAUAAUGUUCAAACCAUUUUAGUUAUCAUAUGCAUGACAUGUAAGCAUAAUCUCUUUAUCACUUCUUCAAUGGGAGUUCAUGGUUAGGAAUUGACUUCUUUUCUUCUGGGAUGCUUGGCAUGUAAUGGACAAAGUUACUUUUAUAUCGAUCGAAUUUCUAGUAUUAUAGUGAAGACUUACCCUUUUGACAUUUUAUAUCGAAUUAUAGAAGAUGAAAGGGACAUACAUGCAAUCGACUGACGCUUUAGUGAAUAUGCUGAAAAUAUGCUGAUGCUGUGGAGAUCGUAUGAGGACAGAGGAAAAAGAUAGAAAUGGAUAUAUAAUUAGACCUAGGUUUUUAUUAAAUGAGAUGGGGAACAUAGAGUGAGGGAAAAUCAAAAUUUUUGGCUGCAGUUCACAUUGGUGAUAUUUUGGAUUGACAAAGACUAACGACUUUUCUAUUUUUCUUUUCGGCCUGACUGGAUAGUUGGACAUGGACAAUACAGAAUCCACAGAAGGAUUGUUGGGACCGCUGAAAAUUAGCUAGAAGAAGCUGAGGAAGUAGUCUACGUAGUCAAAUACCAAACACAAAGAAAGAAAGAAAUGGAUAUCAUGGAUGCCUAGAGUUAUACUCCUAAUACCGUCACAGGUAUUUUUCUUUCCUCCUUUUUUUUUCUACGAUAAUUAGAGCAUUUCUCCUCCUCCUCCUCCUCCUCCCCCCACCCCACCACCAAAAAAUAAAAAAAUAAAUUAUUGCAAGUAACACUUCAAAUAUUAAUUUAUACAUUCUAAAGUAUAUAUUCAUGAAAUAACUUGAGUAUCAUACAUUAGUUCUCAAAAAAAAAAAAAAAAAAAAAAAAAAAUUACUGGAAGAGAAAAGUUUAAGAAAACAUAAAAAUAUUCAACUACUAUUUUAAAGAGAAAAUUUAAUUUUUACACUAUAAAUUUGAAGAGAACUUUUACAUGCAUCUUAUAUAAACUACCAUUUUUUGCUAAAAGGCUUAAAUUUGUCAAAAAUACCCCUUAGGUGCUUAACGUUCUGGUCAUAAUAUAAUUGGCAUCUUUUCUCAAACAUAAGGCCUGUGUGUGGGAACAAGAUUUAAUGUUAAUGAGCUUCGCCACCGACAUUUAGUUCCAGAAAUCAUUAUUUUAAUAGAGUGGGCUCAAUUUACAACUUUAAUUAAACUCUAACCAACUGCAUUGUGAAAUGAAUAUGUUUCUUUCGUGGUGAAUCCAAUGAGUUGGGAGUCAAACUUUGCUUCAUUGUGUAUAGAUGAAAUGUUAAGACUCCAUGUAACCUCAAACAUUUCCGCAAUNNNNNNNNNNNNNNNNNNNNNNNNNNNNNNNNNNNNNNNNNNNNNNNNNNNNNNNNNNNNNNNNNNNNNNNNNNNNNNNNNNNNNNNNNNNNNNNNNNNNUUCUUUCGUGGUGAAUCCAAUGAGUUGGAGUCAAACUUGCUUCAUUGUGUAUAGAUGAAAUGUUAAGACUCCAUGUAACUCAAACAUUUCCGCAAUGAGCGGGAGUUCUAAAUUUAAUAAUUGAAAUUGUCAGUGGAACCAGUGGACAAGAGUUGGUUUGUGGUUGACAAACUUAUCCGUUUGAUCUUUACUUGAACAGUUCCAGUGUGUGGAUGGGUACUGAUGAAGUGUGCGCAUUUAUUUUGAGAAGCCUGCUUGUUCGCAUAGAUUUUAACGACAUGAACAUUGUGGUAAGGUUAGAGAGUAAUGCGAAUGUAGGAGCUUAUAUUAGAAAUGACACAAACACGUAAAUAGAAGUAAUCUAUAUAUGAUAUUACUCAUGGACUACAAGCAAAGAAGUACAAUACAUGGAGUAAGUGAUGAAAUGAGCAUUCCUCACUACUACUGCUUGACUGAUGGAACAUGAUGCACGAGAUAGCAUAAGUAGUAGUAGGAAGCAGCUCUUAUUUGUGGCGUCGGUAUACAUCAUACUAGGUAGAUGGUUCAAUUGGCAUGGAUGGGUGGUGGAGCCUUGAAGUGCUUGUGAUGGGGAGCCCACGGCUUCUUCUCAGGAGUUGGUGGCUUCUUGUAUGGAGUUGAUGGAGGUGUUUCUACUGGAGGGUGGCCAGGGUAGUGACCCUGGGGUGGUGAAGGUUCUUUUGUCGGUGGUGGCCUCACUAUUAUUGGCGGUAGAGUUGGUGGCUUGGGCGUUGGCGGUGGUCUCACUACUCUUGGGGGUAGAGUUGGUGUCUUGUGUUUUGGUGGUGGAGGUGGCUUAACAGGAGUUGGUGGCUUGUAUUCUGGGGGUGGUUUCUCCACCGGAGGUGGCUUAUAAACUGGAGUUGGUGGCUUGUAUUCUGGGGGUGGCUUCUCCACUGGUGGUGGCCUGUAAACAGGGGUUGGUGGCUUAUAUUCUGGGGGAGGCUUCUCCACUGGAGGCGACUUAUAAACAGGGGUUGGUGGCUUGUAUUCCGGGGGUGGCUUCUCUACGGGAGGUGGCCUGUAAACAGGGGUUGGUGGCUUCUCCACCGGAGGUGGCUUAUAAACGGGGGUUGGUGGCUUGUAUUCUGGGGGUGGUUUCCCCAGUGGUGGAGACUUGUAAACAGGAAGAGGUGGUUUGUGCUCAUAUGGGGGUGGCUUGUGGUCAUUAGCAAGUGAGGGAGUGGUGAGGACCACCAAUCCAAGGAACAACACGAGUGAGCAAGCAGAAGACAUGUUUGGGCUCUGGUGAUGCACAAGUAGAAGAAAUGGGAACCAUUUAUAAUGCUUCGAGACCUUGGUUAGCACCAAAAUAUGUCAAAAUCUUGAUUACUUCAUUUCAUACAUAGAUUUAAAAUUAUUUCAAUCAACCAUGAUCCUUAAUUUUCUGGGUGGUCCAUAAAUGUAAUGGGGUCAAUUUGGGACCUAACAAGCUGAGAAGUUUGACAAUGCUGCAAGGCUUCAUCCGAAAGUCCGGGGAAGAAUAUUAGGAGUUACACUCCGUUUCCUUUUUUGGGUGCAUUUUUCUCCUUUAACAUUCUAUUCCCUUUUACAUUAGCAUUUGAUCUUAGCUCAUUUCAAGUACAAGUUUCUUGAACCCUAUACCAUUGUCAAAGUUGAGUAACCAUCUCUACUUUGCUCAAGAAACAUAAAAGACAAUGACAAUAAAGAAAAAGGAGAGAGACCAUACGUGACUUGGUUUAUAGGUGGCUUUGUGUUGACAUUUGAGUAUGGAAGCCGACAUGCAUCUUAGCUUCGAUUUUAAUUAAAUUUGUACAUUAGUGUCUGUGUCAUUCAUUUUGGUAUAAAAGGUCUCUUGAUUUCGUAAGUUUGGUAAGAACCGUUGAAAAUAGCAGUAGCAGCACAUGGUCCACUUUCUUUCACAAAAUAAUUUUAAAAGUUUAGAAGCAUAGGAGGUAACAUUAGUGGCCUUGUGGCUCAGCCACGAGUACUAUGUGGUGCUCGAGAAAUUGAGUUUAAUUUCCUUCCGAUAGUUCAUGAUAAGGUCCGUCACUGUCCUGAGACAGAUUGCGUUUUUUCUUUUUUCCUUUUUUAGUGUUUUAUUGACUAGCUAGGUGUGACUUUUCCUACUUUAAGGCACGAGGCAGAAAAGAAACUGGGAUUUAGUGCUUAAGAAGGCAAAUUUAAUUCGAUUUGGAUCUAAAAUUUGCCAGCAACAUGAGAUUUUCCAGCCUAUCGUUGCUCCACAUAUAGACAAGGCACUUGUAGAAGUGGCUUGUUUGUAGCCAUUCCCGAUAUUUGGACUCACUUGAUUCACCGGACACUUUGAUAAAAUUUAAUAUUUAUUAUUUAAUAAUUUAAAUUGAUUUAAAAUUAAAUUAUACCGAAGUUGUGAUUUAAAAAUUAUUAUUUAAUUCUUACUUUUAAAUAUGAAGAUUAUUUGAUAAAAAUAAUUUAAAAUUUAUUAUAAAUUAUCAAAUUAACAUAUUUAUCCUUAUAAAUUAUAAUUAAAACAGAAAAGGUCAAAUGAUUUGAGUAUCCAUAGAUGUGGUAAAAUAAUAAAAAAGAUUAUAAAAACAAUUAUGAUAAAUAAAGAUAAAAAGUAAAAUGAAUAUGUGAAUUUAAAGAAUAAAUUAAUUAUUUUUAUUUAUUACUUAAAAUUAUUUUUGACUUUAAAUUAUAUUAUUAAAUUAUUUUACCAAACAUACUUAAUUUAGUUAAUAAUUUAAAUUUAAUUUAAGUUAUUAAAUUGAUUCACCAAAUACCCACUUAAUCAAAGACUGAAGUAUACAUUAUUUGGCCAAAUGCAGCUAUUGAAAUUUAACUUUUUCCAAACUUAUUCAUUUUGUGGAAAUAUUUUUAGAAAUGAUUUUAAAAAUGCACUAUUCUGUGUGUUGAUUUUAUAUUUUGGCAUUAAUCCAACAUAGAAAACGGUUCUUAUUUUCGCUGUUAAAUAGGUACCAGAUCCUUAAUUAGUGCCGUGAAUCCGGCAGCUUCCAAUGAGUAAUUUGGACUUGGGUAUUGACAAUGUGUGGCCAUGCUUCUACUAUUUUAUUAUUCUUGAAACAUAUAUGAUAUAUUGGACUUUAUACAGGGAAAAAAAAAAAAAAAAGUCUUCACCAAAAAUGAUUCCUCCUAAAAAAUAGACUCCACAAACUAGGUUUAACAGGAAAAUGAUUCUAAUCUAGUAGUUUCCAGCCACAUGAGCAUUUACGUAACAAUAGUAUAGUUGAUAACGACUUUUAUUUUAUUUAUUUUUAAAUAGUUAAAGGGAUAAUUUUUGAGCUUAAAUUUUAUUUUUUUAUUUAGAAACAUUUUACUUUAUUUUUUAAUCAUAAUUCUAUUAUAUUAAUGUUUUAUUUUCUAUUUUUUAAUAUAUAAGGAGAUACUAAAUUUAUGUGAUUAUUUUUUAAAAAUUUAGUAUAUGAAAUUAAAUAAUUGGAUAUAUAUACAUAUAUCAUAUAAUGUUUUUUAAGUGUGAUUUUUGAACUUUUUAGUCAUUUUAUAAGUUUAAGCUUUUGAUUUUUUUUUUUAAACUUUGGUAUUUUUUAUUUUAUAUAAAACUAUUUUGAUUUAAUUUUAUUAAAAAAUAUUGGUAUUAUAAAUUAUUGUAUUAAUUAUUUUUUUAUAUUAUAAUGUAACUGGUAUAUACUAAAAAAUGUAUGCAAGUUCAAUUUAAGUUUCAAAUUAAAAAAUUUCAUUUAAAUAUUUAAUAACUUGUUCAUAAUAAAAAAUUAAACAACAUAAUACAAAUGAAAAGAAACAUAAAAGAAAAAGGAAAAAAUGGUCCUCUCUGUGUGUCACAUUACUAGGUCAUCCUCUUUUUCUAUGACCCUUACAAUAGAAUGGCAUAUUUGUCAAAUCUACUUAUGAAAGUUGGAAUGUUUCUACAUGUGUAGGGUCCAUUGGAACUAAUGGAGGAAAGGCUUAACGUCUAUGUAAAUCACAACGUUGCCUAGGUGGGCAUAGAUCUAGUUGUGUAACAUGAGAUGGUGUGAGAGUACAAUAUAUGCAUUGUAGUCUCUAUGGGAAGAGAGAUAGGUAAUGGUAGGGUGGUAGACGGUAGGGUGAUCUCUAAUAUAAUGACAUUUGAUGUGGUGGCUUCUAAGAGAGGAGAUAUAAGAGAUGGUAGAAUGACAUUUGGUGUAAUGGUCUCUAGUGCAAUGACAUGUGAUAUGGUGACCUAUAAAGAAGAGAUAUAGGUGAUGGUGAAGUGGUAUGUGGUGUAGUGACCUUUGAGAUAGAAAAUAGAGGUAAUGGUAGGUUGGCAGGUGGAGUGGUCUUUGGUGUAGUGACAUCAAUUAUAAAUGUCUCCAAGGGAGGAAAUAAAGGUGAUGGUAGGUAGUAAAUGUUGAGGUGGUCUUUGAUAUGUUAUGCUCUAAGAGAGAAGGUAUAGGUAAUGAUAAUAGGGAAUUUGACAUAGUGGUGUUGGAAAUAAAAAGUGAAAGUGACCGUAGAGGUGAAAGGGCAAGUGUAAAAGCCUCAAGUACGAAUGGAGUAAUUAAUGUGGAUGGUGCUAACAUAGUCUUAGGUGGAUACACAAAUAGUCAUAGUCAUCAACUAGCUUGCCCACCAUCUGUCUUUCUGCUAGUGAUAGGUUACAUCUUAAUAGUAAUGGCCAACAUAAGUGGUGUGGAUCCGAUUUUUUUACGUGUGUCCCCACUCAAUCGACAAGACUUAUUUUUUAUUAGUGAAAAAUUAAUUUUGGAAAAGUUGGAGUCACCACUUAUUUUAUUUUAUUUUAAAAAGGAAAGUAAAACAAGAAAGAGAACUCUAAAGAAGUGACUUCAUAGUUUUGGAAAAGUUAGUCUUAAAAAAUCCAAGUCUUGGUCCGGAGAUCAGGUUACUUAUUGGGAAGAUACCUCUAAGAGGUAAUACCCCUCUAAACCCUAAAGAAGUCUCUAAUGACUAAGUUGAGGAGAAUGUGGUAAUUAAUUAAUUGAUUGAGGGUACCUAGGUAGACUAAGGUGAUUUCAGAAUUAACAUACCAAGCUAGAAAGUCCAAUCAUGAUCAUAAAAGAGAGUCAAAGUAUGUACCUGAACUGCUUCUCAAACGCUAUCAUAAAACAUCAAAGUUAGUAUAGAAAUAUAACACAUAAUAUUUGUUUUAUCCAAGCAAAUAAAGCAUACAUCUAAGCACCCAAGAAUCACAUCAAGUAUGGAUAUAGUCAUCAAUAGCAUACGUGUCCAUAGAACUAUCGAAAGUAAAUGUGGAGGAGCGUAUCUGGACAACAUAGAUAACUUAUAAUGUGCUUCCACAAGACAUGGGGGUUAGAUAAAAGUUAUAAUAAUAAUUAGUAAAUGAAAGAAUUCUAGCAUGUUUGGUAUCUAAAUAACAUAGCAAAAAUGAACAAGAGUACACGAAAACAUCAAUUAUCACACGAGUCAUAUUGGCUAGUAUUUAAUCAAUAAACCAACAAUAAAUGACUAUAAACAUAUAAAAUGACAUAUUCAAAGAGACCCAAACAUAAAGAGCCUAGAACACAAGCUUACACUAAAUUUAGAAAACUAAAACAUGGAAUUUUAAAAGCAUAAAUUAGCAAACAAAUUGAUGGAAACUAAAUUUAGAUAACUUAAGAAUAUUUUUCUUAUCCUUCAAUUUAAAUCAGUAAGCCAACAAUAAAAAAUUAUAGAAACAUGGAAUAUCAAGAUCAAUGGGAUACCUAAACUAUAAUUUUUAAAAGAAAAUAAACUAAGCAUAAUAUCUACAAAGCAACUAAACUAACAUUUUUUUAAAAAUAAAUUAAACAUGACAUUAAUGGAGUAACCAAACUAAAUUAAAGUAAACUAAAAACAUUUAUGAAUUUUCAAACAUGGAAUCAGCUUUCUUAGUAAAUUAAAAUUAUUAAAAUAAAAUCUAAGCUUAAAAAUGAAUUAAAUACUAACUAAAGCAAAUCUAAAACCAAAUAUUUAACACAUAGGAUCAAUUAUAUUAACAAACUAAAAUUUUAUAAGAACACUUAAACCUAAAGUUGAAUUAAAAACUAACCAAUUUUUAAAACUAGAUCUUUAACCCAUAGGAUCAAUUAUAUUAACAAAUAAAUAAUAAAUAAUAAAUAAAUAAAACUCAAACCUAAAGAUGAACUAGAAAUGUACCAAAGUAAAUUCAAAACAAGAUCUUUAACACAUUAGAUCAAUUAUAUUGACUAACUAAAAAAAAAAAAAAAAAACACUCAAACCUGAAACGAUGUAUUAGAAACUAACCAAAGCAAAUUUAAAAUAGAGUCUUUAACACAUAGGAUCAAUUAUAAUCACUAACUUAAAUUACAAUUUUUGAAACAUGAACUAAUUAGUGUUGGAUUAAUUAAACUAAUUAACUAAAAAAAACUAUAAACUAGAAUACGGUGAAUCAAGAAUUCAAAUCAACAAACAUAAAAUAUGGGUACAAUGAAAUGAAAAUCUAUUAAACUAAUAAGACGGAAAUAUGACAAACUCAUGAACCCACAUUUUGAUCAACUAGGAAAUAGAAAUUAAUAGACCUGUAGCAUGGAUACAAUGAAAUGAGAUCAGUUAAAUUUAUUUGCCGAAAUUCUAAAAAACACAUACACUCAAAUAAGAUCUAAAUCUAAGACCAAGCAAAACUCAAACUUUCUCAAUCUAAUGCAAUGAAUCAAAACUAAAAUUAAAUAGAAAUCAAACCAUUUUUUUUUUAUCUAAUAUAAUAAAUCAAAGCUAAAACUAAACAAAAUCGAAUUUUCUUAAUUUAAUAUGAUGAGUCAAAGCUAAAAUUGAACAAAGUUCAAACCUUUAUAUAAUGGAUCAAAGUUAAAUCUAAAUGAAAUCCAUACUUCCACAAUUUGAUAUAACAAAUCAAAAAUAAAACUAGAUAAAAAAAAAGUCAAAGCCUUUCAACUUGACAUAGUGAAUCCAAACUGAAACGAAACAAAAUUUUAACUUUUCCAAUGAAACCCAAUAUAGAAAAAAUUAGCUUACCUUCUUUAGAAUAUAUGUAUGGGCCAUAAAGAAGUCACCUUGGUGCAUGUGUUCCUCACUUUGACGCCAAUGGACGACUUUCUAUGGUAGCAAAUGGAGAUCCUUUUUGGUGGUAACUUGCGUGUGGAAACCUAUGGUACAACCAAUGUCAUCUUUUAUUGUGCGUGUGGACCAAUUUCUUCUCGAGAACUCAUGUGUGUUGUGCUCAAAAUAUGUUGCCUGUGAGAAUCUAUUGGUAUACCCCACAUAUGGUUUCCUUGAGAGAAUCUGUGGUUGUGUGUGGGCGUUUUCUUCAUGACAGCAUGUGGAUGUUCCCAUCUAUGGUAGAUUGGUUGUGAUGCUUUAGUGCAUGGUCUCCAUAGGAAUAGUGUGUUAUGGAAAUUUGGUUUUUUUAUUGGUGCAUGUUGUCUAGACUUUCCCAUAUGCGUGGACUGUGUGUUCAUGCUUUUCUUUUCGGAUGGUCGCCUGUGUUAAUGUGUGGCGGUGUCUACAAUGAAAGAUACAACCCUUUCUCUCCUUCUGCGUGAUAGAAAAGUCAAUCCCCCAUGGUGCGACUAUGUUCCCUCGUCCUUUUUGAAAAAUUUUGGUGUUUUCCCCCCAAAAAAUCCCCUCCAAAAAUCUAAUUAUAAAUGUCUGCUUUGGCCUAAUGUGUGUGCUACUUUUUUUUUCCUUCUUUUUAUGGUUGUGCGUGCUUUUCUUGAUACGUGGCUUAUUUCUUAAGGAUAUGAUUCGCUCCCAAUUGGUGUCUCAGCUGAUUCAUGUCCUUUCAAUGGUCCCUGACAGUGGUGCCAUUUGAUUCGUGUCCAGCUGGUGUCCCUUGAUUGUGGUCCUCAGAAGGGAGUAAUCAAUAAAAUUUAUAACCUAUUACACCAUGUAUUAGGAUAGCCUUAGCUAGCAUAGCAUAGUGGCUCUAGGGUCGUUUAUUGGGAUGAGUUUUCACUUCACAAUUGAUAUUAAUUCAAGAGCUGAAUUGGUGCCUUUUCAUUUCAAGGUUAGCUUUAAAAGAAAACAUAAUCUUUGGUGGAAAAAGGUUUGGUUUUAAACUAACCAAAAAUAGUAACUGAUUUUACUUACAAAGAAAAGUGUUCUUUGGAGUUUAGAUCACUAGGCUCAGGUUCCUCAUACAAAAAGGAGAGUUCCGAUCAUUUGUUUCUUUUCCUCGCAUUAGAGAAUUAACAUAUAGUUAAUUCUCUAACCGGUGCGGUACAUAUGCUUCCCAUUAAUGGGUUCAAACACUAAAUACCUCUCACUGAUGCACCUUGCAAUGGCUCGUGCCUCUCACCUAGCAUUUAUCAUUCAAGGUGAUCUUUAACCUUGGAUUACCCAUCAAAAGCUCGCAAGAGAUAACUAAAGGAUGUCUCCUUAGAGUCCAAAAGCUUACCAAGUGUUGGUUAUUCUAGAAAAUCCUACCUUCAAACCACCUCCCAAAGGCUCGCAAGAGAUAAACAAGUGCAUCUCAAUGGAUGAAGAUCACUUGCCUUACCAAGUUUUGGCCCAGAUGAUUUAAUGACAUUUUAAGUUAACUAAAAAGAUAAAAACCAUUAACGGGUCACACUUUCUCUUCAUUAAAAACUAAAACAACAAAACUUCCAAUUUAUGCAUGAGGAAACUUACCUGGCUUUCUUCACUUCAAGAGAUGAAGAGCCUAGCCACUCAUCAUUUGAGGAAAAAUCCUCAGAGUUUGAUUUGCUAGAAAUAAAAAUAAUGAGAAAACAAAAAUAUAUAUAUGAAAAACAGAGCAAGUUCUCUGUAAUAUAUUUUUCUUCCUUAUACAAAAGGUUGUCUCUAAGAACAAGUUCCCGAGAUCUAUCUGAUUGUAAAUAAAAUUACAACUAUAUAUAAGAGGUUAUUCACCCCUUUGUUCUUUCUUAAAGACUAAGGAAUCCUAUGAUAGGUGGGUUACAAGGAGAGUUUGGGGAUUUAGACAUCAAAUAUCUAAAGCAAAAUAUCUCAAGAUGUUAGUCGGAAAUAUCAGGAAGCUUCAGGAGAACACCGCGACACUGUAUACUGAGAGAAAAACUCUCCGGGUAAGCUCUAUCAAAGGAUCCAGACAUGUCUGACUGGGAAAGUUGAAACGUCCUUCUCUCCCAUCCGGAUGUGAGAUAUCCGGAGAAAGUGAAAUGUCGGUCGGACAGAAUUCUUUCCCCGGGUGGAAUGAGUUGUGUUGCGCGUCGCAAGGGGGACCGUCUGCGUGUACAAGUUGUAGGGACCCCUCUCCCGGAUGACACCGAGCGCGUAAGGCUAUCCGGAUCAACUCCAUUCGGAUUCCCCAAGAGGACAUGUGGCGUGCUCCCCUAUCAGGACUCCCUUAGGGAGAAGCACACGACACUCGUGAACAUCAUACCCGGACGAUAGCAUGUCCUAUCCGGAUGUGUUGUCCGGAUCAUUGACUAAAGUGAGCAAGCCUUGCUACGUCAUUCGGACAGCUUGCCACAUACCAUGUUCCGUCGCCAUCUGAUGGUGUGUCCGAACGCCUUGUCCGGACAUCUUUUGCUCCUUGCAUUCCGGAUUUGCUUAUGACAAAGGACUUCAAAGCUUCGGUUCUUCAUGUUUCUGAGCUUUCCAUUGCUUUGCCAUGGAUUCCAAAGAACUCUCCUUAAUCACGGAUUGCUUUGGUGAUCAAAAAGUUAUCAAAACACAAAAACUUAACAUAGUUUGAUUAGAAUUGAUUGCAAGGGUUCUUAAUAUGUUAAUUGGGUUAAAAGGUGAUAACUACUACUCAAAAGUGUUUAUAAGAAUUAAUUACAAGCUAUGAAAUAACACUUUUUGAGUAGUAAUCAGGAUACAUCCUAGUUUUUCAUGGAAUUGAUAGUGGGUUGUUGUGCAUGAAUGCCACCAUUUCAACUAUGCUGUUGUUAUUUUUAAAAAAAAUAUGGAUUAUGCGCGAGUGGCAAUUCUCCACUAUGGAAAGUGGAUUGCUCCUUCAACCCAUGCAUGGCUACGUAUUCCUAUGUCUUUCUACUUGUGUUUGAUCCUCCAAAAAAAAUUUCGGUUUAGUGCUAGUAGAUUUUAAGUGGUGGAUCCCCAUUUUUUGAAAAUGAAGUGGCAGCCUCCCAUUUCAAGACAAAAUGGUAGCCUGCCUUUAAUCUUUGGAGAAAAAUCUGUGCAUGACCUUUUUUUUUCCCAAAAAAUCCGUGCAUGGUGUCCUUUAAUAUUUGGAGAAAAAUCUAUGUUGGAUCUUUUCUUUUCUAGAAACAUUUGUGUGGUCUUUUUUGUUAGCCCAAGGGUUCUUCUAAUCAAGUUUUGAUGAUAACAAACCAUGGUUAAGUGACUAAUUGGUUUAAUGAUUAAGAAUCUCAAACAUAAAAUCGAAAAUUCAUCAAAGGACCAAAUGGAUACAAGAUCGAGACGCUUGGAAGACUUGUAAUCAUAGGAAACUAAUGUAAGAUGAAUGCAUGAGUGCACUUAGGAUUUUCACACGUUUCAUGCAACUUAGAAAACCCAGUUUAUUCUUUAAAACUUCAUCCCAGUUUAUUCUUUUUAUGGUUGUGUGUGCUUUCCUUGAUACGUGGCUUAUUUAUUAAGGAUACAUCCCAGUUUUUCAUGGAAUUGACAGUGGGUUGUUGUGUGUGAAUGCCACCAUUUCAACUGUGCUGUUGUUAUUUAAAAAAAAAAAAAAUGGAUUGUGCGCGAGUGGCAAUUCUCCACUAUGGAAAGUGGAUUGCUCCUUCAACCCAUGCAUGGCUACGUAUUCCUAUGUCUUUCUGCUUGUGUGUGAUCCUCCAAAAAAAAUUUUGGUUUAGUGCUAGUAGAUUUUAAGUGGUGGAUCCCCUUUUUUUGAAAACUAAGUGGCAGCCUCCCAUUUCAAAACGAAGUGGUAGCCUGCCUUUAGUCUUUGGAGAAAAAUCUGUGCAUGACUUUUUUUUUCCCAAAAAAUCCAUGCAUGGUGUCCUUUAAUAUUUGGAGAAAAAUCUAUGUGGGAUCUUUUAUUUUCUAGAAAAAUUUGUGUGGUCUUUUUUGUUAGCCCAAGGGUUCUCCUAAUCAGGUUUUGAUGAUAACAAAUCAUGGUUAAGUGACUAAUUGGUUUAAUGAUUAAGAAUCUCAAACAUAAACUCGAAAAUUCAUCAAAUGACCAAAUGGAUACAAGAUCGAGACGCUUGGAAGACUUGUGAUCAUAGGAAACUAAUGUAAGAUGAAUGCAUGAGUGCACUUAGGAUUUUCACACGUUUCAUGCAAUUUAGAAAACCCAGUUUAUUCUUUAAAACUUCAAUUUCAUUAAAACCCGAGUUUUUAACUAAUGUACCUUAGGCAAAAUGUUUUAUAAUUGGCUUAAUAAUUCACCUAAAUACAUUUUCUAAGUGUUAGAAAAGAAAGGAAUUAAAAAAAGGUUUUCGGGGCAAAAAAGGCUCAACCGGUCGAGGCUAUGGUCAACCGGCUCAACCGGUUGAGGAACCAAUCGAUCGGUUGUGCUUGUCCGAUCGAAGACCAAUCGAGGGAUGCCAAAAAAUUUCUCUCUCUCCUAGUGGCCUUCUCUUCCCGGUCGAGGUUCGGUCUAGGCAACGGUAACAUGUCAAGCAUUAAAUGCUCCGACGACUAGUGAAUCGGUCGACCCCUAGCCCGAUCGGACGAGGUUGCCUUUUGCUGUUUUUGACUCCCGAGCUUAGAAACCUAUAAAUUGAGAGCUCCACUUCAUUUAUUGAUAAAAGAGAACACUUGCAUUCAAUAGUCUACCUACCUUUUCUUGAUCAAAAAGCUCUCAUUUCCUUCAUAGUGCAUUAAAUCAUCACUUGCAUAUCCUUUAGUGCACUAUUGUGUGUCAUCCUAGCUUUGUUUUGUAUUUGAGCUAUCCUUAAGCUAGGUUGAGGGAUUAUUUCUUAUAAAAAUCUGAGUGUUAAAGCCUUCAAGAGAUUUGAAUCUUGAAGAGAUUGUGUAAGAGCCCAUUGGAGCCGGAGUCCAAGUGUAAGAAGAUUGGAAGCUUGGUUGAAGCUUCAAGUUAGUGGAACCCUCACUCGGUUAGGAGGUUGAGGAGAGUGGACGUAGGUAAGGAAGUGUCGAACCAUUAUAAACCCGAGUUUGAAUUCUCUAACUCUAUCUCUUUAUUUUGCUUAUAUUGUGUUUGAAUUUGUUGUGAUUGAAAAGAUUUUAAAAACCUAAUUCACCCUCCCCCCUUUUGGGUUUUUUUUUCUUAAUUAAGCAUAACCUUUGUUUUCUAAUUUUCUUUUUAGGAAAAUCCAUGCGUGGUAUGUCCAAACUCUCCAAGUGGCAGUCUGCCUUCUUCUAAAAAAUUUGUUUCUAUUUCUUUAUUCGACUACCUUCCAUGUCUUCCUAAUGAGUGCUUGUGCUCAAUGGUCAAUCCCUGGUGGUUGCCUCCUUUUCCCAUAUAUACGUGUUGCAAAAUCAACAUCCCACUAUAUGUGGGUUGCCUCUAUGGCAAGUUCACAUUUCCCACAUGAAACCUAUGAGUUUCCACCAAAAAUUGCCAUGAAAAAGUCUUUAUAUGCAUCUCAUGCAAUAAAAAGUCAAGCCAAUACUCAUCUUAUCUCGAAAAAUAAGUAACCAAAAUCAAGAUCAUGCCUAAGUGAACUAUGCCAAAAGAAGUGUCCAAGUGACCUAUUAUGAAAAAAGUGCCUAAGUGACCUAAGGUGAAUGUGUGUAAGCUGGAAGGUGUCUAGGAUGUUUAGGACAAUGCCUAAGCCUAAAAUAGGGUUGCCAAGGGUCACAAUGGGGUUAGAUAAAUCUCUCAAUCAGAGUCUCCAAGGUGGCUCAUAAAAGAUAAGCUACACGAGUAAUGAUGGGCCACCAGGGAAUUAUUGUAAAGCACCAAACGAACACAUAAUAGGACAUGUGUUAGAAUGAAAAAAUGGAGGGUUUACAAGUGGUCUCAUGGAUGAGCUUGAUAAUUUAAAUGACUCACAUAAUGAACGUAUGUGAUGUUUCUCUCCAAUAACAAGCAAAACAUCACUAGCAAUAUGAUGAAUGUCUCCUAAAUCACUUGAAGUAGUCCUAGCAAAUCAAUUAGAAAAAUCACACAUAUUGCUCUAAUGUAAUAUUAUAUACAUCUGUCAAUGAAUGGGAGAACUAAUGACACAACCAUCAUGUUGAUAUCUCGAACCCUCUAAUCUCAUAUGUAGGUGGGAUCACACUUAGAAACUCAUAACACAGUAAUGACCAAUCUAAGUCAAAAUGUGUUGGUGAUCGGAGGCCCAUGAAUAUGAAGUUCUAGGAUGAUAAUGACAUCUUAUAAAGUAAUGAUCAUCUCCUUAAUAGAUAGGUGAAAUGUGUGUGUCUUAGGACACCAUCUCUCAACAAGACUUGUGAUCAAUCCCCAGUCUAGUGUAACAUGCCUAUUAUGACAUCCAUCGUAAAAUCUAGACUAGAUAAUAUAAGGACAAAUGUGAGGGUUCAUCUCCCUUUCCCACAUAAAUUUAAAAAAUUAUUAUUGACAAGUUAAGACCAAACUAAGUUGCAAAAUAUAAAUAAGUCCAUUAGAUAACAAAUUUAUGUUUUCUCAUUUUCUCAUUUUUAAAGAGAUAUUAUGUGCUUCCAUGUACAUACAUGCUAAAGUCAAUUAUACGAGACUUAUAUCCAUCUUGUAGAACCAAAUCGAACCUAUCUAAUAGAUCCAGAUUAGAAGUAUGUCCUCUAUACUCCAUAUUUAUAACACAUUUAUAAAGAUAAAUGCUAAAAAAAUGUUAAAGAUAUAAAUUUAAUGAACCAUACUUUAUGAUUUUAAUUCUCAAUUAUUGUUCAUAUUUAUAAGAGAAAAGUUAAAAAAAUUGAUAGAGUUUUCCCUCUAUCAUGGACAUUAUCCCAAAUAAAAAUAAAUUGAUUAUGCAAAUUACAUUAAUAUUUGUAACCAAAUGAUCAAUAACUAUCUUGUAUCAAUUUAGUAAAUAAAUUUAAGUAUAUCUUUUCAUUUAUGACUAACAAAUAACUCAUACUUGUCCAAUAAAAGCCACACCUAAUUUCUAAAAUUUUGUCUUCACCUCAAGUGAGUGUUACAUUGAGAAAGAAAAAAUAUGAAAGAAAAAAUGAACACCUUUUUCUUUUAAUAAAAAAAGGCCAUAACGAAACAUUAAAUCUCACUGUUACACCUAUCUUCAAUGGAAACAUGAGGAUGUGAAUGGUGGCGGUGAUAUUCUUUGCUUGAAGCUCAUAAACAAAUAUUCCUUACUAAGCCUAUGCCAUUUAGUAUUUCAAUAGUGGACCCCCCCCCCCCCCCCCCCCCCCUCCUUGCAUUUCAGAUUUAGCAAACUUAGAACCAAAUAACAAAGUGCAUUUGAACCCAUAAAGAAGUAAUGAGACUCUCCUAUAUUGGCAAUAGAAGAAAUUUUUGGAGGUAUAGGAGAUUCACGGAUGAAGAAGUUGGGCCCCAAUUGAGAUAAGACCCAAGAAAAGAUGGGGUAGAGAGGGAUGGUUGGAAAUUGUAAAGUAAGAUUUUCAAAAUGUAGUUGAUGACUAAGAUUUUGACAAUUUAAAAAAGGUUUAAAAAUGUAGUUAGCAAUCGGGGUUUUGUAACAUUUAAAAAAUAAAAUAAAAUCUCAGGCCACAUGGUAGCCCAUGUGAUUCAGAAGCUUGAGAAUUAUUUUAUAAGAAGACUUAAUUUGUGAUUUUUUUAUAACUAUAUUAUUUUUUUUCUUAACACACGAAAAAAAUUAUGAAAUAAGACAAUUUUCCUAAGAAAGCAUGUAAGUGACUCUUGGUUAUUUUAUUUAACUUCUUCUAGUUUGGAGAGGAUUAAUACCUUUGCUUUUACUCACUUGCUUGGAUAUGUACACGUUGUUCAUGUCACUUUUCAUUUAAUUUUCUGAUUAAGGGAAUUGGAACCGUACGUAACUGUCUUUAUUCCCUCUGAAACUUGGACUUGGAGUUGGACUUUCAAUCUCAUCAGUCGUGUUUCCAUAAAAAAGAAGAUGGAUUAACCAAUUUUCCUAUGCCUACUAAUCAUACACAAAACUCCACUUCCAAAUAAAAAGGAAUGGGAUAUCACUUGUUAAUAGUGGCUAAAGACUAUUAAUAACCAUGCAAAGAAAUGUCACAUUUUUUGUUCUACGCAAAUUUUAUUCAUCAACUACUAGAACCAUUUCAUACAAUAGUAGCUUUUCGAUCCUUUGAUAAAUGGACACUUGAUGUGAUAACACCAACUACACCUAUAUAUUCAAGCAAUCAUGCGUAUAUAAUAGUGGAUAUGGAUUACUUCUCUAAAUGGGCAAAAGUUUUGUCAUUCAAGGAAAGUGAACGAGGAAACACAAGUUUACUUUCAUCGGAACUAAUAUUAUAUAUUGAUAUGACUUCCCAUUAUUACUUACGAUGGAAUAUGCUUCCAUAAAAUGGCCUAGAUGAACAAACUAUCCAAGAAGUUUGGGAUCAAAUAAUAUAUAUAUAGUUCAUGUGUGAUUCUUUGGUUGACAACCUUGUUAAGGGGUGAGUGAAGCACUUUGGGCAUACCACAUACUACAUGCUAGACUUCCACCCAAGCUACCCUAUAUUCCUUAUGAACAAAGUAGAAGUUGUCAUCUCUCUUGAAUACCAAAUCCUUUCACCUAAUAAUGCUAUCUAAAAAGGUCUUAAAAAGGAUAAAAAUGCGCAUAUUUGAAUUUUUGAAUUAGGAGUGCUACUUAAAAAGAAGCUAGAUAUACAAUAAUAGAAUGUUAUCAAGCAUAUCUCUUCAAAGUUUUUGACCAAAAAAUAUAUGAUUUCUCAUUUUAGGUAGGAGACUUAGUACUCACUAUUCAAAAACCAAUUAUCAUUACUCAUAAAAACUAAUAGAAAGUUUGGGCCAAAGUAGGAUGGACCUUAUAUUAUGCAACAAUUAUGCCUAUAAAAUUGUUGCAAAAGAGGUUUUAGAAUCAAAUCAAUGAAUGAAAAAUUAUUAAAGCAUUACUAUGCUUGAAGGCUAGUCAUUUUCCCUUAAAGUGCAAUAUUAAGUUGCAUAGUACUAUGUGGAUCCGCAUUUUUCACAUGCGUUCCCACUCAUUGUCGAGACUCACUUUUUAGAAGUGAAAAAUUAGUUUUAUUAAAGUCGAAGUUGCCACUGGGGAUUUGAACCCUAACAAAAGGUUCAAUUUAAGGAUAAAAAUAUCGAUAAUCACAUAUAUAUAUAUUGGUACUUUGAUUUUAUGAAUAUAUUGAAGAAAUAUGGACAAAUAUUUUGACACAAAAUAUGUACAAAAUAAAAAUUAUAUAAAAAGUAAAAAUAAAUAUUUUAAAAUUAUUUUUUUAAAUAUAUAUAUAUAUAAUUUGACAUAUUUGAUAAUAAUAUAUAAGGGUCUCCAAAAAGCCCGUGGCCCGCUUUAGGCCCGGUCCGACCCGACAGGCUAAAGCCCGGCCCAAGCCCGCCGGGCCCAAGCUCGGCCCGAGCCCGUUUAUGGGUGGGCCGGGCCGCGAGCCCGUAGGCCUGCUCCUUUAAAAAAAAACUACAAAAAUAAAAAGUAUUAAAAAAAAUAUUCAUUUCAAAAUUUUAUUCAUUGAAUGUAUAAUUACAUUUGAAAAUGUGGGAAAAGUUUACAUCACUACAAAAUAAAUACAUCCCAACUAGGUUGGCACCUAUUUAUUUGUCAAUCAUCUGUAUUUUUCAACCACAAAAAAUAAAAAUAAAAAUAUAAUAUACAUUUAGUCAUUAUUUUCUGGCGGUGAUGGCGAACUAUCAUGCAUCCAUGAAGAUCUUGAUAAUUUUAAAGAUUCCAUAUCGGUAAGCAUCUUUGUUUCUCGAAUGGAAUCAUACAUCCUUUUAUCUGCUAUUUCCCAAUCUUUCACACAUAUCCCUGCUUUAAUAACAUCUGACGCUAAGUUGCAUCGUUUUUUACUAACUACUCUUCCACCUGCACUAAAAGCAGCUUCUGAUGCAACUGUACUCACAGGAACUGUUAGUACAUCACGAGCAAUUAUAGAAAGCACAGGAUAUUUGUGUUGAUGUGAUUUCCACCAUAUUAAAAUAUUAAAAUCUUCUUGAUCUUCAAAUGAAAUUAUAUCAGUAUUAAGAUAUUUAUCUAAAUCAGAUGUAUUAUUUGGAGAAUUAUUUGUUGUCUUUUUUCGACUUUUCAACAUUUCUAGAGCUCCUUUAUAAAAAGAUGAGGAGUUUGUAGAUGUAGGUGGUAAUUUAAUAGUAUUAAUAUCAUUACCAUAUUUUUCUUUAUAAUAGUUAUAUAAAUUAUAUAAUAAUGAAUUUAUUUCAUUUUUAAUUUCUUCAAUUUUUAUUUGGUCAUUAAAAUAAAUAAUUGUUAACCAUUCAUCCAAAGCUUCAAAUUUCAAUCUAGGGUCCACAAUUAAAGCAAUAUAAAAAAUUAAAGGUAUUUCUCCCCAAUAUUUUCUAAAUUUUUAUAUCAUUACAAAUAUUGUAUCAUUAAAUAUUUCAAAACUUAAAUAUUUUUGAAGUACAAUAAAAAUAUUAGUUAUUUGCGUAAUAACUCGAUUUGAAGUUGGAUAAUAUACACCACAAAAAAUGUUUGUUGAAGUAUCAAAAAUUUCAAAAAGAUCUCUUAAAACAUCCGCAAUAUGCCAAUCAUAAUCAUUUAAUGCAUAAAUAUCUGCUUCAUAAUCAUUGUUAAUUAAUUGUAUUUCAUAUAAUUCGACUACUUUUCUAUAUUUUGUAAUAUUUUCUAAAAGUUUAUAUGUGGAAUUCCAUCUAAUAGCCAUAUCCAAAUUUAUAUUUUUUCUUUUCAUAUUUAACAUUUUGCAACAAUCAAAAAAUAAUUCAUGUUUUGCUUGAAAACUAUUAAUACUAUAUGCAAUGCCUCUAAUUUUUUUCCAAUGUACUAUCAACAUUUUUUAAUCCAUCCUUUACAAUUAAAUUUAAAAUAUGUGCACAACAACGCACAUGAAAUAUUUUAGCAUGAUCUUCUUUUACUUGCCAAUAUCGUUUUAGUCUAUGUAUUGCUGCAUCAUUAUUAGCAGCAUUAUCUAAUGUUAUUGUCAAUAUUUUAUCACGAAUGCCUAAAUCUAUAAUUUCAUCAUUUAUUAAAGAUGCUAUAUUUUUACCACUAUGUGGAGUAUUUAUUAAUUUAAAUAAAAUUAUUCUUUUAUUUAAUUUCCAUUCAUUAUCAAUGUAGUGAACAAUUAUAUAUAAAAAACCAGUAUGAGUUAAAGAUGUCCAAAUGUCAGAUGUUAAACGAAUAUUUCCUUCAAAAUUUGCAAAAUUUUUUUUUAAAAUUUCUUUUUGUGUAUAAAUUUUUUUCAUAAUAUCUCUUUUAACUGUAUUUCCAGAUCAACCUUUAAAUUGAGGAUUAAUACCUCGUUGAAUUGUUCUUGCAAAAUCAUGAGUUUCCAUCAUGUUGAAAGGUUGUUCUGCUCUUAUUAUAUAAUCAAUCAUUUCUUCACAACAGUUAGAUUCAUCAUAAGAAAAUGUUUUUAAAUUUCCACUUUCAUUUUUACUUAAUUGCAUAUAAUUUCUAAUAUCUACAUUAUUUUUAGUUUUACAAUUUUCAUGAUGUCUUUUUAAAUGACUUGUAUCUGCAUUUGAGCCACCAGUAAGAAAUUUAUUACAAAUUUUACAUUUUGCUUUUAUUUUUUUUUUAUUAUUUUCUAAAAUUAUUUCUAUUCUAUCAAAAAAAUUCCAUAUAUUUAAAGUAAAUUUUUUGUUUGAUGAUAUUUCAUCACAUGGACUAGACGAAGAAGCACUUGUCAUAUUAUAAUUAUUGAUAAAAUAUUAUGCCAAAAAUAAUAAAGUAAUAAAUAUAAAAAAAAAUGUAACAAAAAAAAUAAAGUAGUAGGGGUGAAGUAUGUUACUCAAUUAGAGAACCUAUGCAGAAAUUCCUAGCAAAUUUGAACUCUUGGAGCCACCAAUGCUUGUUUUGCACCAUCAACAAUAUUGUAUAAUUUGAGGGAAAAAUAAAAGAAUUUAAAAUAUUGUAGAAUGUGAGAGAAAUAGAGAGAAUUUGAUGAAAAAAUGAAAAGGAAGAAAAUGUAUUUAUAGGAAGGUUAAAAAUAAUAAUAAUAAUAAUAAUAAUAAUAAUAAUAAUAAUAAUAAUAAUAAUAAUAAUAAUAAUUGGCCAUGUGACCGUUGGAGGCUUAGCUCCAACGGUCACAUGGGCUGGAGCUAGGCUCCAACAGUCACAUGACCGUUGGAGCCUUUAAUUUUUUUUUUUAAAAUAAUAUACUUUAUUUUUAUAUAUAUAUAACUAACUCAAUUAAUAAACAUAAAAAGAAUAUAGUUCAGUUGGUUAGAACCUUGAAGUUUAAACAUGAGGGGAGGGGUUUGAAUCCCUCCCUCUCCCUUAGGGGCUUUUUUAAAAGCCAUUUUGGCUUAUUUCAAAAAGCCUGUCGGCCCGACCCGCCCUGCAGCCCGCGGGCCUAGCAUUUUAGCAUGGCCUGGUCUGUUGACUAGUCAAAUGGCUCAUAGGCUCGGCCCGAACUGGGCCGCGGGCCUCUUAUUUACGGACCGGCCCGACCCGGCCCGCCCGUUGGAGACCCUUGAUAAUAUCUUCUAUAUUAAGUUACAUUAUAGUUUAUUUUACAAUAUUAUUAUGAUAAUAUGUCUAAUUUUAAAAUAUAUUUAAUAUUAAAAUUAUGAUCUAUUUUAAUUUAAAUGUAUUCAAUGAUAUCAAAUAAAUAAUAAUAUAUGUAUAAUUCUUUUAUUAUUUAUAUUUAUUAUUUUUAAUAAAUAUAUAGAUUAUAUAAAAAAGACCGGAUAUAUCUUUUCAAAUUUUGUAUCGCUCUCCAAGGAUAUUAGAUGUAUGGGAAUUUGUAUUGCUAUCUACGGAUACGUUGAUAUAUGGGUGAUUUAUCAGGAUAAUUAGAAAUUCUAAUUAUGUAAGCAGGUACGGAGUUCUGUGUCGGUGCGAUCUUGUCGACAACAGCUCCAAAUUGUGCAUCUUGCUCAUAGAGAGUAGCGGAAUGCACCAAUCGUAGGCUCAGAGUACCACUGAGUCGUCUGGCAGAGACCCAACUGAAGGUGCCUGUGUUGUUCCUGAUCUGAUCAGGCUUCAAACUACAAGGUGGAAUACUGGUUCCCCUAUAUCAGAAGCUGGAGAUACCCACCCCAUAUGCUCGUCUGGAUGUGCUCCUACCCUUUGAAGCCUUCUUCCGAGUCAAGUCCGAAUUGAUAAGGCUAGUGAGUUCCCAACCAACUGUACUCAGCAUGCUGCCAGGUGGAGACCCUCCAUAUUUGAUGGCUUCCUAAUAUUAAAAUGCUGACCACUGGUCUUCAUGUUCCACAGGCUUAAUUGUGUCCUUUGCUGAAAGAAUGGAUAGUGAUCCAUUUUAACACAUGAUUCACGCCGUCUUUGCCAUUCUUCAUGGUCUAGCCCUUUUAUAUAUAUGCUUCCUGAACUGUUGCUAUUAAUAAAAUGUGGUAUCUAUCCCGUACACCUUCCUGAUGGCCAGCGAAUGCAGAAGCUACAGAAACGGUUCCAUCUUUUGCUUCCGCCACUUUGGCAUCCUCCAUGAUGAGAUCGAAGGUGAAUAAUCAUAUUCUGGGGAUUUAUGUCCUGGAUAUUCUCAGUAAUGCCCAAUUUCCUGGUGCCGGCCUCAUUUCCAUGGGAACUGAUGGAUAACUUAAGGCUUCUACCAUCUGCGUGGUUCGCUUCUAACACAGGAAACUUCACGGCUAAAAGCAAGAUACCAAGAACAUCAAGGCUGUGACAAAAAUUAGUAUUUUUAACUUGUAGGAAUUUGAAAGGCAACCAACCAUCUAGCUCUGUUCUUAAAGCUCCCAUAGGAGGAUCAGAGGCUGGAUUGCUCAAGAUGAACUCAUCCAUUGUUGCACUUAAAAAGAAUUGGCAUGAAUUGUGGCCGCUCUAAUAGGUUCCCUAAACCAUCAUCCAAGUGGGCUUGCGGAAGGUAGCGAGUUUAAAACACCUAGGGCGAUGAACAGUGGACUGUGAUGCUCACAAAAGAGAAAAGGAAGAAUUCAAUAAUUCCUAAGAAUCCAUUUGCCUGUCAUCCAAAUUUUUAUAUUCUCUUCAGUCUGACGCGUUAUGCCAUAUAUUAAAAAUAGCGGCUUCUUCCAAGCCGAGACAGACUGUGCAAAGUUCGCAAGGCCAAUCAUCACCAUAAUCUGAAGUUGGCCUCCUCAAUCGCAGCUUGUAUCCGAAUGCUCACUUCACGGGAUGGAUUGUAAUGAAAACUAAUCUCAGUCCCAGCUAUGGCAGCAUCCUCACUUGACAGCAUUUUCUGCAUAUUCUAGAACAAAGCAAUAAACCCUCAAAGGCUCCUUCGGAUCAGAGUUAGAAGACUGUCCCUCAGGAACGUGAACACUAUGGUGGUUCUGAUAAGCAGUGAUAUUGCAUUAGAGCCUUUUGGAACAAGAGGAUCUUUUCAGGUGGAAACUGUAAACUGCUUCAUGUUGGGCUGCAACCUUUUCUUCAAGCAAUACUUUCUUUCUGUAUCACGACUUAUGUUGCUUCCGGAGCCAUCCCGUGUGGACUGCCCUUCAGUGAAAGAAUAUGUGUGUUGACAUGUUGGAUUGUAAUCUUUGUUCCACUCUAAUGGCUUUUGGUCCUCCUCUUUCUCUUUAUGACAGAGAACCAUUUAGUGAUCCAUCUCUAUAUUGUAGCAUUGCUGGUGCUUUGCAAUACUACACUCUCACCAAGCAUAACAUCUAUUUUUCCGUGACCAAAGUAUGUCGGUUUAUGCAUGCGCAAACUCUUAUUCAUUGGCAAGUUGUCAAGCGUAUCUCAUGAUUUCCCAAAGCCACAAGUUCUUAUGGUCUUUCUGUUCAAGCUUACAAUGAUCUAUCUUUUCUUGGUUAUACUGAUGUCGAUUGGGCUAGUUGCCCUGAUAACAAGCACAAUACUAGUGGGUACAACACUUUUCCUGGUCCUAAUCUCAUUUCAUGGGCAUUUUCAAAGCAGAAGGUUGUGUCUCACUCCAAUAACGAAUCUGAAUAUAGGGGACUCACUAAUUAAUGUUGUUGCCAAGGUCACUUGGAUUGAAUCUGUCUUACGUGAGUUGCGUGUUUCUCUACCCCAACCACCAAUUUUGUUGUGUGACAACAUUAGUGCUACACACUUGGACAAACCAUGUUGAAAUACACUAUCAUUUUAUCCAUGAAAGGCUUAUGCAUCACACACUCAAAAUUCAAUACACCUCUUCUAUAGACCAACUAGUCAAUGCUAUGACCAAAGCUCUUCCUUCAUCUCACUUGUACAAUCUUCAGUGCAAGCUGAUUGUUCUUCCCAAACCACUCAACUUGAGGGGAGAUGUUAAGCCAAUUUAAUAAAUUGAUUUCUUUUGGUUAAUUUGUUAGAAUCAUUUUUAUUAGAGGUUUGUUUGUACAAUUACAUCCAUUUAUCAGGAGAGUACACGUGUACAACUCCUCUUUUAAUCUCACCAUUGUAUAUAUAUGAUACACGACCUUACUCAGAAUUGCAUAACAUUUCCUCUGCUCAUUCCUUUUCUUCUUUGAAUUUUCCCUUACCUCACUGAUUUUGAUUUAUACCUGGUGUUUUCACCUUUGGUCUCUACCUUUCUAGCCAGUUUUCUAAUUAAUCCGUAUAUGGUAUACCUGUCAACUAAUGAGGAGAAAGAGAAAAGGGGAUUGCUGUUCCACCAGCUACAUAUAAUAAUUAAUUACAAUCAUGGUAAUGGAUCCUGAAAUCCAUCCUUUGUGGAUUUUGUACGGAAUAUUGUUGUUAUGUAUGUGGGCUCACUUAGAUGUAUAUUGCUAGCCUGUCUGGGAAAUGUGAUUGCAGGUCCAGAUUAUGAUGUUGAUAUUAGUGGGAUAAGCAAGAGAUGCAGUUAACACGUAUGUGAUGGACUUGAGUAACUUUUCCAUUUCAGUCCAUUUUUUAAGAUUAUGCUUAGUCUUAUUACAAGGAAAGACCAUAAGAAUCAUGAGUCAUUGGCAAGGUAAUAUCAUUCCCUCUUUACAGGCUUCUUCACCUUUUGGUUUUUUUAAUAUCCAUCAAGAUCUUUUAAUUGGAGGACAAUUACAAGUAUAUAUAUAUGUAUUAAAAGGGGAAAAUAUUAAAACAGGAAAUUUUAGGGAAAAUAUAAUAAUUAUUUCUUCCUUCUUUCCCAUAUAGAACUACACAAAAUAAAACUUUAAUAAUUUUUUCUUAUCUUUUUUAUUAUUAUUUUUUCUUAGAAACAUCCGUGGUCUCACAAGCUUGUAAUCCUAGAUUGUUAGGCUCCUUUAACAGUGCCCCAACAUCGUGGUCCAAUGACAAGCUUCCACGCCUUAAAAUCAGAAAAUGCCAUUAAACUUUAUCAGACAUUACAGUUCAAGACAAAGCUUUCAUUUGCUUAAUGUGAUAAUGAAAUUGUUAAUUUCAUUUCGUGGGCAUCUAAAUUUGGACGAGCAAGACCUCUGAAUUCCCUGUUUUUAUCACCAGCAGAGGAGAUAAAAUCUUAAUGGUGAGAAUCUCCACGUGAAAUUUAUGUGUACUGUCAACAUAUUUUUGUUUAUAUAGUCCAGUAGCUGCAGGAAGUCUAGAUUAUAUAGGUAGCAGUAGCACUAUUUAUAGCACUCGAUAUUCGCUGUAUGAAUACAUUAAACCUUGUUUUCAAUACGCAUCACAAGCAAGUACUAGAUACUACAAGGAGUGACAGUCGCAUCAACAUUUCUUGAUAAUAGCAGUGACUGAUUUAUACACAGAACAGUACUGUACACGUACCAGUCACCAGAGAUAGGAUCUUAUUCCUACAUACGACUCUUAUUGAUCGAAGUCACUCAGUUGGGGUAGCCUGGAGUUGGAGGUUUGUGUGGUGGCUUCUUCUUUGGAGGAGGCUUUAUCUUUGGAGGCAUCAUCUUUGGAGGCAUCUUGUGUGAGUCUUCUUCAGCAUUCUCUACAGGAGGAUGGCCAGGCUUAUGACCCUUAGGUGGUUUGCCAACUGGGAUUGGUGGCUUGUGUCCUGAGAGUGGCUCCUCUUCUUCGGGAGGUUUGCCAACUGACGUUGGUGGCCCGUGUCCUGGGGGUGGCUUGUGUUUUGGGGGUGGUUUCACUCCACCGGGAGGUUUACCAAUUGGUGUUGGUGGUUUGUGCUCAAUCGGUGGCCUCUCAACUGGGGGGCGCUUGGGGUAAUCAGCGAGUGAAGAAGUGGUGAGAACCACCACUCCAAGCAACAACACUAGCAAGUAUGUGGAAGACAUCUUUGAGUUUGGCUCAGAUGGUGUAGAACUAGAAUCCUGGGUGGCCUUUUAUAUUAGUUGGGCCCUAUGCCCGAACGACAAGUGUCAUGGUGACACAUAAAGUGAUGGGGUCGAUUUGGGCCUACCGGAUUUGAAAACUUGGACAAUUCGAGAAGCGUCUCCUGACUCCGGGUUGUAAAGUGAAAGAUUAGGUAUCGACCAUUGAAGUAUGAUCACAACUUUUGGCCUUUGGCUCUCUCUACUGCCGUAUAGCUUUUUUCCUUUGGAUAUUUUUCUUAGCUAGACACAAUUAUUGAGCAGUCUAAUCUCGAAAUGGGAUUAGUAUAGCUUUAAGCAAAUUUAUUAUAGUUAGUGGAGGACUUUUAAGAGUGCAGACGACAUUUAACACAUGCAUGCAGUAGUAUAGGGGACAUAACACUAUUCUUUUUCCAAAGAUUCACAUGAUUUUUAUAUUAUAGUAUUGGCACAUUGUAUGUAGCUGGUUUUGUGGUUAAAAUUCCAUAUGUAGACACUGGCGUUUCUCCAUUUCUCACAAUUGAUGUUUACCUCCACGAUUACUAGAUUAGAUAUACCAAACAAUAACACAUUGUAUAAUCUAUCCGCCCUUCAAAAUCUACUGUAUGAUGAAAUGUUUCAUGUGUGUGUGAAGUGUUAGAAAUGCACUAUAGGCAACAUCAUCUUCUUUUGUCUAGGCUUGGGCCUCAAAUUAUACUCCCAUGCCAUGAUAAAUUUUCAUGUGCAUUCUCUAAAGAAGAGUGUCUUGAAUGUGCCAAAUCAUUUUGAUUGAUUUUAUGAUGUUAAUUGCUCCGCAUAUGGAUGGGUAUGUGCUUUAUUUGCUUAUUCAAUCCACAAUUACCUUGAACUGAAGUCCUAUUGGAGCUCUAUUAUUUUAGCAACGUCCUGUCAAAUAGGCUGCUAACUUGGGGUGGUAUGGACCCAAUGAUCCAUCUUAAUCUUGGGUUGAUUUUGUCUGACUCUAUCUAUCUCAGAGAGAACCAGGAUCACCAGUGCUGGUCUGCUUAAAGAAGACUCAGUACUGGAUUAAUAUUGGUUUGGGUCAAUAGCUUAUAAUGCAUUGAAUGCAGAAUAAACAAGAUCAAUGAAACCCAAAACACACUGCCCACACAACUUCACUCUGGUGUCUGUUAUUCAUCAAUUCUAUUCCCACAUGAACUGGUUCAAGUUUAAGAAAAUGACAACGGAUCCACUGUAUUAACUUGGUUUUGCUUGGUUUUGAGCUAGUUGCCAAACCAGCCAUGAGUUUUACCUCUAAUGUCAAUGAACAAACCCCAAAUGAACAACUGCAACAGCUUAAAGAGAAGGAAUGGAGAUGAAAAUCCCUGUUUCUUCUCAUUCUGGGGACAAAUUAGAACAUAACUACAAAGGUUCUAUUAAUUGACUUACUCUACCAUGAAUUAUGGUUCUUUGGUUUUCCAAAUUUAAAUUGUACAUGAGAUUAUUUUUUUCCUUUAUAUAUAAACAUAUUAAGGUUUUCUUAUUUCGUGGGCAAAUGCGCUAAGGAUGAAAGUCAUUUCAUUUGGCUGCAACAGCAUCUUAUAAUCAACAUGCAUAAGCAGCAGUUUUAAUUGAUCGAUUGAACACCGACUCACAAGAAUAGAUAGAAUGGUACAAGACAGCUCUUAUUAAUUUAUACUCGUUACUCAUUUUAUGUAGCCCCAUUAAGAUGGCUGGCUGGACCACCGAGGUCUGGGGGUGGUGUUGCUUGUGUGAUGCAGCGGGCCGGGCAGACACUUCUCUAGUUGCUUCUAUUUGGAGUUAGAGGAUCAGUCUCUGCCAACCUUGAGGACUCUCUACCUCAGAGGGUCCAGGUGGUGGACUCUGGUGUCGGUAGCUUUGAACUCUCAGUAGACUAGUGUGUCUUAAUCAGUCACUGCCAGAGGCUGGCGUAGGCAGUGACGAUAAGGUGAGACAAAUUACCGAAUAGUCAAUAUCGACUGCACUUGACCAUUAUAGAUUUGUUCUGACAAAAGUGAGAAAAGGGAGAAAAUCGGAUGUUGACCUUUAUAGAAAAAGAUAAGAUUUACUGCAACACAGAGCACUGAUUUGUUACUUGGAAACCAAGUUAUGCUAUUAGCUAGCCUCCAUUAGCAGCAGGGUACCUUGCUGCCUGAUCCUAAUCUGAGUUCCCAAGGUUUCAAUCUUCGUUUGUUAACGCUUCAGGAUUUGGAUAUUUCAGCUUCGUUUCUCCAUUUAGCCAACGCUGCCUGGUUUGGAUUUCAAUCCUCAUCUGGAACAUUCUUUUUUCGGUCUGAUUCAGGAAGUGUUUGGUGAUAGUUGAUUAAAAUUAAACAGUACUAUCAUACAAAUAAAGCUGAUCUAAUUUUGGUGGGCAAUAUACCAACUCAUUUAUUCUUGAAAACACCAUGGGGAAUUGGAGGUCCAUCCGAAGUACUAUUUGAUGGGACUCACAAAAAGAACAGGUGCACAUUUAUGAGAUCCGUGGAAGAGAUAACUAUGACAGCUAUGCAUGUACAACAGAUUUAUGUCGAGUUCACCUCGUAGAUAUUUUGUUUUCAGUGUCGGUGGACCCCAAAAUGGAAAUCGGAAAUUAAGGUUAUAUUUAUUUUUUUAUUUAAUUUUAAAUAGAAUUUUAAUUUUUAAUAAUAUUAAGUAUUAAAUUAUUUUUUUAAGGGUAUUUUAUUUUUAUUAAGUAUUAAAAAGUAAAAAAAAUUAAUAUGUUGCUUUUUUAUUUUAAAAAAAUUAUAUAUUUUAAUUUUUUCUAUUUACUAAAAAGUUUAUAAUAAAUUAUAAAAAAAUAAAAAAAUAAAAAACUUAAAUUCUGAAAAUAAAUUAUUUUUAAUAAAAAAAUCCAAAAAAGCAAACACCACCUAAAUUUGAGAUGACUCAAAAUUUUAUAUUUUUUUUCACCUAAAUUAUAUUCAUAAAUUUAAAAUUAAAAAAUUAGGAAGUUGAAUUUUAUUUUGGAUAAUUGGAAACUACAAGAAAUCAAUAAAAAUAUUUGGAAAAAAAAGAAAAAGAAAAACUAUCUAUAUAUUCACCCCCUUCUAAGAAACAUAACUUUAGUUUUUAACUAUUUUUUAAAAUAAUUUUUGAAAAAUGUUAUAUAAUAUUUUAUAAAACAAAAAAUCUGUUUGACAAUUUGAUAUGUCUUUAACUUAUUUUUAAUAUUUAUAUAUAUAUAUUUUAAAAAUAAUUUUAUAUUUAGAACUUUAUCUUUAAUUAUUAUAUAUAUUUAUAUAAUUAUUUUUUUUAAAACAACUCUUAAAAAAUAAGUGAAAGUAAUUGAAAACAACUCAAAGAUAUUUGAUGAAAACACUCUAAUUUGUAUUUUUGAGAAUAAAAAAAUAAAUAAAUAAAUUUCUAGUUAUCAAAUGUAUUUUUUAAUUCUUUUAUUCUAAAAAAUAGAAAAUCGUUUUUGAAAAUAAUUAUUAAACAACAUUCUUAAAAAUUCACUCGUUACAAUCUAGAUUUAAUGCAAGAAUGAUUGAAGGAGUCCUCCAAUAGAACCCAAAGUUAUAAACAUGAACAAGAAGCCCUAGAAACACCAAAGAUCUCAUAUGGUAUAUAUAUGAGCUUGAUUGAGAACUGUUUUAAAUUCAGUUUUUUUUUUUUUUUUUUUUUUUUGUUUUCAAAGUCAAAACAAGUUUACUUUUAAUUUUUACUUCUUUUUUUUAAUUUUAUAAAUAACAGUUUUUUAAUAAUUUAUUUUGAAAACAUGAUUAUUUUUAAAACUUAUAAUGAAAAUAGGAAUUUUUUUUUUAAUAUCAUGGUUAUUUUCCCUUCUUUUAAGGAGGGCUAUUUUAAAAAUAAAUUUACAAAUAUGAAAAAUGAUUCAAACUAAAGCAGUACAAAUAAAAAACAUUUUUAAGAAAUAUUUAAAAAUAGAGAAAAUUAUUUGAGAACAUUUGAAGUCCUUAAAUAGACUUUUGUUUUAGAAAAGGCAAGAUAAUUAUUUUUGAAAAUUGUUUUCAUAAUGAUAUGCAAAAACCUACGUAAAAACCAUAAUUAUAAUCGGCCACAUAUCAAAUCUACUAAAUAUGAAAAGUAAGUACAUAAUUAUAUUUGACUUAGAUGCAAGGAGGAAAAUGUCGCGAUAUUAUCGCCGAAAUAUCGUGUGUCGAAGGGUAUCGACACGAUUUUUCUUGCAGAAAUAUCGGCCAGUCGAUUUUUCGGGAUAAAUCUCGAGAAAUCGGCAAUUUAUCGCGAUAUAUCGGCGAUUUUUCCUCGAUAUAUCUUCUGGUCAACGCGGGUCAACGGAGUCAACACGCUACAGUGAAAGUCAAAUGUGCUACAAUGUCCCCGCUACAAUCACCUCCCCAAACAAAUUGCCAAAUUGCUUCCGAGGGGAUUUGAACCAGCCUUCUUGCCAUUUGGGCUAACUCGCCCUUAUGAUAUAUAUUGCAUUAAACAUAUAUAUACUUAAAGUCCUUAUAUAAAGAAAAUGUUAAAAAAAUAUUUUAAAGAGCAAAUUAAUUAUAAUUAUUUUAUAAUUAAAAGCAAAAUUUUCUUUUAAUUAAUUACCAAAAAUAUAAAAAUUAUAUAAUUUUCUUCAUAAUGUUUUUAAUAUCAUUAAUAAUUAAUUAAAUAUUAAAAAAUUAUAUAUAUAUAUAUAUAUAUAUAUAUAUAUAUUAUAAUUUAUUUUAUAUUGUUUAAUACAAUUGAAUUAAAUGGAUCAUAUUUUAAUAUUAAUAUAUAUUUUAAAAUUAGACAUAUUGUAAUCAAAUAUCAUAAUAUUAUAUGUAAUUUAAUAAUAAAUGUACACUUAUAAAAUUCAUAUUUUUAUCGAUGCAUACAAUAUUAUUAUCAAAUAUGAUAAAUCAUGUUAUACAUAUAUCAAAAUUUUCAAUAAAAUAACUUUAAAAUGUCUAUUAUACUUCUAAUUAUAUUAUUAUGAGGUUUUCUUUACAUUUUCAUGAGUUUUAAACAAUUUUAAGCACCAAUAUUUUUUUCCAAAAUAUCCACCGAUAUAUCUCCGAUAUAUCCAAUAUAUCUCCGAUAUCUCCGAUAUAUCCGUAAAAUCGAAGUACCGAUAUAUCCGUGAUUACCGAUAUUUUCAUCAUUGCUUAGAUGCAACCUUCUUCCAAAUGACAUACUUUAGUCAAUACUUAUAUUUUUUCGUUUCACUUCUUUGAUACAACACCUCAUGGAUUUAUUGUUUAAUUUAUUUGUAAUUAUAAAACUAUUUUUCAUUUUUAAUAAGACUUGAAUUAAUUUAAUAAAUAUUAUAUAAUUUGAAUUUAUAAUUCUUUUUAUAAAAUCAAAGUAUAUUAAAAAAAAAACAAUUUAUCCGAAGAAAGUUUUUUAUUUUUUAUUUUUUAAAACCGAUUUUAAAAAUAACUAGCUAGACACCCUUAUUUUGAUAAAAUACGAAAUAAAAGUGUAAAAACAACAUGGCCAAAUAGGGGCUUAAAUUUUAUUUUUAAAACAUUUUUUUACACUAAAGUGCAUUUUAAAAACACCAUCAAAACCAACUACAAGUUAUGCUUCUUCCCGUAAUAGAAAUAUUUUAGGCCAAAAUAGAACCUCCCCAAAUAAAGACCCUAUACUAAACUCCUUUUCAUUUUAUUAAUACAAAAGUGGGGAAAAAAGGUCUAUGCUCACCUAAAAAACAUGAAUAUUGUGAAUUCACCAUUUCUAUAAGGAAGUUGAAAACUUCAAAAUUUUAUCAACAAAUUCUCUAAAAUCCUCAAAAUAUAUAGGGCCUGUUUCACAAAGUUUUUUAAAAUUUGUUUUUAUAAAUUGCUUUUAAAAUAUAGAAUAAAUAACAGUUUUUUAGAUUUUUUGAAAAAUAAGAGUGUUUGGUAAGAUGUUUUUUUUUUUUUUUUUUUUUUUAAGAAUUAAAUAAAAAAUAAAAAAAUUGUUUAGAUAAAAGAAUUUGUAUUGUUUUUAAAAACAAUGUCUUACUUUUAUGUUAUAAAAAUUUUAUUAAUUUAAUUUAUAAUAAUAUGAAAUGAAAUUCAAGUUAAGUCUUAUUAAAAAAUACAAAUUAAAUCUAUAAUUAUGCAUGAGUUAAAGAUAAAUAUAUAUUUUUUAAAACUAUAAAAUAAAUUUUCUAUUAUAGUGAAACAAAAAUUACUAUAAAAUAAAAAUAAUUUUAAUAUUCAUUUUUAAUACAAGUCAAAUAAGUACUUUAAUUAAUUUUUUUUAUCAUGAUUUCUUAUGUUUUUUUUUUUUUCUAGAAAUUAUUUUAAGUAAUAUAACUAAUUUUUUUUUUAAUGUUUUAUAAAAAUAAGGAUAUUUGGCAAGUUGUUUUUAUAAAAGGAUUUUAAAAAUAAAUGGAUUUUUUUUUUUUUUAAAAAAAGAACAAAAUGAUUUGUUUGAAUAAAUUGUUUUGAUUUUGUAAAAACAUUUUAAAUUCAAUUUAUAUAAUAUUAAUUAAUUAAAUUAAAUUGAAGUUUUAUUGAAAAUAAAAAUAAUUUUGUAAUUAAAAUUAGAUUAAAAAAUAUAUAGGUUUUAAUAAAUCGUAAAUAGUAAUAUUAUAAUAAAAUUAUAAAUUAUAUUUUUAACAUAAAAUAUACUAUUUAUUACAUAUUAAAAAAAAUAUUUUAUUAUAUUAAUAAUUUUAUGGUAUUAAUGAGUUUAUUAUUUAAGUUUUAAAUUAUUUUUAAAAAUUAAUAAAUUUGUUAACAAAUGCAAUGUACUAAAUGUGGUUUAAUUUGGAGUUAAUUUGUUUAGGGAAAAAAAUAAAAAAUAAAAAUCUUAUGUAAAAGAGAAAUAAUAGAGUGUGUGUGUUUUUUUUUAUUAUUUUUAAAAAUCAGUAAAAAGAACUUUUACUUAUUGCCUAAAAAUUAUUCUCUAUUUUAUUUUAUUUUUUAAAUCUAGAAAUAGAUAACAAUAAUAAAAAAAAUUAAAAAAGAAAAAUGUUUUUUAAAACUCAGACUUAUAAUUGCUUUUGUUUCUCAUUCGCACCCCUGGAUUCCUGGAUUCUAAACACAAAAUUAAGUUGAAUCGUCCAUCUAUCUUGUAAGCCAAGAAUUCACAUAGAAGAAAUAAUCGGAAUUUGAUUUGAUAUCAGAUUUAGAGUGGCUCACUACUCAUGCAUUGUCCCACAAUAGUAAUGCUUUGGGCCGAGAUAAACCCAUUUGUGGGCCCAAAUAAAACCCCUGGUUUGAAAACAUCGAUUUUACAGUGGCCCAAAAGAUUAUCUAUGAGGGGAAGAUAACUUGGAAGUCAAGCAAACACAUUUAUCGCUAACUUUUCUCUAAUUAUAAAAUUAUAACUUGGUCUUCUACACGUCUCACUUAAGAGGCGGAGCCACUUGGCACUACCUUUCCAUAUUGUAAAAGGAGAAGAAGCAGAAGGAGAAGAUUCUUAUGCCAUUCCACACACCAUGGCUAGUACUGCUAUGCUGCUUGGCCCGCCGGCUCUCCGCCAUCCUAAUUCUCCCGCCGGCACUGUCUUUGAAGAUGGGGUCAUUCUAACGGAUUCCCUGAUCGUCCGCACCAGUAAUCUGGAGCUUUCUGAAAAACCGCCACUGGAAUCCCUGGCGUAGUGCUCUGUCAGUGGGGAUAUUGCUAUGGAUUGUUUGGAUUCCCAAGCCCACAAUCUUCAUCUUCCCGGGAAACCGCCGAUGGGCUUAACGGAAAACAAGUCUCCGACCUUUUUGUCUUCCGGGAACCCGUGCUUGGACUUCUUCUUCCAUGUGGUUCCCGAUACGUCGUCUGAUGAUCUGAUCCGACGGUUUGAGUUGGCUUGGGAAUUCAAUCCGCUGACGACGUUAAAACUGAUAUGCAACUUGAGAGAGGUGAGAGGCACCGGAAAAUCUGACAAAGAGGGUUUCUACACGGCGGUUCUCUGGCUCCACGACCACCAUCCCAAAACCCUAGCCUGCAAUGCUAGGGUGUUGGCCAGCUUCGGUUAUUUCAAGGAUUUUCUCGAGAUUCUCUACCGGCUUCUGGAGGGCCCUAAAAUUCGAAGAAUCGAAAAGAAAGACUGGCUGGAUCGAAAAGGAAGGAAGAAAAAUUCCCGGAAAAGGAACUCAAUAUUCAAGCGAGAAAAUAGGCCUGGAGUUGAAUUUCCUGUAGAAGAGAAGGAUGUGGAGUAUAUGGUGGAAGAAUUUGUGGAUAAAGAAAAGGCUAGGGUACUGAGAAAGGAGAGAGAACUUGCUCUUGCCAAAAGAGCCCUGCACAAGUAUUCUACUGAUUCUAAUUAUCAGUUCUUACAUGAUCAGAUUUCAGAUUUAUUUGCUGAACUUCUGAAAUCUGAUAUUCAGUAUUUAAACUCCGGUGAGCUUUACAAGAUUAGUCUCGCAUCCAAAUGGUGUCCCACAAUUGAUUCUUCUUAUGAUAAAUCCACCUUGAUAUGUGAAAAUAUUGCUCGAAAGGUUUAUUCUCGCGAGGAAUAUAUAUCCAGAAUACCAAGGAAUUGAGGAGGCUCACUAUGUUAAUAGAGUCAGGGAUAGGUUGAGAAAACAAGUACUUGUUCCAUUACGUAAGGCCCUGGAGUUGCCAGAGGUUUUCAUGUGUUCGAACCAGUGGGGAUCACUUCCCUACAACCGUGUGGCUUCAGUGGCCAUGAAAUCAUACAAGAGCCUCUUCUCAAAACAUGAUACAGAGCGGUUUGGUGUGUAUCUUGAGAAAGUGCAAACUGGGAAGGCUAAGAUUGCAGCUGGUGCAUUACUUCCCCAUGAGAUUAUAGCUUCAUUGAAUGAGGAGGAUGGCGAGAAAGUUGCAGAGCUUCAGUGGGCGAGAAUGGUGGAAGAUUUAUCAAAGAAUGGGAGGCUCACAAAUUGCAGUGCGGUAUGUGACGUAUCAGGAAGUAUGAGUGGAACUCCAAUGAAGGUGUGUGUGGCUCUGGGGCUGUUAGUUUCAGAGCUCAGUGAAGAUCCAUGGAAAGGUAAUGUAAUUACUUUCAGUGCAAGUCCUGAGCUUCACAAGAUCCAAGGAGACAGCCUUGUAUCCAAGACUGAAUUUGUGAGGAUGAUGGAAUGGGGUGCGAACACUGAUUUUCAGAAAGUUUUUGACAGAAUCUUACAAGUAGCAGUGGAGGGAAAUCUGAGUGAAGAUCAAAUGAUAAAGAGGGUUUUCGUUUUCACUGAUAUGGAGUUUGAUGAAGCUUGUGGGAGGUAUAACUAUUGUGAAUAUGACUAUGAUAUGGAGGAAAUUGAUGAGAGUCAGAAGGCAUCUCAGAAGUGGGAGACAGAUUAUGAAGUGAUACAGCGGAAAUUCCAGGACAAAGGAUAUGGAAAAGUUCCGGAGAUAGUGUUUUGGAACCUUAGAAACUCAUCAGAGACUCCAGUGAUGGCCACAGAGAACGGGGUGGCCUUAGUAAGCGGGUUUUCGAAGAAUCUGUUAGACCUUGUUUUUGGAAGGAGGUGGAAUUCUGACCCCUCAGGAUGUGAUGGAAUUAGCCAUCUCUGGUGAAGAUUACAAGAAACUUGUUCUAUUUGAUUAAGAUAUCAAGAGAUUUAUCAAUAAUAAUAUGUUUUUUUUUUUCUAUGUGAAAUACAUGUAAUAUUAACUAUGGAGUUAUCAAAGUUCUGGAAAUUUAAUUAUUUCUUCUUUUCAAGUUUUGUUUGUCUUUGUUAGGAAUUCCCCUUGGGCGGACCCAGCUGGGGACUUGGAUUGAGGAAGUAAGGAGGCGAAAUUGUGUUCUUCUAUGGACAGAGAAAAAAGAUAAAAAUAAAAAAUAAAAAAGGAGGUUAUUUGCAUUUGGAUGUCAUGUGGUUUCAGGGUACAACUACAAGUUCGAAAUUGUACAUAAUGUGAAAAUUCCUGUGUGGAGAACAGCAUAAAUAUGUAUCUCAGUGUGUUUUGUUUGAGCUAAUUGGCAAAUUCGCUUUAAACAUGGUCACAUGGAUGCAUAUUUAUUUGUGAAAUGAUAGUAGUCGAUUACUUGGUCAGUAAGGUUUGUAUCUCUAACUCCAACAUCUUAUUGUAGUCUUUUAAAAUGUCAAAAGUUUAAUGCUAGCUUGAGAAAUUUUGGAAUGGAGACAUUCUAAACAAAGUUAAUAAUCCAUGAGACUUGGUAAAACCGAUCAGAUGAUGCUUACGUACAUGAAUGCCUUCUUUAAGCCGUAUCCUAUUUUCAUUGAAUGAGACGUGCCAUCUAGUUUUGUUCUUGUCUUGAUUGGAUCAUGAUCCCGGGAAUUGAUUACUGUUCUGAAUUUGCGAAUGUUCAAGGUAUUAGAGAAAGUUAAUAUUAUCGUUAAUUUACAUAUUAGUAUUUAUCUAGUUAUUAUAUAUUAGUUUGAAUUAUAAUAUAAUAUAGAAUUUGAAUCAAGUUUACUAUUAGUUUGAAUUACAAUAGGAAAUAAAGUUUGAAUUAUAGUAUAACUCAAAUAUAUUUGUAUAUAAAUAUCCAUCUUUAUCAAUGAGAAUAGUAAACCAUAUUUUUCUCUAUCUUCUUCUUUCUCUAUAUAUAUGGUAUCAAAGCCUCCAAAUCCUAAACCUAGUCUCAACUUAGAGCAAAUUUAGGGUGCAGGGUUUAGGCCCCGCCUCCCCCAACCCUUACCACAAAUGGUAGUGACCUUGUUAUGCCUAUGUAUUGUCAAUGCCUCAUUUUCUAUGGUCUUCAAUACAAUAUCUAGUUUCAAUGUCUCUUUCCUUACUAUCUCCAAUGCAAUAUAUUGAUUUCAAUAUCUCUUUACAACCAAGAGCUCCAAAUUUUCCUGGUUCAAAUCUACCAUAAUUUUUAUUCUCCUUUGCUUUUUACCAAUAUUAGUUCCCCUAAUUUAAUAUAUAUCUCUUUAUUACCUUCAACUCUACCUCUCUCUUUCUUUAAAAGCUUCCUCAAAGAUUUGAUUGCUUUCUUGCAUGUUUUGGGAAAACAAACAUGCUCAUAUUCUAUUACCUCUACUUGAGAUCUGCCUUAUACUCUACCUUCUUCUUUACCUCCUAUAUCAUCUACUACAUUAGCUUCAAAAACAUUAUUUAGUUUGAUGCUAAAUAAGGCUCCUAAUCCUACCCUUCCUUCAACUAACUUUCUUUUACAAGUCCCUCAAAGUUUUUUUUUUUUUUUUUUUGGAAAUUUGGCUUAGAAAGAUUUCAUUACUCUUACCUAAUCUUUCAACCAUCAAGUCGAAUCCACUUAUCUCUUGAAUCCAAGGAGACUACCCUCCACAAAAACAAGGAGAUUGACCCCCACAAUAACAAAGAGAUUGUCCUCCAUAGAAACAAAGAGAGCUUCCUUCAUGGAAGCCGAAUACAUCGCAAUCUAUUUUCUUUCUCUCAAGAUCAAAUCUCCAAUCGGAGCUCCAUCUUGUGGGGAUAUAUUAGAAAAAGUUAAUAUUAUCCUUAAUUUACAUAUUAGUAUUUAUCUAUAUUAUAUAUUGAAUUAGAAUAGAAUAUAGAAUUUGAAUUAAGUUUACUAUUAGUUUAAAUUACAAUAGGAAAUAGAGUUUGAAUUAUAGUAGAACUCAAAUAUAUUUAUAUAUAAAUAUCCAUCAUUAUCAAUGAGAAUAGUAUUCCAUAUUUUUCUCUUUCCCUGAGGCUUCAGAAUGUGAUCUUGAACAUUUGAUCUUUUGGAUUCUUCUUGUUUCGGUGGUUUAAUAUAAUGGAAUGUUUAAUUAUAGCCUACUUUAUCACCAUGGAUGUGCUCCUGCAGAUUUCUUGAGGGUGAUGGUUAUUUUGUCAUGUUUCUUGAAUGGUUUGCAUCAGCUGCCUGAGCUGUUGUUGCUGGUCACUUUUGCAACCAGGGAAAGAAUCAUGGCUUUGGAGAAGCCAGCUUCUGUUUUUGUUGCCCAGCUGUUAGUUCACUAAGAUUGGGGGUCCUAACAUGUAUGUAUAAUCAUAAGCAAGGAAAUUUUAUGUCUUACGCUAGAUAGGUACCAUGAUAUGAUGUUUGAUUGAUUUAUUAACUCUACCUGUUUCAAAAGGCAUCAACAUUAAUUUUACCCUUUUAACACAUUGGAUUGUUUGACCUUACGAGAUUUUCUAUUUCUGUACUAUUUGAACUGCAAUCGUUAUGGUCCUUAGGUCUCUAAACCUUCGUUUAAAAUAAAAGUAAGGAGCACACAUAGUAAAAGUUAAUUUUGGGUAACUUUUAAAACAAAGAGAAAAGUAAAAGUUGUUUUUGAGAAAAACAUAUAGAAAUUGAAAGAUUUUUUAUUUUGAGAAAAAAAAGUCAUAGAAAAGAAAUAAUAUCCCCAUAUAAGUAGAUAUGAUCUAUCCGAAGUGUAGCUACUCUCCUGGAUUUAUUCUAACAUUUUAAAAUUUUUCUCAAUGGGCAAAGGAAUAUCAAAUCAAGCUUGAGUAGGAUUAAUUUCUUAAUUUUUAAAAUAACUUAUAAUUAAAAUUUUUUGGUGUUUUCUUUUUUGGACAAUUUUUUAUGAAGACUCUGAAUCAUGCAAGAGAUAUGGUUAUUUUAAAAAAAAAAAUAAUUUAAAACUCAAAUACAUAAUCAAUGUCACAAAUUUAUAAACAAAAGGUUUUUAAAAAAUACUAUUAUUUCCCCUCUACACAUAAUUUUACUUUUCCGAUUUAUUUAUUUUUGUUGGAAAACAGUCUUCAAAUCAAGUAAAAUUAAUAUGUUAAAUUUGUUAAACAAAUAAAUUUUAAAAUACAAUUUGGAACUCAAAAAUCAAUUCAAGUAAUGCUAAAAUUCAAAAAAUCAAAUUUGGAAUAAAAUGACUUUGUAAAUUUUUUUACUAAACAAAUGAAUUUUAAAUCAAGUGAGAUUUAAUACAUUGGAUUUUUAUGAGAAUAGUAAUUUUAAAAAUUAAUUUGGAACUCAAAAAUAGACACAAUAAAUACCAAAAAUCAAUGAACCAAAAUUGGUUUGGAAUAACUCCAUAAUUUUUUAUUUAUUUAUAUAUUUAUUUUUUUGUGCACACGAAUUUCUUACUAAGCAUAUUGCUUCCAAAUUGAGAAAAAUUUACUAUUUAGAUUUUUUUAAUGAGUUUAAUGGUAUUUAAAAAUAAUUCAAAAAUUCGAAAAUUGACUAAUUUAAUAUUAUAAAUUCAUAAACCAAGACUAAUUCAAAAUGCAUUGGGGGCUAAGGGGGUUGAAAUUAAUGCUCCAUUUGGUUGUGGCCACCAAUUGGCAAUGGCCACCAAUCAACCAAUCAAGGUGGCUAAGGGGGUUGAAAAUAGGGACAAUGGGGUGGGUUUGGGACAGGACACUCAUAUCCCAUUCCCAUCCCAAUUACACAGUUAUUUCCCAUCCUUAUUCCAAACUUGUGUUGGGGCAAGUUGAUUUGUUCCCAUCUUUGUUAACGAAAUGACUAAUAACCUCAUCCUCUCCUUGUCUUAGAUGUACAUUUUCUCAAAUUUGGUCAGGUAUGAUUGAUUCAAGCCCUAACCUUAAUUGGUAAUGAGUGGAUACCACACCUAAUUGCAUUCUUCUUUCGUUGCAAAAUAAUGAGAUUAUAAUAAUCUAGCAAAUAAGAAAAAAUAGUAUGGAAGUUCAAAUUAACACCAUAACUAUCAAUAAUUUUAAGCUUAUAGAUGACUUAAAUGAUUGAAAACUAAUGCAAAAUACUAAAAAAAAAAAAAAUCAUCUAAAGAAUUCACAAGAGAAUAGAACGAACAAAACCAAAUAGGAACAUGGGUCAACAUUAGUUACAGAUUUUGAUCCCUUUCAAGGCCAAUCUUUGAACCAAGACUUCAUCAAAUCUACUACUUCAAAGGCUUUUGUGUUCUUCUUGAGUUGUACUCUGGAACAAAGACUUCGAGGUGAUGCUUUAGAUGAUUGCAUUACACAUAUUUAGGGUAGGGAGAUUGGAGAAGCUUGAAGAUGCCAACGAUGGGUACAAUUGAGUGGUCAAUAAGAACAAUGUGGCCUAUGACUAGUUUGAUGUCAUGGUAUAGGAGUUUUGGGCAUUGAGGUGAAAGCAAGAGCAACAUGGAAUUGAUUUCAAAGUCUUUCAAUUAGUGUAAAGGAGGAAGAAGAAGUGGUAUUGAUCCUAGAAAUAGUGUUUUAGGUGUUGCAUUAGAGGAAAAGAAAAAGAAAAAGAAGGAACCAUUGGAAUUAGUACGAGUGUGAAGAGAGAAGUGUAUACAUAAGGGGAAGUAAAAGCAAAGUUCUAAAAAUUUAUUUUUUUAUUGGUGGUGUAUGGUUGCAUGAUUAUCCCUAUAAAUAAUAGGAGUUUUUUGGUGUUCUACUAGUAGUUGAAGGAUAAUUUCAUAAGAUAAUAUUUAGAGCGGGGUGGGGUGAGUUGUGACAAAAUCCAUACCCGUCCCAAACAUUGGUUCAGGUUUUUAAAAUAUUUUCAAACUUAUCAUAUACCCAAUUUUAUAUUUCAUACUUGUCCUAAUAGAGACAGGUUAGUCAGGGUUACUUGAGUAGCCUACAAAACUAUCAUCCCUAGUUGAAAUGCUCUUUUUGGCAGUGGCAGCUAGAAGCUCGAUCGAUUGACCUACAAGACUAGUUGUCAUCAUUUUAAAAAGAGUUUUGGCUUUGGUUGUGAGUGCAAUUGAAUCUAAACUAACAUUUCCUUAAUGCAUCUACUUCAAUCCUAAACUUCUUACUUAAGCCUCAAUUGUUGUUAAGAUUUUGGAAAACCCAUUUCCUUAAAUUGUAAAUUUAAGAAAAAAAAAAUUAAAAGUGAGACAUUUCUUGAUUGAAUGUUGUUAAAGGUCCCUUGGAAUUAAGACUUGGUUGAAGCCUUGGAAGAUUAGCAGAACUCUCAACUUAUGUUUGAACCUUGAGGAGAGUGGACGUAGGCCAAAAUUUUGUCAAACCAUUAUACAAAUUGAGUUUGAAUUCUCAUUUCUUGAUUUCUUAUUUAUUUGCUUUUUCUUAUUAUUACUUGAAUUGUCAUUUGCAUUCAUUAAUGUUAAAAUUGGUUAUAAUUAGCCAACACUAAUUCUCUUUCCCCUUCCCUUAAUUUCUUGGGUGUAAACCUAGGUUGGAUUAACUAGAUUUUAUCAAAUCUAUUAAGAUGGUAAAAGAAUAAUUAUUCUUAACAUACAUAAGAUCAUCUUCAAUCAAAUGACUCAUUGGCUGAUAUGUUGAAUUUGCUUAUUACUUGCAACUCAAAAUUGUGUUCUAGUUGAUAUGUCAAGUCCUGAGUGUAUGGACAUUAAAUUUGUAGUACGUGAUGAGUAUUUAGAUGGUCCAAUUCCAAGAAAGUGAUUGAAAACUAGUUCAAGAAAGGUGCAAAAGGGAAUUGUUUUGGUAUUUUCGUUUUUAUUCUUGAAGGUGGCAGAGCUAAAAUUUGAGAAAUCAAGCAAAACAUACUGAAAUUACAUUGAAAGAAAGAAAAUGGGAGUUAAUGUCUUGCAGUACAUGAUAAGGACUUCAUGCAUGUAGUGUGACCCAUGUCUUGGACUGAUGCCACACUCACGGUUACACUUAUACCCUUAGUUCUCUCUUUACUACCUUAGCUAACCUAGAUCAGGUUAUGAGAUAGGCACCUCACCACACCAUUACUUGCCCAUUAAUUAGUGACAUUUUCAAGCAAUGAGGUAACAUGGUGACACCAAGAGGGUAUAUUCCUCACCCCCAACAAGCCUAGACCUGGUCUAAAAAAAAUGGAGAAAAAUGACGUGUUGUUAUGCAGAAAUAUAGCAACCAUGCCUUCCUCAUUACUUAGAUUCAGAAUGUGAAGGUGAAAUUGAGAAACAGAAACUCUUGAAACCAAAAUGAAAAUUGAUACUUUUACGAAGAAUUACAACAACAUUAGAGGAAGACUACAUUCUUCCUCUUUAUUCCUACAUUUCUACACUACUUCUACUCCACUCCAUAUUUCUACAUACAUCUUUAAUCAGUCUUCCCUCCUUUAUAUAGAGCCAUCUUCACACAAAUUCCGCAAGGUAGAAAAGAGGAAUGAAACUUGGAGCAAGGUUCGACUACUGGCUGUAGCUUGUCAAGGCUGAAAGUGAACUUUUUUUCUUGGCUUUUCUGGGCAUAGGUAGUAACUUGUAGGUUCCUUUUUGGAAUGAAAAUGGUACGGCUAGAACAUGUGGCACUCUCUUGUUGGAUGAUGUGUCAAGCAUGUGGCAGCCAUCUAGUGGAGAUUAUGUCAAUUUUGGGAUGGAGAGUUGGCAUCCAAUUGCAAAGAAAUAUGACAUCUACCAACAUGCAAUGUCAACCUAUGUAGAUCAUAUGAAGAUAGAGAGGAAAAAUAUAGAAAUGGAUAUAUAACUAGAACUAGCUUUUUAUUAAAUGAGACGGAGAGCCAACAAUGAAGGAAAAUCAAAAUUUUUGGCUCAUAUCAAAGAAUUCACAUUGUGUUACCCUAGGUUUUCUUAAAACUUACUUUUAUGAUAAUAAAAAAUCAUUAUUGUUUAAUCCUUUGUUUUAAACGCAUGUUUAGCAGGUUGUAAAAUGUAAAUAUCUUUCGAAAUUCAAAUAUGAAGAUAUGACAUCAUUUCAAGCAAUAUAGUCUCUAGGAAUUAAUGUAAAGCUAAAUUAAGGUGCAAUUAAGUUAGUUCAAUGCAUUAUUUUAAGAAACUUGACCUAUCAAAACCUUGUCUUACUUCAAAGCCUCUUUUUCUUUUCUUCCAACUAACAUUUUAAUAAGUGAUCGCAAAAGUACAAAAUUAGAUGAAAUCCAUUUCAAUGGUUAAAAUGAUCAAAUUCAAACUUUUUCUAAGUAUCUUUUAAAAGCAUCAAUAUUGAAAGACAAUUUUAUAUUUAGUCAAAGCUUGGACAGAGCCAAAAAGCACACAAAAAUUUAUAUUUUCUAGCUCUCUACCUUGGAUGGUCUCUUGAUCCUACUUGGAGAUGUGCAUAAAUAAAAGGAUUUGAAAAUGACAAUUGACUAAGUAUGUAGUCAAUCAAUUACUCAUUGAUUGACUAGUUGAUCAAUUAACUUUGCAACAUCAUAUGCAAUCCUAAUAGCUAGUCAUCUAAUCAACUAGGUAGUAAAUCAAUAGGCCAAAAAUAUGUUUAUAAUGACUAUUUUGUACAAAAACCACUUAUAUAGUUAAAUAUAAUGCAUUUCAUUUAUAAAUCUUCUAAUUCUUGAAUAACAAUCCUAUCAUCCUUUGAAAGUUUUUAUUACACCUUUUCUACAUUUGUUCUAAAACUUAUACAUCACCCUUAAUUGUACCAUGAGAACCUAGCAUUUUUUUUUUUUUUUUUGUAUUUCAUCAAAGUUAGCUCUUGUACUCAUUGUUGUAUUAUUUUUAUUGUAACUUAGAGAGCGAGUGUUUUCAAGUGAGUGAAAUUGACUUGUAAAUAUUGUAAAGAUUCAUUGAUAUGUAUCUCAAACUAGGUGUACAAGUUGAAACAUUUGCUAGUAGAUUUUCUCAAGAUUUAGAAUGAGCUUAAGGCUAUCGAAUUAGGUGGGGUUGCGCCAAACCAUAUCACAUCGUUGUUUGCACCUUUUUUUUCACUCUCUUUUACUUAGUUGCUCUAUAUAUAUUGUCUAGCAAUAUCCUAAAGGCUUGAUGGGCUAGGGAGCAUCCCUCUGAAUGAAAAAUUUUCAUUCAAUUCUUAGUUGUAUUACGCAUAUAUAAAAUGCCUCAUUGUUUUAAUGGUAUUCAGUCGUGGCACCACAGAUAUGGACAUCUAAAUUUUAAAAGUUUGAAACUUUUAGCUAAAGAAAAUAUGGUGCUUUGCCUUUUUGGAAAGCAUGUUGAUGAAAUCCAUGAGAAUUGUAUACUUGGAGAGCAACAUCGAGAUAACUUUUUUUUUUUCUUUUUUUAUAAUGCAUUGUUUGUCCAAAUUCCGUACAAAUUAGGCCACCACAUGUUCAUAAUUCUCCCUUCUUGAAUUUGAAAACUCGGACAAUUUGACAAUGCGACACCUAAGUCCGGUUUUUAAAUGCUAAAGUGAAAGGGCAGGUAUGGACCAUUGAAAUGUGAUAACAACUUUUGGCCUUUUCCUUUUCUCUGUAGCCAUGUUGUCUCUUUUUAAUUUCUUUUGCAUGAUUUUCUUACCUAAACAGAAUCAUAGACUUGUUUAAUCUCUAAGUGGGAUUUCAUCCACCUUAAGCUACUGUAUUAUAUCUCGGUGGAGGACAACCGACAUAGAGCACAUGCAAGUGGGUAUAUGGGACAUGAAAUAUCUUCUUAUAAAGCUUGUUUUGCAGUUAAAUUAAUUGGAUAAGUAGACACUGGCGUUUCUAAAUUUCCCACCUAAGAUAAUGACCUUAUCCUUGACUGCUAGAUACACAAACAAUUAUACCUUCAAAAUCUACUGUGAAGUGCUUCAUGUAUGUGUGAAGUAUUAGAAAUUUCUUUCUUGGCAACUUGUUUUUUUCUUUGCGGUCUACUGAUAGGUUUGACUAAAAUUAUAUUCCCUGUCCUGCUAAUUAAUUUUCACGUGCAUGCUCAAAAGAAGAGUAUGACCUUAGUGCACCAAAAUCACUUUCAAUAAUUUGUGAUAAGUUUUUUUGCAUGACAUUAACCUUAUUCAUUUAGAUAAUGUUUAGUUCUCAUAAAUAUUAAGAAAAUGAAAAUAAAUAUUAAGAAAAAUAUUCUUAUAUUUGAUUGUAUUAUGAAAAAUAUCAUAAAAAAUCAAAUAUAAUUAAAAUUAAUUAAUAAUUUAUAUAUUUUAAAAUUAUUUAAUUUUUAUAUUAAAGAUAUAAUAUAAAUGAAAUGAGUUUUAAGUAUUAUAUAAAAAUGAUUUAUUUAUUUAUUUAUAUAUAUAUAUAUAUAUAUAUUUAGUUUUUCUCUUUAUUUUAUUUUCCUUAUGUUUUCCUCACAUUUUCCGGAAUCAAAGAUAGGGAAAUCCACAAUUACCUUCAACUGAGUAGAUUCUAUUGUUUUAGCAAUGUUAGGCUGCUAACUUGUGGUGGUACGAACCAAAUGAUCCAUGUUAAUCUUGGCUUGAUUUAAUUUGGCUCUAUCUCAGAGAACUCAAGGAUCACGUCAACUCUGGUUUCUACUAUUCAGGUCCAUUCCCAGAUGAACUGGUUCAAAUUUGAGAAAAUGGUAACAGACCUUUAGUGAUAUUGGUUUGGAGCCAGUUGCCAAACCUGCCCUGAGCUUUACCACUAAUGUCAAGGGACAAAGCCAUUUGAACAAAAACAAUAGCUUCAAGAGACUGAAUCGUGGAUGAAAUCUGAUCCACAUUUCUUCUCAUUUUGGGAAAAAAUGAGGACUUAACCACAAAGAUUCUACUGCCUCAUAGUGCUUUUCCUGAUCUAAGGUUGGCUCGUUUCCCAAAUUGUGAGGUGCACGUGCCACUCUCACGCUCAGGAGUGUAUCCACGUGGUGGACAUAAGAUGGUGGCUUAAUAUCUGGUGUCGGUGGCUUUACUUUACUAGGAGAGUAGUGUGUCUUCAUCUCAUUCACUGCCAGAGGGUGGCGUAAGCAGUGACGCUAAGGUGGGGCACAGUCAAUAUCAUUUGCAUUUGACCAUUAUAAUUUUCUCCCGGCUUUAAAGUAACCUUAUCGUGAUAAUGGAUUACUAGCACUAGUUCAGAUGACAGUCAUGUUAAAUUCGGACCAUGUUUGUGUCACAUUAUCAGCAACCAUGUGCUUGUGGUUCAUGCUAUCUGCAACUAAACUUGAUAUAUAACCAGGUGAACUUCAAUCUAAAUUCUGGAAGUACUCAUGUGAUAGAUGGUGCCUGUCUGCAGUGAGUGUAUCUAUAAGAGGGAAGGCUUGGCAAAUGUUCAGUUUUCUGGGAAUUCAACAGGGAUCUAAAAUAGAUUGUUUUCUUUGCUGAUUUCAAUGGUUGAAAUUUGAGAAGAUUGUGUCCACAUAACACAACUAUUACUGGUCCUUCUGUUGCAAUUUAUCCUCUAAGGCUCUAACAUGUCUUCCAAUUCCCACUUCCCACUUCCCUGUUACUCCAGGAAAGCUGUUUCUGUCAUUGUGAAGAAGAAAAGAGACUGUACAUAUCGAUGCUUUUAAGUGGACUGGAGAAUUCAUAUCAGGUGGUCUGCAGCCAUACAUGCCACUUUGUGAAGGUUGGAACAGUCAAUCACUAGGCUAUAUUAGUGGGGCCCAGCCACUUCAAUCAAGGACAAGUCUUCAUACUUAAAGUCAAAUUCUGCCUUUAGUCUCAUUAUAAAUUGCUGUUUAAAUAUCAAGCAAACAUUUGUUUAAUGCGAUUAAGACAGCACUAACUCAAUACUUGUUCUAUUUUUGGAUGCAAAUGCUUGAUAGUUUCAUCAUUGGAGGGGAUAAAGGUGCAUUCAUGAUUAUGAAUACUUGUAGUUAUAUUUUCAUUCUCUUUUUUCUCAAUGGGACUUGUUGGCACAAUUUUGCUGUUCAGAAACCUACCUCUCCAUGGAAAAUCAGUUGUGAUUGAUAUUACUGGAUAUAUUCAAGAAAGCUAAAUGUAGAUAGCACAAAAUAUUAUCGACAUAAAUAGCAUUAACAGCGUACGUAUGUCUCAAUGCUCAUCAGCUAUAAGCAAGGGGCAAACACUUACUAUGAGCAACUUACGUCAAAAUUCCGGAAUAGGACAUAGAAGUGACAGGUCAGUAAAUAUAGAACACUGCAUAUGAGUCACAAGAAAGGAAAUUACGGGUACAUAGCAGCUCUUAUUUUACAUCCUACUCAUACUGAUCAAAGUCACUCAGUUGGGAUGGGUGGGAGUGGGAGGUUUGUGGGGUGGCUUGUGCGGAGGAGUUGGCAGCUUCUUUCCAGGACCUGGUUGCUUCUCUGCUGGAGUUGAAGGAGGCUUAAUCUUCCGAGGUGGCUUGUAUGAGUCUUCAGCAUUCUCAGCAGGAGGGUGACCAGGGUUGUGACCACAAUGUGGUGGCUUCUCUCCCUUAGGUGGUUUGCCAACUGGGGUUGGUGGCUUGUGUUCCGGAAGUGGCUUCUCUUUGUGUUCAGGAGGUGGCUUCUCCACUGGAGGCUUGUGUUCAGGAGGUGGCUUCUCCACCGGAGGCUUGUGUUCAGGAGGUGGCUUCUCCACCGGAGGCUUGUGUUCAGGAGGUGGCUUCUCCACCGGAGGCUUAUGCUCUGGUGGUGGCUUCUCCACCGGAGGCUUAUGCUCUGGUGGUGGCUUCUCCACCGGAGGCUUAUGCAAUGGUGGUGGCUUCUCCACCGGAGGCUUGUGUUCAGGAGGUGGCUUCUCUACCGGAGGCUUAUGCUCUGGUGGUGGCUUCUCCACCGGAGGCUUAUGCUCUGGUGGUGGCUUCUCCACCGGAGGCUUGUGUUCAGGAGGUGGCUUCUCCACCGGAGGCUUGUGUUCAGGAGGUGGCUUCUCCACCGGAGGCUUGUGCUCUGGUGGUGGCUUCUCCACCGGAGGCUUAUGCUCUGGUGGUGGCUUCUCCACCGGAGGCUUGUGUUCAGGAGGUGGCUUCUCCACCGGAGGCUUAUGCUCUGGUGGUGGCUUCUCCACCGGAGGCUUGUGUUCAGGAGGUGGCUUCUCCACCGGAGGCUUAUGCUCUGGUGGUGGCUUCUCCACAGGAGGCUUGUGUUCAGGAGGUGGCUUCUCCACCGGAGGCUUAUGCUCUGGUGGUGGCUUCUCGAAUGGGGGAUGCGUAGGGUAAUCAGCUAGUGAGGGGGCGGUGAGAACCACCAGGCCAAGCAACACUACUAGCAAGUAUGUAGGAGACAUCUUUGGGUUUGGGCUCAGAUGGUGCAAAACUAGGAGAAUUGGCUAGCCUUUUAUAGCGGAUCGUACCCAAUAAUGAAAUGACACGUGUCAUUAUGACCCAUGUGUCAUGUGGUCGAUUUGGGUCCUACAGUGUUGAAAACUUCGACAUCCACUUUUUUGGCCUUUUGCUUUCUCUACAGUCGCCUUGCUUUUUCCCUCUUUUCUUUUGUUUUCCUCCUGCCCCAUUCUAUCAACUAAUCACAAUUAUGUAGUUGUUUAAUUCUUAAAUGAGAUAUUAUCCGUCAAUCAUAUUAUCUUUUAUCAAGAGAGAACGGAGUGAAAAGUGGCAAUCCAAAGAAAGAAGAUCCAUAAUGCAGCUGUAAUUUUAUCGUUUACUUUUAUCUCUAGGACCACUGCAUUUUUGUUGAGAGGUGCAAUAAUACACGUCUUUAUCUGCCAUUCAAUGUUUACAGUAAAGAGAGGGCACAAAACUCUUCACUGCUCUGCAUGUGCCCCAAAAAUGCAAUUGGACAAAUUAUGAUUUGCAUGCUAAAAAGAGGCAAAUGAGGUUAAUUAGCACCAAAAUUAUUUUGUUUUCUGGACACCCCGGGGCCCUUUGGUUGGUUUGGGGGUCAGAAAAUGAACAUCAUAGGGGGUUUUUCCCUAAUGUGCAUUUGCAUUUGUAUCUGAUGGCUUUAACUCGCCUUGUUACUACAAAGAAAUUGUCACAGAUAGGAACUUAUUCCAGGCUGAGUAUCUCCGCAUGGACCCUAUAAAAGAAGACAAGUCAUAAUGAACAUCUAACCUUUGUUCAAUUUGAUUCAAUGCCCCUAUUGUGUCCAUCUCACAAAUCUGAAUUAUUAUAUCCAUUGAAUACAUAAAUUAAUGAAGAAAAUAUGAAACCCAAGAUACAUCUCUGCACAACCUCAACCCUGGUUGCUAUGUUUCACUUCUAUUCACAUGAGGAUAUUGAUUACGGAAUAAGGAAACCUAGCAAGGGUUUACUCGGCUCUGGUUUGAUGCUAAUUGCCAAACUUGCAACAAGCCCUGAGUUUGACACCUAAUCGAUGGGCGAAUUAAAAGUCUCCUCCAAACAUAUAUUCCACAGCUUGAAGCUCACAGAAGAUGCUAUACAGGCAGGGAAAAACCUUCAGAGUUAGCUACCAAAGAUAAUUAUCAAGGAGAUAUCACCAAGAGAAUUCCAUGGAGUCUGAAUCAAAGACAAAUUGCUCGCUCGUGGGGGUUCUUACUUAAUUUCUUUUGGGUAUAACUCACUGAGGGCACUGGCUUUGUUAUUUGCAUUUCGCAUUUAGAGUUCUGUUCUGGAAGGUUUGUUCUGGAAACAUAUAAAAGGAGCAUCAUUUUGUUCUAGGGUAACCCAUAGUUGUGAGUGGGUCCAUUUGCAUGCUACUUAGUUGAAAAGUUGGACAAUUUGCUCCGACGCCUACCUCCUGGAUUCCAUGCUCGGAUAAAGCAAGAAUAAUAAAAUAUUUAUAAUUUACAAAUGGGGGAAAGAAAAAAAUGUCAACAACAAACUAGGAAAAAAGAGUAGUAAAAUUUAUGCCACAUGCUAUUGAUAGAAGGGGCAUGUAUUAGAUCCAUCACCAUUUGGUAAGAUUUUAGUAUUAUAUUUUUCAAGGUUCAUUAUUUGAGGGUGUGUUCUUCAUCUCUGUUGCAUUGCUUCUUACUAGGCCCACUGAGGUGGGUUCUUCACCUUUUGUAUAUUCUCUGCACUAGAUCAAUGAGAAAGGGGGAAUUUUGGUGAAUUUGCAGCCGUUGGAUGAUUGAUUCUAGGCUCAGUCCACCAAUGAUGCUCUCUUCACUCUUUCUCAUCUAGUGUCAUUCACAACUAUGUUUUGAUUCAUAUUUGUACUAUCAAAGAUAUCUCAUUAUUCUAGCUCAUUAGGUAGAGUUCCUAAUCUUCCUCCUUUUUGGUCUAUGGACAGUAUUGGCUUCAUAUUAAGAUCAUGUUUCAAUAAUUGCACAUUAAUGAAUGGAUCAUGACCCACAUAAACAGAGUCAGGGUUGAGUCAGUGAACCCUAAAAUUUCACAAUUCUAAAUUUGGGUUCUUUAACAAUGCAGGGUCAAGGACGCGUGGUGAUGAAGGAAAGCUGGUAAGCUCAGUGUUACUUCAAUUCCUGCCAUGUAGGAUGGUGAGGAGAUAUUCACUAUGCAAUUAAUAAUAGACAAUAUUCACUAUGCAAUAAUAAAGCAUAAAUUAAGUUGAAUGAAAAGCAUUUUCUUUGCAAGGAGUUGAUUUUGGUUUCAUAGUUUGUUCAACUGCUAUUUUGGAUAGGAAAGUGUGAGGAGAAGAAAAUAAAAAAUAAAAAUAAAACAAAAAAUAAAAAAUAGAUUUUAUAAAUUCAUUUAAUUUAUUUUUUUUUUAUAAAAAUUAACUAAUUUAAAAUAUAUGUAAAUUUCUAAUUAAUUUAAUUACAUUUUUUUUUUCAGUUUUUCAUAAUAAACCAAAUAUUAGAAAAUUAUUUUUAUUAAGACACCCAAGAUGAGGUAAUAUGCAAUGAAAACAUGAAUUAUAUUAAAAUUCAAAACAAAUUAAGAGAAAUCGGAAAAUAUACAUAGAUAUCUAAACAAAGAAAUUUAAAGAGAAGGAACCACAAACUUUAUUUACAUAAUUUGAAAAUAAAAAACAUAAAACAUACUUAUAGUAAGGAGAAAUUGAAUAUCUUACAAUGGAAGAAGGGAGAAAAGCUUUGAAGAAAGCUUUUGCUUGGAAGCUUACAUGGUGAGAGGUAGAGAAAGGAGAGAGAGAGAAGAAAAUGAAAAAUGAGAAGUGGAGAAAAUUGGAAGUUUUGUGUGCUUACAACUGAGGAUAGAGCCUCCUUAAAUAGCAAAAAAUGGAAUAUUAAAUAGUACCAAUCAGGAGACAAAAUAUUGUUUGCUUUUGAAACCCGUGCAUGAAUAGUAAUCCCGUGAGUGAAUAGUGAAUAAUAAAAGUGAAUAGUAAAAGUCACUUUCUACUAUAGCACUUUAGACUUUUUCAUCGAGAAUCUUACUUUCGGCUGAGUGAUGAUAGCUGAUAGGUUGCUUUGGAUUGUGGAGUCAUAUGUUUGAUGUUUUCGGUGCUGAAACCGCUUAGUUGGAGAAUAAUCUCGUCAGUAGAGCAUCAUGAGAAGCUUGAAUGGAGAGAGCUUAAUGAUGCCAUAUGAUUGGAAGGAAUCCUAUUUUAAUUUCCUUAUUGGAGGGAGAAUACCCUCACAAUCAUCUUCAUUAUCUUGAAGGUAGUUUGAUAUAGAGUCAUCUGACUCAGCAUAAGAGUCCUCUUGGGAGAAGCUUGAACUGCUUUUGUCAAGGAUUUUCUGAAAUUCUUGAGGGGUUUUUGCUAUUGCUAACAUGGUUUGGAGUUGCUGUUUCUUAAGAAGAAACUGUGCAAUAUCAUAAGAUGAUGAAGCUUGUGUAGGAUGCUUUAGGAAAUAUUGCUUUAUUGCUUGUAGUGAGGUAUCAUUUUUCAAGGCAUCCCACCACUUAGACUUGAAAGUCCUUCCAAGGGUUGGAAAGGCUGCUGAUUCAUCUGCUAUAAUGAUAUAAUCCCACUGGACUAUCCAGGCAAGGCCAAAUUCACUAAAAAAGAAUAAUAAUUGGGGAAAACUGAAAGUUCUCUAGGGAUAACAAAAGAACUUUGGAAUAGCUCAAAGCCAUCCAAAAUGGGUUUUGGGAGAAUUUUAAUAGUUGGACCAAAAUAUGUCCACCAAUUGUGGAACCAAAAUGGAAAAGAGGGGAGUUGAUGCUUAGAUGGGAAAUAGAACAUCCCUGAAUGAUGGAAGUCCUUGUUCUGGAUCAGAAAAGCAUUGAACCAUACUCUUUGGUAGUCUCAAUAAUUGAAAAUUUUAGGUUUUGAAGGCUUAGAAAAUUCUCUUGAAAAAUUAGGAUUCCCACCCCACUGCUUAACUGUAAGGAUUUUAUAAAUAUGGUAAGUGGAGAAUGCCAAAUCCAAAUUGCUGAAUUUAUCAGCAUUGUGCUUGAUUUUAACAGAGCCGGUUUCCAUAAGGAUUGCUUCAUAAAAUUCUCUUGUUUUUAAAAGAUCACCAAAGGGAUAAUGAAAAUUUUCAUGAAAAGCUUUUGCUGCAAUAUCUCUAGGGUUUUUAGAGAAAAACUCUUUUUCAAUAACCAAAAGAGGUUGAUUUAAAUCUUUUUGCCAAUAUCUUGCUUUUGCUGAAAGAGGUGUGGGGUUGGCUACCACCACAAUUUGCUUAUUUGAAAAAGAAGAGCUUGAUGCUAAUUCAUUUUGAGAGGGAUUAGCUUUAGUAACCUGCUUAAAGGUCUGAGACACAGUAAUAGUUGGAUACUGAGUAGCCUUGACUGGUUUAGAAGGAUUCGAAGGAUCAUAGUACAAGGACAAAAUCUUAUUAGGCAUAUGGUCAGAAGAAUGAAGCCUUGCUUCUUCUUCUAGCUCAACUUGUUGGCUCCAAAGUAUUUUAUGGGGAGAAGGUUCUUUGCUGGUUUUAGAAGACUAGGAUUCUGGAAGUUUAGGAGCUUGGGUAUUCUUUUUAGGGGCCAUGGUUUCGUGAAUCCUGUAAAAUUCACAAGUUAAGAAAUCAGGGCUCGAAGAAUGUUCUCCUUUAAUAUACUCAAUUUGUAAAUUAAAAUUGCUUAAAAUAGCUUGAUAUAUAGCAAAAAUAUGCUUAGAAGUUAUAUUCUUAACAUCCUUUUGUAAAACUAAUUUUGCAAAUUUACAAUCAACUCUUAAUAAAAACUUUUGAUUCAAAAGAUCAUCUUGAAAUUUUGAAAUGCAUAAAACAACGCUUAAAGUCUCUUUUUUAAUGAUGUUAUGAAUGAGUUGGGUAGUAUUCCAGGUUCUUGAAGUAUACCUAACUAACAUCUCAAGGUUACCAACACUUUGCUUAAGAAUCCCACCAUAACCUAUGUCUGAGGUAUCGAUCCCAACAAACUCAAAGGUUUCUGGAUUGAUAGAGCCUAAACAUGGUAGGGUCUUGACUUUGGACUUAACAUCAAUAAUGAAAACAAUGGUGAAAACAGAAAACUGGUUAAAGUUUUCAUCCAUUAUAUUCUGGAAUUCUGAGGUGCAUUCUUAAGAUCAAAGGGCAUUAUGAACCAUUCAUAAUGUCCAAGAGAUACCACAAAGGUGGUCUUAUUUGGAAUAGGACACCUAAUCCAACUUAAUGUAUCAUUAAGAGGCAUGUAGUUGACGACUAGUCUAGGUGUUCCUUUUUCUGAUUCAACUUGUUCCUGAACAUAGAAGGUUGAACAACUCCAAAGGGACUUAGACUUCCUUAUCAACUUUUUAUCAAGAAGAUCCCAAAUCUCCUUAUCACAAUAGCUUAACAAACCCUUGUUCAUCUGGAUAGGUCUUGAUUUAGUGGGAAUAUUCUUGUCACUAAAGUCUAGUUCAUAAGGUAAUUCUACCUCAUGUUGUUUCCUAUGCCAAAAUGCAUUAGGAAUGUUAGAGCAAACUUCUUCAACAAUCAGAUUAAUUUCUUGCUCAUGACUUUCCUUAGCUUGAAUCACCUGAUCCCUUAAGGUGUUUAUAUUUUUCUUAUUAGGUGGUUGGCAAAUUCAAAAAUAAUUUCCUUAUCUAAGAGCUUUGUUCUUAUACUUUGGUCAUCUACCCACAUGGGAUAGAUGGAGCUUAAAAAGGGGAUUCCAAGGAGAGCUUUCUCCUUAAGAUCCUUAACUAGAAUGAAGGUUUGCUUGAUGCAAAUGCCUUGGUUAUUUAUGUGAGCAUCUGACAGCUUAUACUCAAUGUCAAGCCUUUUACCAUUAGCUCCAAAGAGAGAUUCUUUGGUUUUCUUACAAAACUUAAUAGGACCUAGACCUUCUUGUAGGCAAUUCAAAGCUGUUCCUGAAUCAAUCAAAGCAACAAUAUCAAUGACAAAUUUACUCUUAAUUACUAUAGUAAGGGAGACUUUCCACCUCUGGAAAAUAACCCUACUAACAGUAUUUAAGUAUCCAUCCGUCUUUUCAUCAUUAGCAUGUGAAGAUUCUAGAACCUCUUCAAGGUUUUCCUAGUUAUCAACAAGAUUUUCUAUAACAAUCCUAUUUAUUUGUUCUUGGAGAUCUGAAAAACCUAAGCUUGUGUAUUGUCUUAAAUCUUUAAUUUCCUUCUUAUACUGUCUUACUUCUUCUUGAAGAUCCUUAAUGGUUACGUCUUUGGUAGACUACUGGUUAAAUCUUCCUAAGAUUUCAUUUAAGUUAUAAGAAUUUACUGUCUUCUUAAUCUCUUGCUUAUCGACAAAUUUCUUAAAAACUUCAUAAAGAUCUUGUUUAGUUUUUUCAUCUUCAACUUUCCUUAAAACAUCUAGGACAAGUUCUUGAUCUUGGCUUAUGACAUUUAUAGUCUUAGGUUGGCAAUCACAAUUAUCCUUAAUGUAUUCUUCUUGGUCACUAGAAGUUUGGCUUGAGAUUUCCUCACCACUACUAUCUAGUUGGUUAAUACCAUUUUCAUUAUCUGAAUCAAUCCUUGAUUCAGACUCUGUGGAAUUUAACAUUACUUUACAAAGCAUAUCUUUUAAGUCUUCUGUGACAUUUAAGUUAUUAAUUUUCUGCUUAACCCUACAAUCUUUCUUAUAGUGGCCUAUCUUACCACACUUAAAACAAACUGGCUUAGAUUGUGAAGGAGCUUCUAGCUUUUUAUGGGCUUCUUUGUUCAUCAUUCUUUGGAUGUGCCUUUGUUUCUUAGUUUCAUUCAUCCUAUAGUUGCCAUGAGUUCCUCUCUUGUUGUGAUAGGACUUUUCCUUACUAGGCUUUGUACUUACUUGUUUCUUACGUUGCUUAGAGGGGGGCUUAGUUUCUUUUUGGUUGAAUCCAAACUAGCUACAAAAUGAACCAAACUCAUUCUUGUAGAUCCUUUGUUCAUUUUUCAUCUGUUGCUUAAGCUUAAAGUCAUUGCACAGUUUAAUUGCUUCUGAUGUGACAAUGCUUAUAAUUUCUCCAUAAGAAAGCUUAUCAUAAGGGAUUUGUCCAUUAAACUGUUCCCUUAUCUUAAUCCUAAUCCUCUCAGAGAAAAGUCUAGGUAGUCCUAAGAUGAAUUUUUCUUUCCAAAAAGACUGGUUAUAGUUUGAUCUUAGUAUGACUUUGGUUAGGAAAACUUCUCUAUACCAUCUAAAGUCAUGAAGCUUGGGACACUUAAGGUUGGUUAAGAGAUCUACAAUCUUAUCCUUAAUCUUUGCAGGAUCUCCAAUGAAGUGCUUUGAAAUUGAAUAGAUUAGAGUAGCCACUACAUCCUCUAUAUCUUGUCCAUCUUCAUCCUUAACCACUUCAUUUUCCUCAUUAAUCCUAUAGGCUUUUAGGAUACCAUUUCUAUCCUCAAAGGUGAGAUAAUUAUCCCACCAACCCUAAAGUUGACCUGUAAACCCAACAACAAUUGUUUGAGCUACAGCAUGGCCUGACAAUCUAUUGUUUAACUUAUAGGUUGUACUAACCAUGGUCAUUUCUUGAAGCUUAGUGAGUAUGUUGUACUCAAUCAUACCAUCUAUGUUCCAUUCAUAGAUAGUGUCACUAGUGUAGGAAGCUUGAGUAUGCUGGUUUCUUUCCUCAUACUACAUAUCAGGAAAAGUUGGUCUAGGGUAGUAAUUCCUAGUUCUUGGUUGUUGAUAAUCCUCAUAACUGUUUGGUUAGGAGGUUCCUUAAAAAUCUUAAUUAGUUCAUCAGCCUCUGCUUCAGAACUAAUUUCUCCUUUAACCAUAUUGAUUCUCUUGUGAGAUGGUUGAGGUGUCUCAGAGACAACAAGGCUAUCCUUAACCUUUUGGCUUAUCCUAUCAAUGAGGGCUUGAUCAAUAUGGAGAUUCUCUAGGAAUUUCUUAGAGAAUUCAAAAGGCUUAAAUAAAGACUUAUUAUCUUUCUUAACAAACGUAGUCUUAAUGUAGUCUUGUGUUUCAAUGAUAUCCUCAAACUUGUUGAGUUGAUCGCCUGUAGUCUUAAGAAACAUGUUAGUGUAGUUGUUUUGUUCCAUGAUUCUUCUAACGUCAACAACACUAUCAAUUCCUUUAUUCUUUGGCCUAGUCUUAAAAGGUGAAGCUUUGACUAUGGUUCAAUUAAUGUUCUUUUAUAUCUUAGCUUCUAGAGGGUGGAUGGAUUCUAUGAUAGUAUCGUCACUAGUUUUCCAUAUCUUAGUUUUUUUGGAUGUGUCAUUGACACGCUUACUAGGGUAAUCUAGAUAUUCCUCUUGUUUGAAGAGUUCAAACCAGAUCCAAUACUUAAUGUUCUUCUUUUCUUGUCUUAAGUAUGUGUAGAAUUCUUCUUGGUAGAGGGUUCUAAUGUCUUUAAGGACCUUGCUAAAGAACCAAACUCUCCUUUUCUUAUUGACUUCAGAAUAGAAGUCUUUCCUUAAGAGGUCCUUGUUGAUUCAAAGUCUUCGUUAAUUAGGCUUACAGUGUUAAUCAACUGAGAAUAAGUAGGAGACAUAUCAGGAGAUUCGUCCUGAUGUGAUUCUUGAGUAAACUCAUUUUCCUCCAUGUAAAAGGGUUUGGCCACGUUGGUGUGACUUCUAACACCUGUUAGCUUAAUAUUCUUAGGAUUUGCUGAACUAGAUCCUUCCUCUAUCCUAGUGGUUCUUAUUGGGAUAGAUGAACUUGAAGCUCUAGAGGGCUCAUAAUAUGAAAUUCUAAGGCUGCUAGAAUGAUGAAAAGAGUUGGAGAAAAUUAGAUCUCGUUCUCCAUCAGGAUAUUGAACAAUCUGUUCAAUUCUUUCAGAUCUUUGCUCUAUGGCUGGGACAACAUUAGCAAAAUGCCAAUUUUCUGGAAACUCAACCUCAUUCCACUUGAUUUUCAUGGGGACUAUGAAAUUAGACUUGUUUAUCAUAUCUAAGUGGAAGAUAGUGGUUUCACCCUUGGGACUGGUGCACAAUGCUCCAAAUCCAACGCUUAUGGUCAUGCUCUUAUAGGCAAAUCUGGUGAUGAUGGAAACAUGAUUGUUUCCUUGCUUGAACUUAAAGUCAUGGGUCUUAACAUGAAGGACAACUGAAUCUAAGAUGUUGACAUCUCUUAGUCUAACUGUGAAGUUAGGGAAACACUGGAAAUAAACAGGACCAUCAUUUAAUCCUGCUUGGGUAGCUCCAAUAAUAGAAUCUCGGUAAUCAAGAUGUCUAUUAUCUCUUAAACACAUGACAAUAAAGGUGUUUAGACCUAGUCUUGUCAAGGGCUUAGCUGCAACUUGAAUCAUGCCAAAGUGUAUGAAGUUGUAGUCUCGCUUAUGCUUAUCAAUGGACUUACUAUCCAAGAGUCUUAUGACUUGAUCGUCGUGUUCUAAACUUACUGACAUUUCAGGGGUUUUAAUGGUGUAAUCUGUAAAGAACUUAAAGGUUCCUUUCUUAUAAAUUUCUUGAUUAGGUACCUUGGGUAACUUCCAAUCAUCUAAAUCAUCUUGGAUCUUAGGAUAAUUGAUCUCUUCAUUGUUUACUCUUGAGAAUUUGUGGAUUUCCUAGACAUGGUUCUGAAAAUCAAACUCAUUUUAAGGUUUUAAUCUAGAGCCUAAUAGCAGAUUAACAGACCUAGUGAGUAAUCACCCCAACCCUUUUCCAACCUUAACAAACGCCUAUCUCCAGCUAACAAUGGGCUCAACUCGGCAAGGAUCGCACUCAGGCACACUACUAUCUUUCCUAGGAUAGAUCAAAACACCCAAAACAAACCCGACUUCCUUUUCCUAGGAUAUAUAUAGUAUUUUGGGUUUGAGUAGGAGUUCAUGUUUUGUAUGUAAUUGUAGUCUACGUUGGACUAGGUUGUUUGCUCCUAAUUGAAAUAGGAAUGGUUGGUGUCACAUCUCAUUCAUUUUCUCAUCUAUUUCCAUGUUUAGAUAACUCAAGUAAUCAUAGGAAUGAAAUUAAGAAUGAUUUGAGGGAAAUGAAAUCUCACUUGUAAGUGGGAUCUCAAUUCAUCAUUAAUAGAAGGUAUUUUGAUUACAUAGUGCAAGUUAUUUUUAAAAACACUUUUCAAAAAUUGAAAAACCAAAAACUCUCUUGGAUAAGUUGUUUUUAAAAAGAAUUUUUGUAUUUUUAUUUUGUAAAAAAAAAAAAUAGUAAUUCAAUUUAUAUAAUAUAAAUAGACUUUAAUUUUAUUAAAAAUAAAAAUAAUUUUUUAAUUACAAAUAAAUUAAAAAAUAAAUAUUUGUAAUAAAAUAUGAAUAGUAAUAUUAUAAUAAAAUCAUAAAUAAAUUAAAAAUAUUUUUAAAAACAAAUAAGUUUAAUUUUUUUGAGGUACAAAUGAGCCAAAUUUUUCAUUAGGUACACAACCAACAAUUUUUAUUGGAAACAUUCCUCAAAAAAGAAUUCGUUUCCCAUAUAGCAAAGAUAUUUAUUAUUUAGUAUCUAACCAUCCGUAGUAAUCAUAUCAAUUCUACUAAGUUAUUUAAUAAUUCAUUUAUAUAUAGUACUCAAUUAUGAAUUUUUUUAUUUGAUGUAUAAUUAAUUAAUCAAUGUUUUGAAUUUUGAAUUAUUCUUAAAAUUUAAAACAUUAAUUAUGUCUAUUACUUUUUAUAGUCAUUAUAUAUAUAUAUAUAUAUAUAUAUAGAGAGAGAGAGAGAGAGAGAGAGAGAGAGCUUAAAUUUAUCUUUAAAAAUUAUUAAAUUUAUUAAUAAAUUCAAUACAAAGACUCAUUUGAUUUGAAAUUCAUUUCUUUAGUGAAAAUUUUGAAACUAAAUAGUACUUUGUUUUACUUUGUUUUUAAAUCAUACUCACAAAUAAGUUUUUAUCAUUUAGCCAAAAAAUCUCAAAGAUGUUUCUAAUUUUAUUUAUUUAUUUAUUUGUAAAUGAAAAUAAAAAAUUAGUUUAAACUAAAUAUGCGGAUAUUAUUGUUAAUUUAUUUCAUUUUUUAUUUCCAUUGUUAUUUAACAUUGAAACGGAAACAAAUAAUCAUUCCAAUCUUACAUUCUUAUAUGCAUCUAAACACAAGAAUUGAAAUCACCAAAUUCAUAUUCAAGGCAAAAUAGAAAUGGAAAAAAAAUAUUCAUUUUCAUUCCUCAUUCUCAUGUGCUAAACAUGACAUUAGUUCUACUACCUAUUUCACCAUUCUUCUUGAUAAAUUUGGUAUAUGCAAUAUUGAUCUAAGUGUGAGGUGAAUAAGAAUGAUGAUGGGAUGGGCUUGGAAAUAAGGGCAAAGUUUCUAGGUGCUAUCUAGAGGGGCAACGCGACUUUUUCAAAUUUCGAAUAUUUGUUCUCAACAUAAAGCAAAACUUUACUCACACAAUAGAUAAGACUCUGUUUGUUUUCUUCAUCCACGACUAUAUAAUGUAUAGCUCUUACUCAAGGGAUGAGCUACUUACUAUUAAGGAUUGGGUAAGAUAUUGCCUAAUGGCCAAGAAGGCAUGUCAAAAAAUAAAUCUAAUCACCAUAAAAAAUAAUAGGGGAAAAUUAAUAUAUUAUGAAUGAUGACUUUACUAUUUCUCUAUAUACAUAAUUAUAUAUUUUGAAUUUUCUCACUAGGUAAUGAGAUUCUAAAUCAACUGAAACAUAAUUAAUAAUUUAUAUUUUUAAUGAAUCUUUUAAUUUUUAAAAAUAAUUUAAAAUUUUAAAAAACAAUUCAAUUAAUUACAUAUUAAAUCAAAACAUUUCAAAAUAUUGUGUUUGUAGAUGAGUACUAAAUGCUUGCAUAUAAUAAUAAUAAUAAAAAAAUUGACUCAUUUAGAUGUUAAAAAAGUUAAAUGUUUUUCAUUAUUCAUUUUAAGUAAAAUAUUAUUGACAUUAUUAUUAUAAAAUUAUUAUUAUUCAUUUUUAACAAAAAACAAAAUAAGUUAUUCUUUUACCAAGAUGUCAAUAUCUAUAUUUUUCUAACAUAUAUUAAAAUAGUAUACUUUUCUUUUAUUAAAAAUAAUAAUUAUUAUUAUAUUAUUAUUCAAGUUUUAUUAAAAAAAUUUAUCUUUUAAUUCAUUUGUAAUUACAAAAUAAUUUUAUUUUAUUAAGAAUUUAAUUUAAUUACGCUUUUUUUUUUUAUAAAAAAAACAGUUAUGCUUUUACCAAGAUGUUAAUAUUCAUAUUUUUCUAGCUAACAUAAAUAGAAUAGUACACUUUUUCAUAUAAAAAAAUAAUUUAUGAUUUUAUUAUAAUGUUACUAUUCACAUUUUACUAAAAAUAUUUAUUUAUUUUAUUUAUUUUUAAUUAUAAAAUAAUUUUAUUUUCAAGAAUUUAAUUUUAAAAAAAUAGAAAUCAUUUAUUCUUUUACCAAGAUGUUAAUAAACAUAUUUUUCUAACAUAUACUAAAAUAAAAAAGUUUACUUGUUCAUUAAAAAAUAUAAUUUAUGUUUUUAUUAUAAUACUACUAUCUAUGUUCUACUAAAAAUAUUUAUUUAUAAUUAAAAAAUAAUUUCAUUUUUAAUAAGACUUGAACUAAAUUAAAUUUAUAAUUUUUUUUUAAAAUAAAAUAGAAAAUUAUUUUUUAAAAACAACUUAUUGAAAGAAAUUUUUUAUUCUUUACUUUUAAGAACUGUUUUUAAAAGCAACCUAUAAACCCCUUUGGGUCUGUUUGGCUAUGUUUCAUGCAACUUGUUUUUAAAAAUUGUUUUUUAUUCUUUAAUUUAAUUUUUUUUAAGUUAAAGAAUAAAAAACAACUUUCUAGUGUUUUAUAAAAAUGAGAGCUUUUGACAAGUUGUUUUUAAAAACCAUUUUUAAAAAUAAAAAAUAAAAAACUUAUUUAGAUAAAUUGUUAUAUAUAUAUAUAUAUAUAUAUUUGUAAAAACAUUUUAAAUUCAAUUUAUAUAAUAUAAAUUUAAUUUAAUUUAAGUCUUAUUAAAAAAAAAUUGUUUGGAUAAGUUUUUUUUUUUAAAUAGUUUAUUAUUUUUGUUUUGUAAAAACAUUGCAAAUUCAAUUUAUAUAAUAUAAAUUAAUUUAAUUCAAGUCUUAUUAAAACCAAAAUAAUUUUAUAAUUACAAAUAAAUUUAAAAAUAAUUUUUUUAGUAAAACAUGAAUAAUAAAAUUAUAAAUUAUAUUAUUGUGGACCCUGCAUUUAUGCUCAUGCGCUUCCACUUGUUGGCGAACUCAUUUUUUAUUUGAAAAUGAUUUAUUUUUUUAGAAAAUGACUUAGAGUCGCCACUUAUUUUUGUUUUAUUUUUAAAGGGCAAGCAAAAUAAGAAAGAAAACCCUAAGUGUGACUCCUUAUUCGAAAAAGGUAGUCUGUGUAAAACCGGAUCAGGGUUCAGGGAUCAGGUUACUUAUUGGGAAGGUAUGACAAUGACCGUAGCACUCCUCUAAGUCCUUAAAAACGGGCCUCUACUAAAAAAAAUAAAGUAAUCAUGGCAAUCAGUAAGGAAAUCACUGGAUACCCAGAACAAUUAUGCACAUGUGAGAAUUAAAACAUGCAUAAGAAUGGACAAAGUGAGAGUGGGUGCGUACCUUGACAACGAACCACAAUGCGUUAUCAAGAAAUGGGGUUAGUGCACGAUCAAUGAACAUAAAACACGUCACACAUGUCACUAAGCAGAGUGAGAAAUCAUCAGAUAUUACAAUUCAAUCAAAUUUAUUUUUAGAAGAAACAUCUGUUGAUGUAGAGCCCCUACCAAAGCCUAAUUUAUUUUUGCAUGAAUCAAUUUCAUAAAUUCAAUCGCUUGGAAUUACAGAAUUAAAUUCAUGCUUAUUUUAAAACAUCUUUUUAAAAUCAUGGAAGAUGUGAAAAUGGUUUUCCAAAGAGAAAAUGACAACUGAUUUUAUUGAAAAUGGGAUUUUGGGGACCUAAACGUUAAAGAGGGAUUAGGAAUUGAAAAUUAAAUCAUUUGAAAAUUGAAUUUUUCAAAAAUCAGUUUUGAAAGCAUGCAUGCAAGUAUGGACUGUGAAAGUGGGCCUAGGGAGGGUGGCCAUGCAAAAUGAGGUCAUACACGUGGGCCUUGGGUACAAUUGGGACUACUUUGCUGGUGCCAGUGGUGCUUGCAGCUGUCAUCCAUGAUUUCUUCAUUGGGAUCAAUUUCCAUUCUUACUGCCAAACAUUCCAUAACAAUUGACCAAACUAGUAACCCUGACCUUGCAUGAAAAUGAACGUUACCUAGAAACUCACUGCCAGUGAGAUUCAUUGCUCUUUCAAAAGGUCUCAUUUUCUUUCUCAUCCAAUUGCUUUAAGGAGCAUUCUAGCGUCACGAUUGGUGACUGCGCAUCAUCUAGAGCCUUCUUUCUUCUCAGAAUCAGGUUUGCGUGCAGAGGCCUGUGCUUGUUCAAGGUUGACCUAAAUUCAUCUAGGUUUAGAACCGACCAGUUGAGCUUGGGGAGCAACGACAAGAAUAUCAGUCACUUGCGAAGAGAAAACUCGAGAUCUUUCAAGUAAUGCCUGACAUAGAUUCCUCCAACCUGUGGCCAAUAUCUCAUUCCUUGUUGGCCAGACGCCUAUUAGGGCGUAUCUCAAUCAAUAAUAUGAUUUUUCGUUUGUUCACAAUAAAGACCGGAAGCCAUGGUUGUGAUUUAUGCAGUACAGAAGAAGUUGCCAUGGCUGGUAUCCUUACAAAUUCUGGUGUUUCUGCUAUCUGUUCAAGUGCAAAACACAACAGCUUUAUCAAGUUUGUCCCUAACAACUGAUAUUGAGCCCUCUGGAGGAAACCUUGAUAAAUUCAUAAUCACUUUUGACUCAUGCAUGGGCUGCCCAUCAAAUUUUCCUAGCAACGAGACGACUGCUGUCAUCUACUGCAAAGAGAAUUUCUUCUCGCAAAGACAAGAGGAGUUUAAGAAUACACACUAUUCUGCCAUUUCAUUUCCUCUUUCUCCACAACCAACAUAAACCAUAGUGUCUACAUUAGAGUACUUAGAAAGAGCUUAACUGAUGACCGUUUUUCCACAACCAAAUGCCCCAGGUAUGGCACAAAUUUCACCGAAAACAGAAGGGAAAAGGGCAUCAAGAACACGCUGUCCUGUAAGUAGUGGGGUAUCAGGACUACUCUAGGGAAGUUAUUUCUGUCAUUUUGAAAAAGAAAAAUUAAAGAAUGUACACAUGCUUUCAAGUGGACUGGAGCAUUCUACAUAUCAGGUGGUCUGUAGCCACAUGUGCCACUUUGUGGAAGUUGGAACAGUCGAUCACUAGGCUAUUUAGUGUGGCCAAGCCACGUUAAUCAAGGACAAGUCUUCAUACUUAAAAGUCAAAUGGUGCCUUUAGUCUCAUUACACAUGGCUAUUUAAAGAUGAACUAAUCUUUAGUGUAAUGUGAUUAAGACAGUACUAACUGAUCAAUAUUUUUUCUAAUUUUGGAUGCAAAUGCUUGCUGGCUUCAUCAUUGGAUGGGAUAAAGGUGCAUUCAUGACUCUGAAUACUUGCAGUAAUACUUGCAGUAAUACUUCAUUCUCUUUUUUCUCGAUGAGACUUCUUGGCACAAUUUUGCUUCUCAGCAACCUACCUCUCCAUGGAAAAUGAGUUGCGAUUGAUGGUACUGGAUAUUUUCUAGGAAGCUAAAUAUAGAUAUAUAGCACUCAAUGUCAACGAUAUAUAUAGCAUUAACAGUAUAUGUCUCAAUGCUCAUCAGCUACAAGCAAGGGACAAACACUUACAAUGAAUAACUCACGUCAACAUUCCUAAACAGGACAUAGAAGUGACAGAUCUAUAUAUAGAACACUGCAUAUGAGUCACAAGAAAAGAUAAUACGGGUGCAUAGCAGCUCUUAUAUUACAUAUUACUCAUACCGUUCAAAUUCACUCAGUUGGGAUGGGUGGGAGAAGGAGGCCUCUGGGGUGGCUUGUGCGUGUGAGAAGUGGAAGAAAGUUGAAUGGAAUGAAACUGAAAAACAGGGUAGAAUAGAGGUUUCUUGAAUCUUCUGAAAUCUUUAUUUUUCUGAGAUUUAUUCUCUGUUUUUGUGAGUCGUGACUCUACAUAUAUACAUGUAUUUAAAGUUAGUUAUGCCUUAUAACUAAUUAUCUAACAGUACCAAAACUAAUCAUCUAGUUGCAUGUUUCUAAUUAAUGCUAUUUAGUUACAACUAUAUAUGGCUUAACAUCCUCUCUCAAACUCAAAAGUCUAGCUAGAACAGUGAGUUUGCUUCAUAGAUUGAGAAAUUGUUGAAUAGGUAAGGCUUUGGUAAGAGCAUUAGCAAUCUGGUCAUAAGAAGGAAUGUGUUGAACCACCAAAGUCUUAUUGAGCACCUUUUCCUGAACAAAAUGGCAAUCUAGUUCCACAUGCUUAACUCGAGAAUGAAAAUAGGAUUGGCAGCAAGAAAGGUGGCUGAAAGAUUGUCAUAGAACAAAACAAAAUAGGAGAAUAAGAAGAUGAGAUAGAAAACUCCUGAAGAAGAUGUUGAAUCCAUUGAAGUUCAAAAGCAACAUUUGCUAAGGCCCUAUACUCAGCUUCAUUGCUGGAACGAGACACAACUUUCUGCUUACUGGAGUUCCAGGAGACUAGAUUAGAGCUAAAAAAGAUGCAAUGACCACUUGUACUUCGACGAUCAUCAGGGCAACCAACCCAAUCAACAUCAGCAUAAGCAGUAAGUUGAAAAUCAGGAGAAGAAUAAAAGGAAAGACCAAAGGAAGUAGUGCCCUUAAGAUAAUGCAACAAUCGUUUAACAACUUGCCAAUGAAGAUCAGUUGGUUAUUGCAUGAAUUGGCAAAGUUUAUUGAUAGAGAAAGAGAUGUCAGGCCUUGUAAUGGUACAAUAUUGCAGGGCUUCAACAAUGUUGCGAUAUUGAGAAGGGUCAGCCAAGAGGGAACCUUUAGAGGCAGAUAAAGUGUGAGAGGUAGUCAUUGGUGUAUCAAUAGGUUUAAAAUAUGGAAGACCAGCACGAGUUAACAAGUCCUGAAUAUAUUUGGUUUGGGAAAGAUGAAGAGAAGAUCCUUGCCAACAUACUUCUACACCCAAGAAGUAAUUCAGAAUACCAAGGUCCUUGAGAGCAAACUGAAAGUGUAAAGACGAAACCAUUUGGUGGACUAGCACGGUAUUAAGACCACUAACAAUAAUGUCAUCAACAUAGAUGAGAAUAAUGAUCAUGUCAGUCCCUUUCCGAAGAGGAGCUUGCUUCAGACCCUACAAGGCUUUGCGAAGUUUACAGAAAAAACCGGGUUUAGAAUGAUCAACAAAGCCUGGAGGUUGAACCAUGUAAACCUCUUCUUCUAACUCACCAUUGAGAAAGGCAUUAUUAACAUCUAAUUGUUCCACUAACCAACCAUGAGAAAUAGCAAGAGAAAGAACAAUUCAUAUAGUAGUUGGUUUAACAACAAGGCAAAAGGUUUCAAAAUAAUCAAUACCAUAUGUUUGAUUAAAACCCUUUGCAACUAAGUAGGCUUUAAAACGAUCAAUUGAGCCAUUAGCUUUGAGUUUCAGCUUGUAUAUCCAUUUACAACUAAUAAUGCGUGUAUUAACAGGUUUAGGAACCAAUGUCCAUGUGGAAUUGGUGAGAAGAGCAUCAUACUCAGUCUUCAUAGCAGCUUGCCAAUUAGGAUGCAAUAUUGCUUCUUUGAAAGAGGAGGGUUCGACAACAGUAGUUUGGAUAGCAAGGCUAAAUAUUUUUUUGGGUUUAAAAAUACCAUUUUGGCUACGAGUAACAAUAGUUCGGUUUGGAAGUGAAAGAGGAUCAGUGGAGGAGGCUGGAACAAGGGAUUGUGGUAAAGUAGGAAAGGAAGGUGGAUGAGAUGGAACAAAAUCAGUAGGGACAAUAAUGGGAGAAGAAAAAUUAGGUGGAGAAUGAUGAGGAUUCCUUGAAGAUGGUGUAGGAAUAGAGAGAAUACCAGAAUCAAGAAGUGUUAAAGAAGAGUUGGAUGAUGAUACUGGUUGACAGGAUAAAGACUUUGUUAAAAAUGGAAAUCGAGUUUCAUCAAAUACAACAUGACGAGAAGCAUAUAUCCGAGAGGAAGCCAUAUCCAAACAGAGGAAUCCCUUGUGUUUAGCACUAUAACCCAAAAAACAGCAAACAACAAAUAUAUUUGCUAGCUUGUGAGAAGCAUAAGGGCGAAGAUAAGGAAAACACAAGCAUCCAAAACUUCAAAGAGAUGUAUAAUAAGGUAAACGAUUAUAAAGAACUCCAUAAGGAGAAUUUUGUGAAAGAACAGCAGAGGGAAGGCAAUUUAUGAGAAAAAUGGCAGUUUGAAAUGCAAAUGACCAAUAUUUGAGAGGGUAUACCAGCUUGUAUUAACAAAGAAAGACCAACUUCCACAACAUGACGAUUCUUUCUUUCAACUCUUCAAUUUUGCUAAGGAGUAUAAUGACAAGAGACUUGAUGAAGAAGACCAUUUGUAGCCAAAUAAUUCUGAAAAGCUGAAACUGAAACUCAUCAAAUUGAUUUUUAGUAUCAAAUUUUCUUCAGACUGAACACAUUGAUUUUUAGUAUCAAAUUUUCUUUCAACCAUGGCUUGAAAAUGUUGGAACAUAAGUAAAGCUUCAUCUUUAGUUUCCAAAAGGUACAACCAUGAGAAUAUGCUAAAAUCAUCAAUUAGCAAGAGGAAAUAUUGAGCAUUACCAUUGACAGAAACUAUAGGAGUUGCACCCCAAAGAUCAACAUGGAUGAGACCGAAUGGUUUUAUUGCUCUAGAAGUGGAUAUUUCAAAUGGAAAACGAUGGCUUUUAGCCAACUGACAAGACUCACAUACAGAGUUAUUAUUGUCAUGUUUCAAAGGUAUUUUAUAAAGAGAUAAGAUUUUGGAAACUACAUUAAUAGAGGGAUGACCAAGUCUAUUAUGCCAAAGCCUCAAAGAACCAACGGCUAAAGUACUACUAGUAGAGUAAAAUACUAGUGGAUGACCAACAACUCUUGGUGUAGCAAGAAGUUUAUAGAGACCCUUCUCAAUUUUUCCUUGAAGAAGAGCAAGUCUCGUUUCCUGAUCCUUUACCACAAAAUGAGAAGAACGAAAUUCAAUAAAGGUGCCAUUGUUUGAGUAAAAUCGUUGCACGCUAACUAAGUUGGUGGUAAUAGAAGGAACAUGUAAGACAUCAUUGAAAAACAAAGAACCACUUGAAGAGGCAAGAGAAAAUUUACCAAUAUUUGCAAUGGAUAAACCCUUACCAUCUCCAACAAUUACUUUGUCACCACUGGUAAAUGGAUUAUGGAUUGUUAAAUUGUUAAGAUCAGAUGUGAGAUGAUGGGUAGCCUUUGUAUCAAGAAACCAAUAAGUGUCUCCCAUUGUUGCAGAAGUUGUAGUCAUAGCCUCAGGAUUGUUAGAGGUGGAAUGUUUAGAAUCUUUUGGCUGAUAAUCAGAGUUAAACCGAUACCAGCAUUGUAAAGCGGUGUGUCCGAACUUACAACCGAGAGAAAUAAUCUUUACUUAUUCUCUAAAAACUGUUCUUUAUUCCACACAUUAUUUCUAAAAACUGUUUCUAGAUAACAAUGACAAAAUAGUAUUAGGAAUUUUUAAAAAUAAAAAUUGUUUUUAAAUUACAUGAUCUAUAUCAUUCACAUUUGACCAUUAUAGCUUUGUUCAGGAAAACACUUGAAAGUAACCUUAUCGUGAUAAGAGAUAUAAGUUGGCUGUAGUUUCAAACUGAAAACAGAGGAUGGCAAUAGAAAGCAAAGCAUUAGUUAUCUGCAAUCAGUGGUGAUCAUGCCCCAUGUCAAUUUCGGACCCAUAUCUUAAAACCGUAUAAUUUGCAUUUCAACAUUUCUGAUUUCUCAGAUGUUUCAUACUCCACAGAAGAACAUUGUUUGUGAAAGCAUGCAUUUAUGCUGGAUUUUGGAUGAUGUGGGAACUGGGGCAAGGAUCAUAUGGAAGAGUGGUCGAUUUUUUCUGUACUUUAACAUUUGAAAUAGGAGCAGCACGGGCAUUUGUGGGGCUUAAUUGAUUUUGAAGCCUGAAAUUGCGUUUCUGUCAUUUUGUAAAAAAUAUGGCAGAUUCCAUGCUCUCAUAUGUUUGGUCUGUGGCCAUGUAUAGAUGCCACUUAGUGACCAGUUUGUAACUGUCAAUCAUAGUGUUUUGACUCUGGCUCAACAACAUCAGCCAUUGACGGAUUUUCAUACAUGCAAAUCAAAUAGUCUUCUUCCUCCCUUAGGAAUUUCGGUUUAAAUGUUAUUAAGCAUACAUUUGGCUGACAAUUAUUAACCACUUCAUGAUAUGGUUUCUUACCCUUAAUCAAUGGUUUCUAAGUGAAUAUAUGCAGAAGGAAAUCUGAACUGUAGACAGCAGUAUUGAUAAUUAUCAAUAUUCUUUAUAUAAGAGAAUAAACAACGUCAUAGUGAUCGUCGCCUACAAGAAAGGUACAUUUCCCAACAAGAUGUAGUUGUGACUGGUACAUGGACGUAAUUAACUCGUAGAAAAGGAUAAGACCAGUGCACGGCAGCUCUUAUUUUACAUGCUAAUUAUGCUAACCAAAGUCACUCAGUUGGGAUGGGAGGGAGAUGGAGGUUUGUGCGGUGGCUUGUGGGGCGGAGUUGGUGGCUUCUUUUCAGGAGCUUGUGGCUUUUUCGGAGCUGAAGGAGGCUCAAUCUUAUGAGGCGGCUUGUACGAGUCUUCUUUACUCUCGACAGGAGGGUGGCCAGGGUUGUGACCAUAAUGUGGUGGCUUCUCUCCCUUAGGUGGCUUGCCAACUGGGGUUGGUGGCUUGUGUUCAGGAAGUGGUUUCUCUCCCUUGGGAGGUUUACCAAUUGGGGUUGGUGGCUUGUGUUCUGGGAGUGGUUUCUCUCCCUUGGGAGGUUUAGUGGGUGACUUGUGUUCUGGAGGUGGCUUCUCCACCGGAGGCUUGUGCUCCGGUGGUGGCUUCUUGGUUGGAGGGGGCUUGGGGUAAUCAGCAAGAGAUGGGGGGGUGAGAACCACCACUCCAAGGAACAACACUAGCAAGUAUGUGGGAGACAUUUCUGAGUUUGAGCUGAUCAGAUGAUGCAAAACUAGAAGAAUUACGUGACCUUUUAUAGCAAGUAGCUCCCAAUACCCACAUGACACGUGUUACUGUGACCAUAAAUAUUAUAGGGUCCAUUUGUGCCCUACCGGGUUGAAAACUUGGACGCUUGGCCGAGGACACACCGAACUAUGGAGGACUAUUGACGUGUGAUCACAGCUUUUGGAUUUUUCUUCCUGUGCAGCUGUCUAGCGGUUGGCAUUAUUUUUUUAAUCUUAAAUAAAGGCAUAGUUAUAGAGUACAUUUAUAUAUCUUCAGAUAGCCAUUAAUAUAUUUGAUGAAGAAAGACAAGUGCAUACAACAUGUAUACGGCUUGCUUCAAUCGAGUACAUUUAUGAUCAGUUUUCCAGUGCAAGUAAACCAGUUUUUUGUUCCACAACUAUUUUGGAAUCUUGUUUAUCAGUUUCUAUCAUUAUAAUGUCACAUAGGCUGCAAACUUGGGCACCCAAAGAUCUAGUUGGGCAAAUUUGUUUCAGAAUUUCAAUGGUGGAUUCAGUAAUUGUUAAAAGGUGUUUCUUCAUUAAGGAAAGAGUCCUGUAAAAAUAUUGUUAAAAGGUGUCAUAGAAACUAUAAUAAUUAAAUAACUUCUUUUCCCCGUGGGUGGUGUUUCUUCUGGGGAUACCCAAAAUGAGUUCAGAUUAAAAUUGGUUCGAGUCAAAGCUGUCUCUUUUGUCCAGAAAUCAACUAUUUUGCGCAUUGCAUGAAUCGAUAAAGAAAAAAUGAAAGCCAAAUCACACCUCCCCUGCAAAACCUAAACCCCGGUUGCUAACUUUCUAUGUUUCAGUCCUAUUCAUACAGGAAUAUUGGUUCAAGUUUGAGAAAAAUGGCAACUUACCUAGGGAUUACUUGGUUGUGGUUUGCGACGACUAUUUACGCAACCAACCAUGAGUUUGACUUUAACGUCAUGGGUUGAAGCCUCCUACAAUCGUGUAUGAUAGUUCAAAGCUCGUAGUAGAAAUUAUACAGGAAGGAAGAAACCUCCAAAGCUAGCUCCAAAAGAGAAUUAUCACAUCGAUAGCUCCAGAGAUUCCCAAGGGGACUGAAUCAAAGACAAGUUCCUCACUUUUUCUUCUUUUGAGGCCAAAUAUGAACCAAGGAUCACACGACCUCAUUCAACUUCAUAAGUUUGAUUUCAUGCAGUUGAACACUGGGUGAAGGCCAUGACAAGAAUUGAUUAAAAAAUUCUACCACUGUUUUAAGUAAUGGAAGAUUAUUAUCUCUGAUUGGCACCACAACAGCACAUGCUGCUAGAUCUUUCUAGACACUCCAUGCAAUGAAAGUACAAUGGAUCUUGUAACGAUAGAAACUAAGCCAUGCUACAGUACUAGAUGACGAGGUAAAACUAUUAGACAUGGGUGGCAGCCUAUAUGGGAGGGACACAAGUCUAAUUGAUUUGCAUUUCAGCGUUCUAGAUGGGUAUGUUUUGGAAGAUUUGUUCUGGAAAUACCGCACCAAGUAGGAUUCUUUUUUCUCUUGAGUGGGUCCACUUGCAUGCCAAUUAUCGAGUUGAAAAGUAGAGCACCUACCUCGUGCUCGUGGAACCGAAGGUCAGUGAAGUGGGGCUCCUUUUGGCCUCUUGUGUUUCUGUUCCAACCAAGGCGGCGGAGGGAAAAACAGCAAUAUGUCUCCGCUAAAUAUCAACGCAUGAUAGCGAAUGAGGGAGAAAAAAAGUAAUUGGCAUCUCAAUCUCACAAACUUGGUACAGUAGUGACAUUAAUAGUCUUCCACAUGGUUUUUAUUUUAUUUUAUUUUAUAUUUUAUAUUUUCCAUUUUUUUAUUUUUUUGUAUGUCAAGGCUAAUGAAUAAAAUGCGUUAGCUUGUUUUGUGAUUGGAACUGCAAAUGUCCAAAUUGGAGUUUCUCCAUUUCUCAGUUCGGAUGGUUAACUUUAUAAACAAGAUAUAGGAAACAUGUGAACGUCUUGAGGAACAAUUCGAAUUAUUGAUUAGAACUCCUAGGUUGAGUUCCAAGAUUUAAAUCAGACCCCUCUAGCAGCUUCAGGGGUACCUAGCAAUUAGAACAUAUUAAUGAAGAUUUAGGAUUUAGACUCCGGAAUACAAAUUAAUAUGUAUCUUAUGCUCUGACUAGCUUCCCUGCAUAUGCACAAAAUGGAGAUGACCCAAAAAAUAGCAGAAUCGCCUUAGUUUAUGUGGUUAAGGUGAUUCUCCGGUUAAUAUCCACAUUGGCUCAUUAUGCAAAUCAACUGAGCUAUUUUUUUUUUAAUGUCAAAUAGGAACUCCUAAUUAACCUAACCAUUGGCCUGUGUAAAUUGAUUUCACAUGCACAAUGUUGUAGUAGAAGUCCACAUUUUGAAUUUUAUUUUUGGAAAGGUAAGGAAAAUGAAGCAUUGUGUAAUUAUAAAAAUAACUUCAUUGGAAUUCACAAGGUUCACCCAAAAUGGAGCUACAUCCGUAUUCUAUCUUACAGUAGACUAUAUAGAUUGUACAAUAGUAAAUUGCAAAUACAAUUAAUAAGUCUUGUGUUUCCUUACUAAUAAUCCUUUGACAUAAACAUUGCAGCACUAAGGUCCUCUUGGGCAGACACCUUGCACCCAUGAGAGCACUAAGAGGAAGCAAGGCGGAGUCAUGGGUGCAAUGUCAUGACUUGUUGCACUAAGAGAGGCUUGGUGAUGGCAUAGUGCUGCAGUAGCAAGAAUGUUGCCUUGGCAGGGACACGAUCUAGGGACAGAUGCCAAGAAAGGCUUAGCACUCACAUGAGUUGCACAAAGAUGAAUGAAAUAGAACAUCAAAGAGACAUCUUGGCAAGCUCAAGAAAGACAUGUGGGUUGGUAAAUGAAUGGAUGCAAGAGGCAACAACAUGAGGAGUUUCAAAUGGAUAGGGAAUGAGUCAAAGACAUUUGAAAGCUACAAGUUGGAUUCUAAUUACGAUUGCAAUUUGAGUUUGAGUAGGAGUUUAUAUUAUGAUUGUAAUUGUAGUAUGAGUUGGACUAGGAUUGCUUAUCCCUAGUCAAAAUAGGAGUUGUUCAUGCCACACCCUAUGAAAAGAGUUUGAGUAGGGACUAGGAUUGCUUGCUCCUAGUCAAAUAUGGAGUAGGUGGUGCCACACCUAUAAAAAAAAAAGGGACAACAUGAGAGAGAGAGAGAAUGAAUUCACCAAAGAUAUUGUGGGAGUUUUGCUUUGUUACAUCUUGUAUUAUUAUUUAGAAUAGUAAUAAAAUACAAGUUGGGGCUAGAGCCCCAUAAUCUCGUGUGCCUUUGUGGGUUAUUCUUUAUUUGCCAUCUCGUGUGGAUUGGAUUAGAUUGAUGAGGCGAAAUAUUAUGUGGGAAAUUUAUGUUGGGACACUUACCAUAACCAGGUAAAAUCUACCAAGUCUUUUGUAAUAUCUUCUACAAAUAUUUUAGACCAGUUCUUCACAAAACAUCAUAAUAUGUUUUGUGUUUCUCUUGGAUUUUGAGUUGAAUUGUCUUAGAUCAAUUGAAUGCAUCUCAAUAUUAUUAUCUUGUUUGAAGGCUUGAUGAUUUUCCAUUUAACUUUACUUUCUUUAGGUUAUGCUUGAUUCCUUAAAAGUACUAAGGAAAACAAAAAAUAAAAAAAAAUAAAAAAUGCAGAGGGUUAGGACAUGUGUUAUCUAAUUGUCCUAUCCAAAGAUAUUAAGAAAGUCAUGUAGGAAAGUAAUUGAAAACUAGGUCAAGAAAGGAGCAAAAGGGAAUUGUUUUGGUAUUUUCUUUUUUAUUCUUGAAGGUGGCAGAGCUAAAAUUUGAGAAAUCAAGCAAAACAUACUGAAAUUACAUUGAAAGAAAGAAAAUGGUAGUUAAUGUCUUGCAGUACAUGAUAAGGACUUCAUGCAUGUAGUGUGACGACCCAUGUCUUGGACUGAUGCCACACUCACGGUUACACUUAUACCCUUGGUUCUCUCUUUACUACCUUGGCUAACCUAGAUCAGGCUAUGAGAUAGGCUCCUCACCAC